GACCCAAAGCAAGAGCAUAUCUCAACAAGUCUUCAAUCCUAGUGUCACGACGCAGUAAACUGCAAAGUAGGAAAAUCUGCUUGAGGUCUUCACUAGAUAAAUGAUCGAUACUGUACUUGAUAGCCGAAUAUACCUUAUCAGAUAUAUCAUCCGAGCUUUUUUCUAAGCAAGGCCUCUGUAAUUGUUGUAAAGCAUCCCUCCAAAAAAAUAAAGGCUUAUUUCGCAACGACCUUGCAACAGUUGCAAGGGCGAGUGGUAAUUUUGCACAUUUCUUGGCUACCUCAAUUGCUGUAGAUCGCAGCUCCUCAUCACUUUCAACAAUGUCCCCGGCCAUCUUCUUAAAGAACUCCCAAGCUUCUUCGCCAUCUAAAUCACCAAUUGCAAAGGUCUUUGUAGCAUCCUCCCCGUUGUUUAGAACAUUUUGAUAUCUUGAGGUCAACAGUAUUUUGCAUCCUUUGUAUUGACUUCCAAAUGGAAUUCCGACUUCCUUUAGAUCCAGUUUCUUCCAAAGAUCAUCCAAAAUAAUAAGAACAUUUUUCUCAUUCUUUAACCUUUCAUACAAUUUACGGGCUCUUACACCCGGACUGUUUUCUUCAAGCUUCAAGCGCAAUGAGUAUGCUAUUUGAUUUUGGAUUUCUGUUGGUGCAACAAUAGAAUCAAGCAGACUCAGCAAGUAUCUUGUCGAGCAAGCCUCGAAACUUGCUGAGCAAACAAACAAUUUCGAGUUAAAGAAAGAAGAAAAUAAGCUGGGGAAAUUUGAGAGAAUAUUGAUGAACAAAACUGAUUUGAUUCAUGCAAAAAAACAAUGGCUUGAAGCCAGUACAUAACUCAAGCAUAAGGCUUGUCAAAAUCAACAAGUAAUUACCUACCUCCACUAAUUACAUAGAAACUUGAAAUCUUAGCUUGUAAACUUAUACAAAAGUGUGUUUACAGCUCAUACAUAAGCUAAUUACAUCAAUCAGAAAGCUAACUUAGUUAGAAAUGAACUAACACUCAUUUCAUCAACUAAAUAUAACAAAAUGAACAAAAUGAGCUUGCAUCAGCAGCCCUUGCAUCUGUUCCAGCUUUGCUUGGUCUUCAUGGCCUGUAUGGAAUCGAGUGUUGGCUUCAUGCUGACCAACUUCAACAAUUUCCUUAAUGUCAGCAUUUUGACGUGCAAUUACCGUAACUACUGAAUCGAAUAACUUAACCUCACGGAGUUGUCUCUCAACUUCGUUGACCAGCCAUGAUUUGCCCACACCAGGCAUCCCGUACACUCCAAUCAUGCUUGUUGUUGCAUCUUUCAGUAACUCCAUGAUAUCAUGGAAAACCUCCUCUCUUGAUUGAAAGGUCUCAAAGUCUGUAUGGAUUAUGGGUUCAGCAACAUAAGGGCAUCCCACGCGCUCAAAACGGCCAUCGUCGAUAAGCUUUUUAAAAUUGGCAGCAUCUUCUUCUGCUUUCUUGCUAAGCUGGUAGCGAGACUUGAUGUUGGGACACAAGCCAAAGAAGCACUUGGUCUUUGCUUUGACUUCAAGAUCGUUCACUUUCUUCGCCUCUUCAGUGAAGAUCUCAUCCACUUUGUGGCGCCAUUCCUGGACAUUGGUUUUAAUAUUCUCCAAGUUCGCUAGUGCAAAAGCAACAUCUUCCUGCACACUUGUUCUUUCUAUAUUCAAGUUCUUUUUUUCCUUCUCGAACUCGGCAACAAAUUUCUGGUAGAAGAUUACAUAUCUAAUAUGACGUAUAGCUUGGCGGAAGAUACCUUUCGCAGCAGCGGUUGUGACCUCGUGAGCAGCACCAGUAAAUAUUGUAUCCAUUUUUUUUUUUUUUUUUGGCUUUGGGGUUAGAGAUGACAGUCAGAAAGAGUAAGAAACAAAAUAGAAAAACGAAAGAAGGAAGCAAGAAGAAAAAAAAAUGAUGUGAAGAAGCCAAUAGCCGAUAAAUGGAAAUGCUGAAAGAAAACAGAGAAUGGAUGUGGGUAUUGUCUAGGGUAAGUGUUGGAUCGUAUAAAUAGGUUUUGAAGUUUGAACCUUAUUUUGUUUUUGGCUUCUCCUAUAUCUAAUACCUUGUUAAACAACUGAGGAGGUUGGCCACUUGUUCAAUAACAAAUCAUUUGUAUCAUGAUAAUUGAUAUGGUAUUGUUUCGGUUCUACUCUAAACUGUAUUAAGGAUGAUAUAAAUAAUUGAGGAGGUUGGCCACUUGUUCAAUAAUUGAGGAGGUUGACCAUGCGGGUCUCAGGGAAUACCAUGUGACGGAAAACCAUUUGUAUUAUCAUAAUUGAUAUCGUAUUCUUCGGGUCAAAACUUUAGUGUGUUUGAGCUUACUUUAGUUAAUAUUGGUGUACUUGUAUUAAAUUAUAAAGUCAAAAGUUAAAGUUGAAAUAUAUUUUAUACACUUGUUUGACAUUUAGUUUUUCUAUUCUUACAAUUAGGAAUUUAAAAAUGUAGCAUUAAAAUUCUUCUAUUCAAUUAUAUAGUAACAUUUAUAAAUUAAAAAAAUUACUUAUUAGCUAUUUUACAAUAAAAAAAUAUUAUAAAUAUUGAUUAAGGUUUUCCUAAAAAACACACAUUCAACUUCAUGAUAAAAAAAAUUUGUUUGAAUAAUGUUUUUAGUAAAAAUUGACAUCAAUGUUUCGAUUGACAUAGUUAACAAUAUUAAUUAUUUAGACUAAUAACAUGAUAACGUGAAAUGACCAAACUAUGUUAAAAACUAAAAUGUAUAUGUGACACUCCAUAUCCGACUCAACCAUCUAGUCCGAUUCAUCUAACCACUUGUACUGAUACAAAUUUACUAAGAUCCGAAAAUGAACCCAAAACACAUCUAAUUUAGCUCAAAAGAAUACCAUUUCAAUUCUAAGUAUUAUGAAACACAAAAUACUUGUUUCAAACCUCAUAUUUUCCUAUUUAAACACAUCAAACACAUGGUUAUUAUCAUGGUCACAAUAGUUCCAAUUUCAAAUAUCAAUUUCACCUAUAAAGAAUGAAUGCAACCAACGAAACAGUGCAAAAUCAUUAACUUAAGAUCAUGCAUCUCAACAUAAUCACAUAUUAAUCAUAUCAUCACAUUGUUUCUAUGCUUAUAGAAUAUUCUUAUAUUACAGAUUUCAAGCAUAGAAAAUGAUAAAUACUAAAAGUAAUAUGUUUUAAUCAUAUUAUUAAUGCGAUUUUAGGUGAUUAUUCGAUGUUAAAGGUGAAUUUUAUGUUCCUAAUUUUCUAAAAUCAUAUUUUGAUACUUAAUAAAACAUUUGGGAGGAAAACAACGAAAAUAAAAAAAAAAUCAGAACAAGUUACAAGUGCCACAUGGGCAAAAGAAAUUUUCUUUAGAAUCUCUAAAUUGAUGAACAUAUUCUCUACAAUCUCCGCUUCAUCUUUUCUUUUUGAUGUCUAAAGAAAUUUAAGAAAAAAUGAUGAAAAUAUGAAUUUUUGGCAAAAUACUAAAUUGUCUAAAAUUUAAAGUUUUACCUCUACCCCAUGAACGUGACAAGAAUCACUUAUAUAGAAGACAAAGAAGUUUCUUCAUUUUCUUAUAAAAAUAUCUCAUUAUUUUUUUAUUGAAUAAAACAUUAAAAUAUCUUAUAAUAAAAUAUUAAUUAAAUAAUAAACCAAUCAAUUUUUAACACUUUCCACGUUUAAUCAUUACACCAUAUAAUUAUCUAAUUUUUGUAAUGAUAAUUUUACCUCUCAUGUUUUUUCAAAUUUCAUCCUUAAUCACAACUUACUUUUAGAAAAAUUGUGACUUACUCCCUCGCAUUUAUUCUCUUAUUUAAUUUGGUUCCUACUUACCAAUUUCCCAUCACAAGAAAUUGGUUCACUUUUGGUCCUUCAAUUUUUCUUGUUUUUACACCUCAACCAUUUGAAUUCUAAAUAAUUAUACUAGUUUCUCAAACUUUUCACAUCUUUACAAUCUAAUUCUUGCCGUAAAUUAACAUAUUACAUCAUACCUCUUAAUUCAAAAUUGUCCUUGGCAUCACUCAACCUUUUUCUUUUCUUUUCUUUAUAAUAUAUCGAUUUUAAGGGUGUUACGUUCUAAAAAAAGGGAUUAUAUUAAAAACUAUAAGUAAUAAUUGUAAAAGUAAAUGUAUGCACAAUGUUAUUUAUUAAAAAAUUAUUCAUUAUUUGAAAAAUUAAAUUACAGUAAUUUAUUACUUGCGCAUAUAUGUAUUAAAUGGAAAAAGGAACUUAGCCUAAACUAAAAUUGUCAAUGUAUUCAUGUGUAUUUUAAUUUGUUGACAUAUAAAAACUUUUUCUUUUAAAAAAUAUUUAAAAUUUAUUUAAUUUAUAUAUAUUGUUUAACUUUUUUAAUAUUAUUUUUAAAAUAUUUCAGGAAUGGUUGGGAAAAUGAUAAAAAUGUUUGAACAAGAGAAUGUUAUUGUUUCAAAAUCCAAAUCAGACUUUGAAACAUCAAUGGCUACAUACAUAUUGUAAGAGGCCUAAUUUUGUUCGGGCCCUAAACCGAAACCAAAAAUAAAAAUAAAAAUUAACAGUCCCAAAGCUCAAUUACAUGUCAAGCUUAAAACAAAAACCUUAACUCAAAGUUACAAGCCCAAUGGCUCAAAACACUUAAAAAUUUUUAGAAAACAAAAAAACCCUAGGUCCUUUUGCGCCGCUUAUCCCUUAGCACGUGCACCGCCCAUUCUGCCACCGUUUCACCAAAAUAGCCAAAGGUCUGCCUCCCUGUCGCCGUUAACCGCAUUAGUACCUGCAAGAAAAGAGAAAGAAAAAGGACCAUGGAAGCAAAAAAAAAAAGCAAAGAACAGUGGCUAAAUAGUUGCAAAAAUAGUAAAAUAUAACAUGUAAAUUGGCUAUAAAAGCCGCAACAAUCCAUGUAAUUUAGGGUAGAAAAAACGAGCAAUCGAAACAAAGGAGAAAGAAAAAUUCUAAAAGGGUGGUCUUUUUUCUUACACUAUUUUAUAUUUUUUUUGUAAAUAAACAUAAAAUAAAAAAUGAGUUGAAAACUUACUGUGCUCUUCACAUUUUGCCAUAGUGAGUGUCCGAGGACCGUCAUCUCUAAUGAAAGAUGAUAUCUUUCGGUCUCGGGGAAUCAAACGGCACAAAAAGCAGCAAUUUUUGCACUUUUCAGCCACCGUGGAUGGCGGAGCCGUCGCCGGCGACCGGUUGCCGCCACGGCGGCCCAAUGGCCAGCCUGAGAAGGCUAAUGAGAGAAAAUAGAAAGGGGUUUUCUAGUUUUUUUUUUUUUUUGAAAAGGUGUUUGAAAUGAUAUUUUUUGAAAACUUUUUGGUAUUUAUAGGGACUUACACAACAUCAUUUUGGGCUUGACCCUUAGAUUCCCAAAACAACGUCGUUUUGAAUUACAACCUGAAUUCGGCUCGACCUUUUAAUAGGAUCCACGUGCUUUUAAAAAAUUACAUAAUUGCACCUUUGGUCCUUCCGCUUUUGCGGCUUGUUUGAAUCUAGUCAUGUCUUAUGUUUUGUUUUUUUGCCACUUGAUUCUACUUUACUUUCAUUUUGGUCCUCGGACCAUUUCAAGGGAUGGGUACAUGAAACGGCGUCGUUUCAGUCUACCCAAUAUCCGACCCGAACCACCCUAGGAUCCGCGUGUUUUUUCUUGGGGGAUAUUUGCGUUUUCAGUUCUUCUGCCUUUUAAGUUAUUUUAAUUAGGUCCUAAUUCCAUUUAUUAUUAUUUUUAAAAAUUAUACCAUUUACUUUCAAACCUUUUCAAAUUUGGUCCUCAGAUCGUUGACCCCUCGGGGAAGGACGCACGUCUAGGAGUUUUGGGAUAUUUUCCCAUUUAGCCCCGUUAUCUUUAGUGUGUUAUGUUUUAGUCCUUUUUAGUUUUGUUGUUUAUUUGUAAUUUAUAUUCCUUAAUUUCAUUCUGAUUUCAAAUUGAUCCUUGAUUCAUUUAACUUCAAUUUUUAAAAAAAAUUGUUUUAUUUACUAUUUAUUUAUUUAUUAUUUCUUUAAUCUUUUUUAAUAAUUAAAUUUCAUUUAUUUAUAUUCCUUUUAUGUAAUUUUAUAUUUAAUUAUCAUUGUUAUUAUUCUUAUUAUUAUUAUCAUUAUUAUUUAUUUUUCCUUUAUUAUUUAAUUAGUAUUAGAAUAGUAAUUAAGGUGCUUAUCGCCAUGCUAUUAUUAGUGCAAUUUUAUUGUCAUUAUCUCUUUUAGUUUUUUGUGUGUUCUUGUUAUUUUUUUAUUUUUUUUAUUGCUUUUAUAUUCUGACACUUUCAUGUCUACUAUUUGUUAAUCAUUCAUUUUUAUUUUUUACCUUAUUUAUUUUGUUAUUCUUAUGAUUUGAUUAUUAAUGUUAUUAUUGUUAAUUACAUUAGUAGUACUAUAGUAUUCCUCAUUUACUUAUUAUAUAUUAUUUUAAUGUUCUUGUAACACCCCCUAACCCCAAACCGUCACCGGAACAAGGUUAUGGAGCAUUACCAGACAUAUCGGAUAACUUAUAACUAAUUCACAAUUAAAUAACAGAUAUAGCAUACUUGUAUCAAAUAUGUCAUAUUAGUUCCAUUUCAUACUUAUAACCAAUUUAAACAUCAUUCUACAACCGUAAUAACAAAACUUUUAUUCUUAACCUAUACAUCACCUAGGUACAUGCCACAUUAUCAAACAAAGGUACAUCACUAAAAUUUCUCUGAGUUCGGGAUUGCUCUGGAUGCUGGACCGGACACUGGCUUUCUACUAACCUGCGCACGGAGACAACCGCACGCUGAGUAUAGAAAUACUCAGUGAUAUUACCAUAAUUCAAAUUAAUAACAUUAAUCGAUAAAUUAUAUACAUUUAAAUUUUAUGUCUACAAUUAUUCAAUACAUUUUCUCGUACUUUAAAUCAACCUGAUAAUUAAAAACAAUAAGCAAUAUUUCAAAUCUUGUAUUUAGUUGUAUUCAUACCUUAUUUCACUAUCUCAAUUCUAUUGGAUUUUUCGACAUCUCAUUCUAAUAAUUCAUUCCAAUUCAUACAAAUUCAAUCAAUUUAUCAACUCAUUCAUUAUCAUUUCUAUUUAUAUUCAAUUUAUACUUUUCAAUCUUUUAAUAAUCAAAUUAAACAUUUAGACCAACAUGUUUCAAUAAUAAUAAUAACUAAUUUUAUAAAAUUUGUAUUCAAAUUAACUCAUACACUAUUUCUUAAUUCAAUUUAUACCAUUAAUCUUUCAAUAAACAUUUAAUACAUUAAAUCAACUUGUUUCAACAACAGUAAUAAUAAUAACUAUCUUUCAAUUCGAUUCGUUCAUUUUUAAAUCAAUUUACACAUAUAAUCUUUUAACACUCAAUUUAUACAUUAAAUCCAUAAAUAAAUUUCAAUAACUUGUAUUCAAUUAAAUUCACAUAUUAUUUCACUAUUUCAAAUUAUUUUAUUUUCACUUCUCAUUUCUCAACAAUAGCUAUUUUAAUUUGCUUUUCUUCACUUAGAUUUUUACAUUAUCUCAUACUACCAAAACCAGUUCAUGAACUAUAUCAUUAUCUAUUUCUCGAACCCAUGGUUCAUACAUUUCAUUACAAUUAUCACUACUAAUAAACAAUUCAAUCUUUUAAUAUUAUCAAUUAUUUAUAUAUAUAAAUAUCAUUCUUAUUUCUUUAUUUCAAAAUUUCACUUUUCACAUAUACUAUAUCAUUCGAGAUUAGUUUUAUCAGUAAUUNNNNNNNNNNNNNNNNNNNNNNNNNNNNNNNNNNNNNNNNNNNNNNNNNNNNNNNNNNNNNNNNNNNNNNNNNNNNNNNNNNNNNNNNNNNNNNNNNNNNCUAUUAACUUGACUCGGACUCUGACAGAUACGCGGAUUCCACCCAAACACACCAGAAUAUCCAACCAAAACACACUUGAAAUAAAUAUAAACCCUCCAUAACACACCGAUAUAUCAUAUCCUCCCAAACACACCAAUAAGGCAUUAAAUGCCUCUUCGGAUAAACCGAAGCAUAUAAUAACAUAAUCAUCUUCUCGGCCGAGCUACAAAUCUCCUCAUCACAUCACAAAUCCUAUGGCAUGCCAUUUGUAUCCAAUCUAGUCCGAUAAGUUAAUAGAGUAUUCGAAUCACAUUUCAAUUCAAUCACUUUCUCAUACUUUCAAUUCCAAUUUAAUCACAAUUUAAUUCAAUACAUUUUUCACCUUUCAAUCAGUAUACCAUCAAAUGCUCAUACCUAUUCAUACUUCAUUUUAAUUUCAUUCAAUUCACAUACAAUUCAAUAUCAUUUAAUUCAAUAUCGAUAUUCACCUUAUUUUUAUUUACUAAACAUAUUAUUUAAAAUUCACCAAUAAUUAAUAUUAAUAAAUUCAAUACCAUAUGUAAUUUUCAUUUAAUUCAAUCAUGAUUCUUACCUCAAUUUGCUUAUCAUGUAUAUUAAUUUAAAUUUUAACAAUUAAUAAUUAAAUUCGAAUUAUGGUAAUACUAACCGUAAAUUUUCUCGAGUCACUCCUUGUUCACCUUCUCCUUUCCUUUCUCGGACAAUGACUCUUGCACGACAUUAGCUACGUAAUUAAACAAUUAAAAAUCAUUAAUACACAAUUUCAUUAAAAUAUUUUCAUUUAUGCCUAAACUUUACCUAAAUUCUAAUUUAAUCUCUUAUCAAUACUAAUUUUAUUUUUCCAAUCUAACUCCAUAUUCUCUCUUAAUUCUUACUAUAAAUUCACUUUAACUCUUCAUUUUCACCAUAAUCCAUAAUUUCAAAAUUCUCUCAAUUUAGUCCCUAUUAAUUCAAAGCCUAUAAUUUAUUUUACAAAUCAACCUUUUACUAACUUCUAACUUGAAAUUUAGUCAAUUUAACCCCUAAUCCUUUCAUUUAUUCAACAUAAUCAAUGUCUAGAAAUAUAAUAACUUCCCAAAUUUCAACAUAAAUCCAAUAAUACUUUGUUCUAGGAUACCAAAAACUAAAAAAUUAUAAGAAAAUGACUUAAUUUAACUUACCAAUUAAGCUUGAAAUCUUGAAAUCCCAAAUUUUCUUCCUUUCCUUCCCUUUUUUCUUUUUCUUUCCUUUCUCCCCUCUUUUGGUUUGCCUACUCUGUUUCCAUUUCUCUUUUUCUAUCUUUUAUUUCUUUUAUUUAAUUAGUUUAAUAUAAUAACAAUAAAAUAAUAAUAUAAUAUUACUUACUUAAAUAAUAAGUAAAUAUGUAAUCAUUACUAAUAUAUGUACUUCAUUUUUCCACAUGUCAUCAUAUGCACCAUACAUUUGUCAACAAUUUUUGUUUAUUUAAAAUAUAAUAAUAUAAUAUAAUAUAAUAUAAUUUACAAUAUAAUAAAAUAAUAAUAUACUUUAAAAAAAAUCUCAGAUUUUAUCAUGCAUAUGCCGCCUCAUUUAUGGGACUUGGCAUAUUUACCUAUUUAGUCCUUUUAACUUUUCUUUAAUCUAUAAUUAAACUUUUACCCCUAUUGCAAUUUAGUCCUUUUUAAUCAAUUAACCAUCGGAACAUUAAAAUUUCUUAACAAAACUUUAAUACUACCUUAAUGACACUCCGUAAAUAUUUAUAAAAAUAUUUACGACUUAGUUUAUAAUAUCUAAGUCUCGAUACCUCGUUUUUGACCCAAUUACCUAAUAAUUUCUUUUAAAUCACAAAAUUCACUAAUUCUAAAAUAUUUCUAAAAUCACACUUAACUUAUAAUUAUUAAUUAAUAAUUUUUUCUAACUUUUUCAUCAAAUUUAGUGAUCUUAAAUCAUUAUUCUGACACUACUGAAAAUUGGGCUGUUACAGUUCUACUUAUAUAGUCACUUAACAUUAUUUCAUUAUCACUAUCUCAUACAUUAUGUUUAAAUAAUUACUCGUUUUUGUACUGUGCCCAACAAGUUAAAUGUACAUUACCUUAAACGUUAUGUUCAUCAUCGUACGAUGCAUAAAAUUUUUUAAAUCAAGGUAAUAUACAUUAUUUUAGAAUUAGAAAAGUCGUGUUCCUAACUUAUGGAAUAUGGCUUCUUUCUAAAACCGAGAUAGUCAAAUAUUUACUUUAAAAUAAAUAAAAAAUGAGAUUUAAGUAACGAUCAAUUGGUGUUUAUUCUCGUUUUCGAGGAAUUAAAACAUUGUGUCCUAACUUACAGGACAUGAUCCUUUUUCUCAAUUAACCUGAAAUAAGCCCUUUUCGCAAAAAUUACUUUAAGUAAGUAAGUGCCUUAAUACAAAAAAAAAAGAUCGUGUUUUAAACUCUUUUCAAAUUUUCAAUUCACGACACUAAGACAUUAACUAAUCAACUAGGUAUCAAUUUUGGUCGUUACGAGGGUGUUAAUCCUUCCUCGUGCAUAAUUGACUCCUAAACCAGUUUCUUAAAUUUUGUAGACCAAAAAUUAUUGUUUUAGUAAAUCAAACCGUUUAUUAAAAUGAUCAAAUUACGAGGUGAUCUGAUCACGCCUUAUAAAAAAGGAUUAGUGGUAACUCACAUUUUCGUUUUUAAAUAAAAAGUCGAUUUCAAAAAGGUUUCGACAGCUUGGCGACACCACUGGGGACAAAAUAAGAGAGUCAAGCCGCGAGUUGAUUACUUUUGGUCUUUUUGUCGAAAAUUGAUAAUUUGGUUUAAAUUUACGAUCCCUUCGUUGCAUGUCAUCCUUCAUUUUUGUGGUCUUCAUCAUUUUGUUGCAUAAUGAUAUGUUUGCUUUAUUGGUUUGAGUGUCUUGGUAUAUUUUUGUAUAUUGUAUUGCAUAAUCAUUUGAUUUUGCCCUUCUUAAGUAGGAGUGAGAAGUUAUUCCUUCGUGUGGUCUUCACCUCCAUAUAGGAUAGUGGAUCGCUUUCGGGAUACAUCCGUACCUACGUCUUCGUGAGAUUUUCAUCUCCGUAUAGCUAUAGGGAAAUGUAUUCCCUUGAACCGAACUCGGUCCGUAUGACCCUAUAAUGGGUGAGGAUCGAGGAAUCUUUUGGUUCAAGUACCCUUACUUUAGAACUGAACUGCAUAUAAUGAGUCCUAAGAGCCUACCCUAGGUAGAACCAUACCAAACCUCUAGUGGUCACCCGAUUAGGUGUUUUAUUUAUUUUUUUCUUUGAAUUCUAGAUUUGUAUAAAAUCUACUGACUUGUUUUGUUUUGUUUUGACUGUGAUUGCAUUGCAUUUUCAUCAUAGAAAAGGGUGUUGGUUCACAUUCAGUUACUAAAUAGAGAGCUUUCAUGGAAAAUAGAUUUCUUGAUAAAGUGAAAGACAAUGUGGCCAUCCUGAUAUGGUUUGAAAAGACACAACAAGAGAAGGGUGAUAGUAUAAUGGAGGGAUAUAUGUCAGAACUGUGGGAUCUCACUCACAUCAGUGUGACUCAGAAUAAUCUCCAAGAGUUGAAAGAAAUAUGGGACCAAUGGGAAGACGAAACCAAGUAGUUAUUAUACUGUAACUAUGGUGAUUUGCCUUAUCUACUUGAUGUCAAAGUGGACAAGGACUUAUUCUGAGCUCUCACCCAGUAUUGGAAUCCCACCUAUAGCUGUUUACUUCUGAGAAGGUAGAUUCGGUGCCCACUGUAGAAAAGUACACAACUCUGCUCCAUUGCCCGAUGAUCCAAGCCGACAAAGCUUAUUCUUAAGCUGCCAACAUCUCGACUUUCUUGAAGAGGCUAAUGAGCAUAACGGGAAUGAGUGAGUAAUGGGUUACGGCCAGGAUUAAACAAAAGAGAGAUAGUAAAUGUAUCCCUUGAAAAAGUUUGUGGGAUUUGAUCUUGACAUAUCCGGAUAUGAAGAAAAGAUUCGAUGUCUUCGCCUUGAGUAUUUACAAGUUGGUCAUCUUUCCCAAAGCAUUAAGGCAUAUAGAUGAGGCAGUUUCAGCUUUAUUUGACCGACUUGACAAAAGGGUCACACUCGUCUCGACAAUUUUGGCCGAAACUUUUAGAUCUUUGAAUGCAUGCCGAAUAUGAUUGGUGAUGGGGUAAAAAAGUCAAAGGCAACGUCCCUGCAUUAAGUCAAGAAAACACUCGGCCAAUAGAAGAACACCUACAAGUGAUCCCGUCUGAGCUAGAUAUUAUAAAGUAAGAUUUUGAAAAGUAGAAUUCGAAGCUGGAGAAAAAGAUAGAAUAGUUGGAAAAGAUGCAGCUAGGAUUAGACGUUGACAUCUAGAAGUUAGAAACCAAGAAAAUGAGAAAAAAAAAGAACAAGGCCGAGGAAAAUUUGGACAGUCUAAAAACAAAUUAUAAGAAGCUGCAUUUGUCAAUAAGGACUGCUGUGUUGGGAAAAACAUCGAAGUAAUGGCAGCAAUAGAUCAAAGAAGAAAAGAUUAGGGUUGAUCAGUGGGAAAAGAAAUUCCAAGAUGCUUGAGUUCGAUGAGAUGCUCUAGAAAAGGAUUUGUUAGAAAACUGAAAUAAAAAGGUUGGAUUGAGAGCCAGGGUAGCAGAAUUAGAAAGGUCGCUGCAUCAAUAUCGUAGUCGUAAUUCCGUAAUUGAGUUGAAAGUAAGCCUAAAUAAGAUUGAAAAGUUGAAGGGAAAGAUAGAAGACCUCAAAACCGUACUACAAAAUUGUGAACUCCGAGUUGAGCUUCUUGAAAUAAACAAUGAACACUGGAAAGUGCAACUCCAACGCUCUCAAGAUAGAUGAUAUUUUAAGCAUAUGUUGAUGAUUCCUAAUUAUUCACUGAGUUCGUAAUGAAUUCACCCACUCCUCUCUUACUUCAUAGGUAAGUAGGUUGCGGAUGACAAUGGCAAGGUAGAUGACCCUUGCAUGUUAGUGACCCCCAAUAUGCAUGUGAAGCCCUUUGUAGGAAUAUCUUACAAUAUAGCAAACCCUAUUAAAGCAUGGGAACUCUUUUGUGAAUGACUUCUUUGUUUGCGAAGCCAGUAUUGCAUGUGAACUUAGUCUUGUAUGUUCAAAUGCGAACUUAGGAAGUUUGAGAACUGCAAUUACUUUGCAAACUCAUGUUUUUGUGAGAACUUAUGCUUUAUGUUGUACUGCAAACUCAUAUGUUACUCUGUUAGGCGAACCUAUAUUGUAUGAUGUAUAAAGCCUAAGUUGAGGUGCGAACCUUAAUAAUAAUUUCUAUGUACUUGUACUUAUGUAUGAUUGUGUGUACCCUAAAUUGCUUGUUCGUAUCUUACAUGGGAACCCUUAAACCUUUCUAUUGUUUGACAUGCGAACCAUUCCUUUGUUUGUUUUGCAAGCUCACAUGUUUUACAUUUUGUGUAUGGUAUAAUUCCGUUGCACUGUUUUAACUUAACAUAUUAUUUGUUAUAAGUAAGUGAUGUGUUGGAGGUUAGGUUGAGAGUUAAUAGAGAGUCACUUAUAACUCGCUAAAAUUGGGUCGAACUUACUUGGCCGGAUUUAAGGUGUUAUAGGACAAUUACCUAAAAAAGAUUAUAGCAUUGUUAGAUGUGUGAGGAAAUACAUAUCAAGGUAAUUAUUGUCUUUUCCUCUUUACUCUUUGACACUAUCUAAGCAAACUUUAUUAAAUGAUUAAAUUUUCUAAAUUGUAUCAUAUUUCGGGUUCAUAUCAACUAACUGCAUUAAAAAUCUUAUAUAUCCAUCAUAGUUGAUCUUUCAAUACAGAAAGCAAAGCUUUAUGCCUUAAAUAAAUUACAUUCAAAUAUUUUUAUUUUAUCAUUAACUUUGUUAUUUGAGGAUAAAUGAUAAGAAAUAUUGUUAUUUGUUAGGCUUUCUAAUCAUGAUUCUCAGGAUAUGACAACAUUCUCUAUGCCUGAAAAAAUUGGAAGAAUUGGAUGUUUCUUUGAAACAGAUCAGCGAUCCAUCAUUUACAACUACAAACCGUAAAAUGAAUAUUCUACAUUUUAAUGUUCAGUUUCAUCUCGAUUAUGUGGUCUCAUACAAAUAGGUGUAUUAUUCAUAAAUGAAAAGGAUGCAAAGUCAUUGAUUAACUUUUAAGUCCCUGCACUCCUUGUAAAUUAGUAACCUAGUCUUUACAGUUUUGUUUUUAAGAAUUUAAUUUCUCAACUUUUCAUAUUUCAAAUUUUAGAUAAAUUAUUAACAUUAUUUAAAUUAUUUUGUUAAAUUCAAUUUCAUAACGUCUUUUUUUAGUUACAUUACUACUCUAAGUGAAUAUAACUUUAUUUUAAAAUUUUAAAAUUUUAUACCAACAAAUUAAAAAUAUAUAUUAAUUUCUACUCUUUUACCCUUUUCAUCUUCUACUCCUUUCAAUAAUGGCUCAUUUAAAACUCCCUUACAAAAUACCUCCAACUCAAGGCAACCUUUUACUAUUAAUUUCUCUAAACAUGGGAAUCCAAAAGUACAAAAGCUCUUGAUGCUCAGAAUGAUUGAACUAUCUCAAGAAUAAAUGCUCCUAGUUAUGUGGAAUAAAACAAAUAGUUCAUCGACUAUGAUUAAAUGCAUAAGAUAAAAGUUUAACAGAAUUUAACUAAGAUUAAAUGUCUAUUCAUAAGAUAAAAUUUUAAGAAUUUUAAAAUUUUUUUAUUUAGAAUUUAAAUUAACCUGUAAAAAUUGAUUUAAUCUUGUUCCUUUUGUUGUGCCAUCACACUGGUGCAGAUGUAUUAGUUAUAAUUAUAUAUUUGAAUUUUUUUAAUUUUAUAAAAAACAUUUUAAUUAAUUAUUUAAUUUUUCGUUUUUUAAAUUUAUAUUAUUUAUCAAAUCACUCUAAAAUAGAUAAAGAAGUUAGAUAUUUAAAUUAUUAGAAGCUGAAAGUUCUGAUUCUUUUAUGACCGGUUUUCUAAGUCUUGCCUUCAGAAUCUUAGGUGUCUUAUCUUUUAGCAUCCCUUAACUCAUGACACGACUUUCCACUUCUCAAAACAUGUUGCAAUUAGUGUUUUGUCUGAUAAAUUUAAGUUAUAAUUGUAGGUUAAAUUAUUUAUACAUUUCUUAACAAAUUUAUGAGUGUUUCUUCUUUCAUAUUUUUUAAAAAGAAAAAAAAAUGAAUUAAGAAUUCUUAAAAAAAAAAGUUAAAAAGAAUCAAAACUGACUUGGAAGACAAAGAAUAAAGUAUAAAGAAGUUUAAAUGUUUGAAGUUAUUUAAAGGUUUUUUUUUCCAAAUUUCCAUAAGAAUUUUUGUAUCUUUUUCAAGUUCAGAUUGGAAAAUCAUAAGGGAAACAAUUUUUGGGUUCUAAAUAUUCUUAGAGUUGAAAGUACCACAAUAAAAGCUGUUAGGAAAGUCAUGAAACUUUGGUUUUUUCCAAUCUUUUAAAGAAUACAUGUAGCUCAGUUCAGCACUGACAAUUGAGGUUACAAAUCAAAAUGCAAUUGCUCAUGUACAACACUCUGGUAGACUAGAUUAUCGGAUGCAUUUCUGAACUUAGGCAUGAGAAUAUGACUCUCAAAGACAUUGAAAAAAUGGAACAUAUCCUUGUUAGACAUAUGCUCUUACCUGAAUUUCAAACUCAAAGUUGGAGUAACAUAACUAGGAAGUGAAAUAACAACUUUAGAUCAGUGAAUAUGGCUACUACUGAGCAGCAGCAACAUACUCUAGUAGACAGCAAUGAAAGGGGCAUCUGCCGUAACUCUUUAUAAAGUAACUGCGCCAAAAUGAUAAGCGAAAUAAUCAAUUUCUGCCAUUAAACUACAUUUUAUGCUUAACCCCAUUACUAAAAGUAGGAUAUUGUUAACACUGGAACACAAAAUCAUUUCUGUGAUUCUUUGAAACACUUACCUUUCUAAAGCAAUAUCUCCACUUUUCCUUCAAUUUGGCCUUUCUGUAGUCUGUAUCCUUGAGCUAAAACUCUUCAAUAUGAUUAGCCUGUAAAAUAGAAGGAUGUAAUAAGUUUAGGAAAAUACAGAUUUAACGCUCUUUCCAUAACAAUGGAUUGAGUGAUUGUAACUGCAUGUAAAUUAUUGGCAUGUUUAUUAUUUGCAUCCGCUGUAAUUUCAUCAUUCAUCCCCUAAUAUUAAAAUGGAAAAAGGUAUUCCAAAGUUAUGUUUUUCCCCCUUCAAUCAAACACAUAUAUAAGAUACAGACUCACGCAGUUAGUUGACCGGUUGUGCCAUAUCUUUCUCCAGUUUCCCACACCCAUGAUUCUCUGUUCCUACAAGUAAGGUUAGUUUGCUAGAGAAAAACAAGUAGUACAACAAGAAUAGGGAAUCAGAAACAAAAAAAAAAAAAAAAAUGAAAGAAAACAAUGAUGCAAGAAAACAAAAAUGGGAUAUCACCUUUCAAUGGAAAGAGUUGGAAAAAGAAUCUCUGAGUUGUUUCUUUCUAUCCCAAGAGAAUAAUGUCAGUGCCACUAGUGAUCAUAAGAUUGGCCUUUUUCCUCUAAAUCAUUUUCUCAACCCUUCACAAUUGACUUCUAAAACCUUAAGUUUCUUGAAAUUUAAACUUCCAUGAAUGUUCUUCCAUAUUUCAAUUGACUUGGAAAAUUCAGCCUACAAAAUCUGACAAAGAAACAAGGAUUAAAAUUCAUAAAGGUUAUAACGAAGCCAACCCAAACCAUAUGAAAGAAAGAAUGAUAAUAUGGAAUAAGCUAGAAUAACUAAAGCUAAAUUAAAGUAAUAUACAAUAAUACCUUUAUUGAAUACAUUUCUUGGAUAGUGUUGUUAAGGUCACUACACCAAUGACUAUUAUCUUUUCCGCAUUUUGCCAAUAAUGGUGGAUGAGUUAAAACUCCCUUACAAAAUAUCUCCAGUUCAGGGCAGCCACUCACUAUUAAUUCCUCUAAACAUGGGAAUCCAAAUGUGUGGUUGCCUGAACAAAAGCUCUUAAGUCGUGGUAGAUUCACAAGUUCCAAACUUUUCAACCUGCUGAAAAUAAUGUCACAAGUUGCUUCAUCUCCCUCAGUUGCAACUAUUUCCUUCAUUGAAAAGCAGUUUCUUACUAUCAACUUCUUGAGUUGGGCCACACCUUGGACUGCUAAACAUGUAUCUAAGUAUUUCAUUGUAUAACAAAACUGCACAUCCAAUGUGGUGAGAUUUUGAAAUGAUGCCGAGGAUGAUCCUAAGCAGAUCAAAUUGCAACAACGGUGAACUUGAAGAGUCUCAAGUUUGGGUAGAAUGUGGUCCACUUGUACGUCUUGCUUCCAUAAAUAAUCUUUUAGAUUACCAAGAGCUACCAAUUUUAAGUUUCUAAUAGUUGACAAAGUCCCAGCAUACGUUUCCUCAUUACUGGUAUCUCCUUCGGUACAAAAUAGCUCUUUUAUUUCACAAUAAGAGAUAGCAAGGUUUGCAAGAGUGUAGAAUCUCUCAAGGAAAGAAAUUCGAAAAUCAAUUGAUUUAGCACCGUGGCCAACCACUCGAAAAGAUUUUAUUUCAUGAAAAAGGCUGCUUGAAAAUUGACCAUCACUUGUCAUUGCAAUGUAAUCAGUAUCUAAUGUCAAAAGUUGUAGUUUAGGGAUGACCUGAAAACCAAUCAAAAAAAAUUUUGGAGUCAAUAUGUUCAUCUUCGAAUUAAGAAUUACUAUUUUUUCUAAAUAAUAUUUUCAAAAACUCUUAAUUAGAGUAAAACAAAGUGACCUUUUCAACCAAGAAAAGUGGUGGAUGGAUUGGGGAGUCAAGUUGUCCAUUGUUACUGUUCAGUUGUGUACCAAAUAUCUUCAUUUUCUCACACUCAACUACUUCCAACUUGUUUAACAUUGGCCACUUUGCGGUAUGCUUACCACUAUGCGGAAGUGUAAGGGCGUAUAGUUAUCAAAUUCGAAAUUGACAGCAGUUUCCGAAUCUGAUCCUGCCUCUAAUUUGGAAACAAUCUCCUCCACUCCACAAUCAGAUAUUGCAAGAAAACCAAGUUGUGGUAGGUCUUUGGCUACUGAGGCUGGAAAUACAUUCUUCAAACUUCGACAGCCCAAAACAGAUAUUGCACAGAUUUUUUUAAAUGAAAAAAUUCCUUUGGGAUCAUUUUUCCAAAUAUACUUCAACUUUGGUAAUCUAAAAAUAUGCAAUUUUCUUAGUUGAGCGGUUGCAAGUAAAGCUGUUUCUUUUUCUUCAUGCAUAUUAGAUGGAAAAAUGGUUAACAACUUAUCACAUCCUCCAACAGUCAAUUGUUGUAGUUUGGGAAAUGCAACCUGCAUUCAUGCCAAUUUAAUGAAAUUAGAAGCUAGCUGUUUGUUUCAUUUAUUGUGUGGGUUUCUGGAAAAGUGAAAAAAAUAUAUAUUUAUUUUGAGUGUGAUUGUUGAAAAAAAGAGAUGAAAAAAAUAGGAGAAAUGUUUAUUUUUUAUCCUAAUGUAUAAAAACAAAUCAUUCUAAAUUGAAAUAAGAAGAGAGAAAAUGAGAGAGAUGCUUGUUAGUCUAAAUAUAUACAUUUUUCAAAAAUUUCAUUUUCAUUCCUCUCAUUUUCAACUGUACCAAAAAAUGAAUAAAAAGAAAAAUAUUUUUUUUUUCACUAAACCUUAAACCCAAAGCCAACAAGGAAAAAAAAAUGAAUAAACCUAAAAUUUAAGAAUUAACCCACCUUAUUGUCAAACAGAUCACCUUGACUAGAGAUUCGUUGGUUCCCUUCCCUUGUAUAUCUAAAUAUGAAGCCCUCCAAGUUUGAACAGUUGUAUAUCGUCAUUGACUUCAUAAAUGGAAAUUCAAUAACUUUAUUUUGAGAAUUGAAGCAAAAUCCACGCAAAUGCUGAAGAUCCUUUAGCUCUAAGGACUCUAACUGAGGAAAUAAUGAUAAAGUCAUGGCAACCUGAGUUUCUUCUUCUAUAUCCUCCCAAAAGAUUAUCUCCUCUAAACAGUUGCACUUAGUUACCUCAAAAUAUUUGAGAUGAACUAGAUAUUUAGCCAUAGAAAAUGAUAAUAGGUAAAUUAUGUUUCCACAACCCUCGAUUUUCAAUGUGGUUAACUUCUCAUGAGUGUAAAAAGAUACAUUUGACAACUGGUUCUGCCAUACCCUUGUAACAUUAAGCGAUGAUAACUGCAAUUUCUCCAAGGAAGGGAACGAUAUCUACAACCAUACACAUAAUUAAUUCUACUUUCAAAUCAAUAUUGUAAAUAUAUGUAUAAUUCUAUUUUUGCAAUUAACAAAAAAUAAAGUCUGCCGAUCAAAAAAACGUGUCAUAAAAUAGAAAAUUUCUAGUAAAUAUAAAAUAUGUUGAGAGUAUUGGGGACAGAAGAACCCAUCAUAUGAUCAGAAGAAGGGAAAAAAUCUCACAUAACUAAGCGACAGCGCAAGAGCAAUACGGCAUGAUUCAGAAAAAGGAAAGAAAGCCUUGAAAGAUAUUGAAUUAUAGAUACCUUUUCUCCGAAAAGUGGCAAUUCACGUUGAGGCAAUGAGGUAGCAUCGAUUUUGUCUUGAGAGCAAAAGCUAACGAGUUGAGGAAGACCCUGCAAUGUCAAGGACUGCAAUUCAAGAAAUUCAUUUCUAUCAUUAGUGAUAGAUUCAAUAUCCAAACCAUUUUGGAUAUGCAGAUUCUGCAAAUGUGAUAGCCUUUCCUCAUCUGAUAACUCCUUCAGUGCAAUCUUCACACCUUUCAGUUCAUCCAAUUGUAAAUCUUGAGUUCUCUUUACCAACUUCUUAAUUCCAUGAUCCAAAUCAUCAAAGCUUGUGUUUAGCCUGAGUUUUAAGGUUCUUGAAUAUUGAUAGUUGCCAAACCGCUCCCAUUCCUUUCCUAUGAAAAUCUUGUAUCUUUCCAACUUCUGCAACUUUUGAAAGAAAUCCUCUGGGGCAGCCUCGGCGUUUGGAAUUUGAACUUCUAAAGUGGACAAAUGAGAUAGUGUGUUCAGUUCAGCAAGACUAGCAUUGGGUUGUCCCCAUUGAAUAGAAGUGCCACCCAUAUAUAAUUCUUCUAAUUUUGACAAACUUGGCAACACGUCAGCUGAAAUUGUUUUGAGUUUAGUACAACCACUUACAUCUAACAACUUUAGCUUCAACAACUGCCCAGUUUCCUUGGGUACAAUUUUGAUAUCAGAUCCAGCAAGGCUAUUGAAGUAAUGGUCAGCAUGCAGCAACCAAGACUAUCGAAGGCACUACAUGCAGAAGCUGCUGGUUCUUCAAGUCAGCAAGCUGUUUAUGUUUCAUUUUGUAAUUUUAAGUUAGAGUAAUGUAACUUAGUUGCAUUAUAACUAUGUUAGGUUUAUGUUUGAUGUAAUUUUGAUGUUGAUUGAGCUGAUAAAUCAGCUUUGUUUAUUUGUUCAAGCUAAUUAGCACAAGUUACUAUGUGUAUUAGUGGUAGUAGCUGAAGUUUAGGUCAACCUACUGUUUUGUCAAGAUUGUAAACUUGUUUUAUGUAUUGGCUUUGUGCCAUAUUCAGUUUGUAGAAUGAAAUCAAUGAAGUUUUCAUCUCUAUGCUCUCUAUUUUAGUUUUAUUUCAAAAUCUGUUUGAGUUUUCUGCUUUGUUUCUACUGCAAGUCACGAGACUUGCUCGACAAGCAUUCUGCUGAAGCUUGCUGCUGUUGCACUUAGAUCCAACAAUUGGUAUCUAGAGCCAUAUUCUUAGAGGACCUGUUGUAGUUUAGUAUCAAAACCAUGGCAUCAUCAGGUUUUUCACCAGCUUCACCACCUGUCUUCAAUGGAGAGGGCUUCAACAUUUGGGCAGUUAAGAUGAGGACUUACCUGCAGGCAUUCGACCUAUGGGAAGUUGUUAACUCAGAUGCUGAGCCAGCACCUCUUCGAGCUAAUCCAACAGUUGCUCAAAUGAGGCAACACGCUGAUGAAAGAACAAAAAGGCACAAGGCCAUGUCAUGCAUAUAGAAUUGUGUGACAAAUGUGAUCUUUAUGAGGAUCAUGGCCUGUGAAACACCAAAGGAGGCUUGGGACAAGCUGAAAGAAGAAUUUCAGGGGACUGAGAGAACAAGGCAACAAUAGCUGCUCAAUUUAAGAAGAGAUUUCGAAAAUCUCAAAAUGAAAGAGGAAGAAACAGUUAAGCAGUACUCAGAUCGGAUUAUGGUUGUUGUAAACAGCAUAAGGCUCCUUGGAGAGCAAUUCAGUGAAGCUAGAAUAGUUGAGAAAGUUAUGUCCACUCUACCAGAGAGGUAUGAAGCCAAAAUUUCAUCUCUCAAAGACUCAAGGGACUUGACAACUAUCUCUUUAACUGAGCUAAUCAAUGCCUUGUAUGCACAAGAGCAAAGAAGAGCCAGCAGACAAGAGGAGCACCAGGAAGGUGCUUUUCAAGCCAAAACAAAAGAAGCCUCGAGCACCAAUGCUCAUAAAGGCAAAAAGUUCUAGAAAAACAGGCCUAAGCCUGAUGCUGCUAGAAGCAGUGACCAACUCUGCAGACAUUGUAAAAGAGCUGGUCAUCCAGAAGAUAGAUGCUGGUUUAGACCAGAUGCAGGAUGCCAACACUGCAAGAAAAAGGGCCAUGUUGAAAAGGUUUGCAAGAACAGAAGCAAACCAAGACAGAAUCAAUUUCAGCAACAAAAGGCAGAAGCUCGAGUAGCUGAAGAAAGCAGUGAUCAAGAAGAACAUGUUUUUGCUGUGUCAUGUGCAGCAAGUCAGAAGAAGAGUUCAAAGGGCUGGCUUCUAGACAGUGGGUGCACAAACCACAUGUCACCAGAUGCAACUAUCUUCAAAACCUUGGACAGAACCUGCAAAACCAAGGUGAAAAUUGGAAAUGGUCAGUUUAUUAAUGCUGAAGGAAGAGGAGAUGUGCUGAUUCAUACCUCUACAGGUAGCAAAAUCAUUUCAAAUGUACUUUUGGUACCUGAAAUCGAUAGGAACCUUCUCAGUAUAACUCAACUACUUGAGAAAGGUUACUCAGUUGUGUUCCAGGAGAAAGAAUGCCAAAUUUUUGAUCCAAGUGGAUCAAAUCUCAUAACAGUCACCAUGACUGAUAAAUGUUUUGAAGUAGACUGGCCAAAUGACUUGCAUUCAGCCUGCAUAGCCUUCACUGAUGACUCUAGACUCUGGCACCAGAGGCUUGGACAUGCAAACUUCAAAUCCAUAGCCCGAAUGGUCAAUGAAGGACUUGCUGAAAAUUUCAUCGAUUCAGUGAAGAAUGAUGAGCUUUGUGAGAUAUGUCAGCAAGGAAAAUUGGCAAGAUUGCCAUUUCCUACAGGCACAACAUGUAGAGCAUCAGAGAAGCUGCAGCUUGUGCACACUGAUGUGUGUGGACCAAUGAAGACCGAGUCUCUCAAAGGAAGCAGGUACUUUAUACUCUUUAUUGAUGAUUUGACAAGAUACUGCUGGAUUUAUUUUCUAAAGCAAAAAUCAGAAGUUGCAUCUGUGUUCUUGAAGUAUAAAGCUGCUGUUGAAACUGAGUCUGGUUGCAAACUUAAAGCACUGAGGUCAGAUAAUGGAACUGAGUACACCUCAGCUCAGUUCCAAGCCUACUGUGAAGAAGCAGGCAUCAAACACCAGUUGACUAAUGUGUAUACACCCCAACAGAAUGGGGUCAGUGAAAGGAAAAAUAGAAGCUUGAUGAACAUGGCAAGAUGUCUUAUGUUUGAGAAGAAUUUGCCCAAAACUCUGUGGGCUGAAGCUGUUAACACAGCAGUUUAUCUCCAAAACAGGCUCCCAACUAAGGCUCUGGCUGAGAAGACUCCGUUUGAAGCCUGGUUUGAGUUUAAGCCAUCACUAGCUCAUCUCAGAACCUUUGGUUGUCUGUGCUACACUCAAGUUCCAGCUGAGAAAAGAAGCAAACUAGAUAAAAGAGCUCAAGCAGGGAUCCUGAUCGGCUAUAGUUUGGUUAAAAAGGGUUACAGAAUCCUAAAACCUGCUACAAACAAGAUACUGGUUAGCAGGGAUGUUGUCUUCAAUGAAAAAGGAUACUGGAAUUGGGAAAAGGCUAAGCCAGAGGCAGUGGCUGAAGAUCUGGCAUUGGACCAAGCUGAAGAUAAUGAAAACACACUUGAAAUGGAUGUAGAUGAUGUUCCAAUCAGAUGUACUCGAUCACUGGCUGAUGUUUAUGAAAGAGCACAAGUGGCCACUGUUGAACCAAGUUGCUUUGAAGAAGCAGAGAGCCAGGAGGGGUGGAAGCAGGCAAUGAUUGAAGAAAUCAGAAUGAUUGAAAAGAAUCAGACCUGGAGUCUGAUUGAAAGACCAACAAACAGGAAGAUUAUUGGUGUCAAAUGGGUUUAUCGAGUUAAGAACAAUGUUGAUGGUAGCCUAAACAAGUUAAAGGCUAGACUGGUUGUGAAAGGCUUCAGUCAAAGGUAUGGAUCAGACUACCUGGAAACCUUUGCACCAGUGGCCAGGCUAGACACCAUCAGACUGCUAGUUGCCUUAGCAGCACAAAAACAGUGGUUGAUACACCAACUUGAUGUAAAAUCAGCAUUUCUAAAUGGAUUCCUUGAAGAGGAGAUUUAUGUGGAGCAACCUCAAGGUUUCAAGGUGUCUGGCAAGGAAGAAAUGGUGUACAAGCUCAACAAAGCCUUGUAUGGCUUGAAACAGGCUCCAAGGGCCUGGUAUAGUAGAAUAGAUGGCUAUCUGACCAGUCUAGGAUUUGAAAGAAGUCUUAGCGAGCCAACUCUGUAUGUUAAAUCAACUAGUGCUGAAACUCAGCUCAUUGUCUCAAUAUAUGUCGAUGACCUACUGGUGACAGGAGGAGAUCAUGAGAUGCUAAGCAGCUUUAAAGCCAAAAUGCAACAGCACUUUGAAAUGUCAGACUUGGAAUUGAUGUCUUACUUCUUAGGCAUGGAAGUAACUCAAGCUAAGAAUGGGAUUUGGCUAAGUCAAAAGACCUUUGCUAUGAAGGUUCUCAACAAAUUCUCAAUGGAGAAUUGCAAAGCAACCAGCACACCAGUUGCUAUUGGAGAAAAACUCUCGAGCCAAGACAAGCAUGAAAAGGUUUGUGAAACAACCUAUCGAAGUCUAGUUGGAUGUUUGUUGUAUUUGACUGCUACUAGACGUGACAUAAUGUAUGCUGUAAGUCUACUCUCGAGGUUUAUGCAUUGUUCAAAUGAAAGUCAUUUUAGAGCUGCAAAAAGGGUUCUAAGAUACAUCAAAGGAACCUUGUCCUAUGGAAUGCAGUUUACCAAGGCUGAGAACUUGAAGCUAGUUGGAUAUUGUGACAGUGAUUGGGCUGGUUCCUUGGAUGACAUGAAGAGCACUACAGGUUAUGCAUUCAACAUAGGCUCUGCUAUGAUUUGUUGGAGCUCAAAGAAGCAGGGAGUAGUGGCUCAGUCGACUGCAGAAGCAGAAUAUGUGGCUGCUGCUGCAGCAGUCAAUCAAGCCAUAUGGCUUAGAAAAAUUUUGAAAGAUAUCAAUCAUGAGCAAAAGGAAGCAACUGAGAUAAUGUGUGACAACCAAUCAGUAGUUGCUAUUGCAAAGAAUCCUGUUUUUCAUGGAAGGACCAAGCACUUCAACAUCAAACUUCAUGCAGUUCGAGAAAUGGAGCAAGCUCAUGUUGUUAAGCUGAUACAUUGCAGUUCUGAAGAGCAAAUUGCUGACAUUUUAACAAAAGCACUAAGUGUUUCCAAGUUUCAACACCUGAGAGCUAAGAUGGGAGUUUGCAACAUGCUAACCAAGGAGGAGUGUUGAAGUAAUGGUCAGCAUGCAGCAACCAAGACUAUCGAAGGCACUACAUGUAGAAGCUGCUGGUUCUUCAAGUCAGCAAGCUGUUUAUGUUUCAUUUUGUAAUUUUAAGUUAGAGUAAUGUAACUUAGUUGCAUUAUAACUAUGUUAGGUUUAUGUUUGAUGUAAUUUUGAUGUUGAUUGAGCUGAUAAAUCAGCUUUGUUUAUUUGUUCAAGCUAAUUAGCACAAGUUACUAUGUGUAUUAGUGGUAGUAGCUGAAGUUUAGGUCAACCUACUGUUUUGUCAAGAUUGUAAACUUGUUUUAUGUAUUGGCUUUGUGCCAUAUUUAGUUUGUAGAAUGAAAUCAAUGAAGUUUUCAUCUAUAUGCUCUCUAUUUUAGUUUUAUUUCAAAAUCUGUUUGAGUUUUCUGCUUUGUUUCUACUGCAAGUCACGAGACUUGCUCGACAAGCAUUCUGCUGAAGCUUGCUGCUGUUGCACUUAGAUCCAACAAAGGCUAAGCACAUUUAAGUUCUUGAGAGCUCCAAUAACGGUUAGGUUAUCUCCCAAAUUGCAGCAAUCUAGGCACAAUGUACUGAGGCUAGUUAGGAGACCAAUCGAUGAAGGUAAAGAAGAAAAAUGCAUGCGAGUCAAAUCUAAGACUUUAAGAUUUUUUGCUUCCUUGAAGAAGUUAUCCGACAACAUCGCCUUGCUUGACAAAAGGAAAAGAAAAAGCAGCGGGCAAUUCAACUGGUCAGGAAGCUUGUAAAUACUAGAAUGCGGCAAAAUAAUCUUGUUGCACUCUUUCAUUGACUCUCCAUUUGGCCAAUCUGUUACAAUAUCCUCAUCCUCUGUUAAAGCAAGCACUUGAUUGUCCUUUGAAGCGAUUGAUUUGGCCACAAUAUAAGUAAGAUCAUGCACAUCAAAGUAUUCCUUAUUGGAACUUUUGCUAUCAAGCAACAAACAAGAUUCUUUGAGGGUACUCAGCAUUUUUAACAGCCUAUCUCGUGCUGCUUUCAUGCUGUUGGCUCCUUUAAUUAGACCCAAACCAAGAGCAUAUCUCAACAAGCCUUCAAUCCUAACGACACGACGCAGUAAACUGCAAAGUAGGAAAAUUUGCUUGAGGUCUUCACUCGAUAAAUGAUUGAUACUCAACUCAGUAGCCGAAUGUACCUUAGCAGAUAUAUCAUCUGAGCUUUUUUCUAAGUAAGGCCUCUGUAAUUGUUGUAAAGCAUCACUCCAAAAAAAUAAAUGUUUAUUUCGCAACGCCCUUGCAACUGUAAAGCAUCACUCCAAAAAAAUAAAGGUUUAUUUCGCAACGCCCUUGCAACAGUUGCAAGGGCGAGUGGUAAUCUUGCACAUUUCUCGGCUACCUUAAUUGCUGUAGAUCGCAGCUCCUCAUCACUUUCAAAACUGUCCCCGGCCAUCUUCCUAAAGAACUCCCAAGCUUCUUCGUUUUCUAAAUCACCAAUUGCAAAGGUCUUUGUAGCAUCCAUUCCAUUGCUUAGAACAUUUUGAUCUCUUGAGGUCAACAGUAUUUUGCAUCCUUUGUGUCGACUUCCAAAUGGAAUUCCGACUUCCUCUAGAUCCAGUUUCUUCCAAAGAUCAUCCAAAAUAAUAAGAACAUUUUUAUCCUUCCUUAACCUUUCAAACAAUCUACGGGCUCUUACAACCGGACUGUUUUCUUCAAGCUUCAAACCCAAUGAGUAUGCUAUUUGGUCUUGGAUUUCCUUAAUGUCAGGAAUUCGAGAUACAAUUGCCCUGACAACUGAAUCGAAUAACUUAACCUCAUGGAGUUGUCUCUCAACUUCUUUGACCAGCGAUGUUUUGCCCACACCAGCCAUCCCGUACACUCCAAUCAUGCCUGUUGUUGCAUCUUUCAGUGACUCCAUGAUAUCAUCGAAAACCUCCUCUCUUGAUUUAAAUGCCUCAAAGUCUGGAUGGACUAUGGGUCCAGGAACAUCAUGGUAUCCCACGCCCUCAAAUUGGCAAUCUUUGAUAAGCUCAUCAAAAGUGGCAGCAGCUUCUUCAGCUUUCCUGCUAAGCUGUUAGCGAGACUUGAUGUUGGGACACAAGCCAAAGAAGCACUUGGUCUUCGCUUUGACUUCAAGAUCCUUCACUUUCUUCUCCUUUUCAGUGACAACCUUCUCCACUCGGUGGCGCCAAUCCAGGACAUCGGCUUUAAUCUUCUCCCCGUUCAUUUCUGCAACAUCAACAUCUUGCUGCACACUUGUUCUUUUUGCAAUCAACGUCCUGUGUUUCUGCUCGAACUUGUCAACAAUUUUCUGGUAGAAGAUUACAUAUGUAAUAUGACGUUUAACAUGGUGGAAAAUACCUUUGGCAGCCUCGGAAGAGACAUUGGCAGCAGCACCAGUACCAAUUGCUUCCAUUUUUAUUUUAUUUUUUUGCUUUGGGGAUACAGAUGACAGUCAGAGAGUAGAAAAAGAGGCAAGAAAGAAAAUACUAAAAGGAAAUAAGCAAGCAAGAAGAAAUCAGAAAUGAUGUGAAGAAGCCAUUAGCAGAUAAGGAAUAGAAAUUCAGAAAGGCGUGGAAUUGGAUAUGGACUGUUGUCUUUGACUCUGUUAGACUUUAGAUUAGAAAUCAAAGAACCAGCAAAAGAAAGCAGAGAAUGGAUGUGGACGGUUGCGGGUAUUUUCAGUGGAAAUUAAGUUUAAUGAUUUAACUUAUAAAAAUUACAUAAUUAUUUAUGAGAAUAUUAUAUUUUUAUUAGGGAUGUUCAUUCGGUUGACCGACCCGAAAUAAUAUUAAUUGAAUUAACCAACUUUUUAAAAUCUUUAACCGUUAACCGAACCAAAAUUUUUUAAAAAAAAUUAACCGAACCGAAAUUUUUCGGUUAAUAGAUUACUCCUAUUGUUGAUAUAUGCAACCGCACAACAUUGCAAUUAAAAAAAUUACAAGAAAAAAAGUUCAAUUUUUUAUCCUCUUACUAGAUUUAUUUGGUCAAGCAAACAAAAGAGAUCAAACUUUGUAAAACAACAAUCAUCCUCCAUCUCCUUCCCCAUUCAUCUUCAAGUUUUUCAUUGUUCUUAUACCCUCGCUCAAAUCUCACAAUCUCAAAUACUAUACCAAAUCAAUAUCCAACUUUACUAGACCCAAACUACAUCACCACUUCAUCAUCGAGCACUCAUCGCUAAACCCACAUCGAAAGACGUCUUUUUUUUUUUACAAACAUACCUAAACUCUGUUUCGCAUUUUCUUUUAAUGAGGAAAAAUCAGUUAAUGAAGCAUCACUUAGUCUUAAGCAUCUAAAUCCCUCAAAGCCCUGCAUUUUGCAGCUGAAAUAGAGCCAAAGAUGUUUCUAUAAUUAAAGGCUUUUUUAUUUGAAUCUCUCAGCCAACUAUUUGAUCAUGGUUCUAGUAGAAUUUGGUAGUGAUUGAUUCAAAAAAGUAAUUCAAAAGACUCAUUUAGUUGGGUGAGGUUUAAAGAAAAAAAAGGAAAUAUUUAUUCAAAAAAUUCAAGAAAAUUUGAGGGUUAAAUUUUGUUGAAUCCCUAAAAAAAAGGUAAAUUAAAGAAAUAUUUAUUUGAAUCCCUCAACCAAAUUCAUAUUUAAUCCUUUAUGUAAUUUUAUAUAUAUUUUUAGUAAUUUAUAUUUUUAUGUCAUUUUAUAAUAAAUUUUUAUAUAUUUUCAAGUUUUUAAAACUAUAAUUUUUUUUAAUUUGGACUAAAUUGCCAAAAUAAGCAAAUAUUGAGGGUUAAAUUUGUUGAAUUUUUAGAAUUAAGAACAAAUAGACAAAAUGUGUAAAGUGUUAAGGGUUAAUUUUGUUUUUAUAACAAGUAAAAGACGAUCAUGUCAACAUUUUGUUUAGUGACCAAGGCAUUUUAAUGGAGUGACUAAAAAUGACAAUUAAUCUAACGGGUGACUAAAUUAACAAAAACAAAUCGNNNNNNNNNNNNNNNNNNNNNNNNNNNNNNNNNNNNNNNNNNNNNNNNNNNNNNNNNNNNNNNNNNNNNNNNNNNNNNNNNNNNNNNNNNNNNNNNNNNNNNNNNNNNNNNNNNNNNNNNNNNNNNNNNNNNNNNNNNNNNNNNNNNNNNNNNNNNNNNNNNNNNNNNNNGAUGAGUGACAAAAAAUAAUAUUUCAAUACCUUUAAUGGUAAUUAUAUAACUUUUGAAAGUUGAAUGACUGAAAUACAAUUUGAAUCAAAGUUUAGAAACAAUUGGUAUAGUUUAUUCUAUUUUAUACACUUUUGAACCCUCAGUAAAUUCUUCUUAAUAUUAUUUUAGUUCUAAUUAGUUAUGAUUAAUUAAAUAAAACUAAUGUAAAAAAUUAAAUAAAACUAAAAAAAGAUUAUUAUGAUAAUAUUUUUUUAUACUUUUAAAUUUUUUAAAGAAAAAAAUUAUAAAUUAAAUAAUUAAAUACAUGUUGAAUAAUAUUAUAAUACAAGUUUAUUAUCAGUUGACCUAUAUCUAUAAUUAAAUAAUUUUUUUUAAAAAUUAACAUAUAAUUUUUUUUUAUUGGUGGGCAAUUUAGGGAAAUUUGAGUAGAAGUAGUAGGUUAAUUUUCCAAUAAAAGCCCUUUUUUUUUCAAAAUUUACCGGAAUGAGCCGAUUUUUUGAUUAUUUACCGGAAUGGGCCAUUUUCCGCGAAAUCUCAUCCACGUCAGUGCGAUGCCAGGGUACGCGCCAGGAAAUCGCGUCCACGUCAGCGCGACUUGCUGACGUGGACAGAAAUCGCGCCCUAGAGGAUGCGAUUUGCUGACGUGGCAUGAACAGUUUAUGUUUUUUAGCUUGAAAAACUUCGAAAGACCAUAACUUUUGGCUCGGUUGUCCGAUUGAGCCGAUUUUUUUAUUUCGAAUAAAUUUUUGAGAUCUACGCGCUGACAAACUCUUAGAGAUGAAUAGGGACUAAUUUGUAAAGUAUAAUUUGUUAGUUACGAGUAUAGGGACUAAAGUGUAAUUAUUUCAAAAUUAGCAUGAAAUUUUUGUAUUUAAGAAUAUUUGAAUGUUAUGGAAGGAUGAAAUUGAAUUUGAAUUGAAAAACGAAGCUUAGAUUUGAAAAUAUGACUAUUUAGGUUUUAGGGACUAAAUUGAAUAAAAUGGAAAAUUUUAGGGAACUUCUCAAAAGUGGAAUGAGCUGACUUAUACCUAUAACAGGAUGAUAUAAGACAAUUCUGUAAAAAGAGAUCCGGUGUUUACUUCAAAUAAAUGAGGAAAAUAACGAUUUGAAUGUUUCAAAAUUCAAUUUUAAACCAAAAAAAUCGAAAUUUAGGGGCAAAAAAGGAUCUUUUUCGAUGAAAAAUUUGGCAAACCGCCUACGGCUAUUUGCCAGUGCGUAGAUCUUGAAAAUUUAUUCGAAAUAAAAAAAUCGUCUCAAUCGGACAACCGAGCGAAAAGUUAUGGCCUUUCAAAGUUUUCCAAGCUUAAAAACAUAAACUGUUCAUCCACGUCAGCAAAUCGCGUCCUUGUAGGCGCGAUUUGUGUCCACGUAAGCAAAUCGCGCUGACGUGGACGCGAUGUCCUGACACGUACCCUGACAUCGCGCUUACGUGGACGCGAUUUCGUGAAAAAUGGCCCAUUCUGGUAAGUAAUUAAAAAAAACCGGCCCAUUUCGAUAAAUUUUAACGACUUUUUUUUGGUAAAAUAGCCGAAGUAGUAAUAUUUUUAUUUUCAGUUUUGAAGUUUCAACCUUAUUUUGUUUUCAGCUUGUUCAAUAAUUGAUAAGGUUGGCCACUUGUUCAAUAAUUGAGGAGGCUGGUCGUGUGGGUCUCAUGAAAUGGCACGUGACAUCAUAAUUGAUUUCCUAUUGUUUCGGUUCUACAAAAUAGUUUAUAUUUUGUUUUGCUUGAAAUUGUAAUGUGUUUCAACUCAAUUUUGGUUAAUAUCAAUUUGUAUUGGUGUAUUUAAAUUAAAUUACAGAGUAAAAAAGUAAAAAAUAAAAUAUAUUUUCUAUAUUCGAAAUUUAACAUUUCUACUUUUAUUUUUAGAAAUUCAAUUUAUCUAUUUUCGAAAUUAAAAAUAUAGAUCUAAUUGCUAUCACCGUUAAAAUUUUCUAUAAAAUUAUACAAUGACAUUUAAAAAUUAAAAAAGUUUACUUGAUAACCAUGUAAUAAUAAAAAUAAUGUUAUAAAUAUCGAUUGAGAUUUUUUUUAACACUGUACAUUUGAAUUUGUUAUGGUAAAAAAAUUUUCCCAUUUGAAUAGUAUUUUUAACAAAAAUUGACAUCAAAAUUUGGAUAACAAUUUAACUUAAAGUAAAAAACUAAAUUAUGUUAAAAACUGAACUAUACAUAUAACAACCCACAUUUAAUCCAAUCAUUAAAUCUAAAUAUACAACAUCAGAAGCAAUUUGAAGUAGCUUCUCUUUAAAAGAAACAACACAAAUAUCAAGCAUUUAUCACCUUAUACAAACAUAAACAAUUUAUCACAUUCGAAAUGAAGCGAAUUUAAAAACAUAAACAAUUUAAAACAUGUUAUAUUAAAAACUGUAAGUAAUCAUUGUAAAAGUAUAUGUAUGUACUUUUUUUUUAAUUAAAAAAUUGUUUUCUAUUUGAAAAAUUCAGUUACAGUAAUUUUUUUAGUGUAAGAUAUAAACUUUAAUAUUUUUUUAAAUGUUAGUUACUUUAUUAACCUGUUAUUAAAUUUAAUAAUGAAUAACCAAAAUGUCAUAAAUUUCUAUUCAUUUGAAAUCUUUAAAUUAAAAUAAGUAAACCAAAGAUAUUAGAACGAAUUAAUACAAAAUAAAGUAUAUUUUUAAUGAUUUUUGUUAAAAUAAAAUGAUAAAAAUAUCUUCAAAUAAUAUAAUUAUUUUACUUUCGAAAAAUUAUUUGCGUAAUUUUUUUAAUCGAUCUGGUACCCGAUUGACUCGUAACACCAACUUAGACAAAAAUUUAAAUAAUAGCUUAGAUUUAUCAAUAAUUUAUUAUAUUAUUCAUCAUAUAUUACUAGUUUAUAAUUAUUUAUAAAAUUUACUAUAUAUUAUGAAUAUAUCAUAAAGAUAAAAUUAUUUAUCAUUCAGAGAUUUUGUAACACCCAAAAAUUUUGGUGACAUAAAUAGUAAAAUUUUCUUAUUUUCAUAUCUUUUUAAACAGAAAAAAACAAUGAUUUUAUUCAAAGAAAAAAAAAGGUUAAAAAGAAGCAAAAGGGUUUUGGAAGGCAAACAAUAAAGUGUAAAGAAGCUUUAAAUGUUUAAGGUUAUUUAAAUAUUCACAUGGAAAUAUUUCAUUAAUGGAAGCAUCAAUCACAACAAUAUUUAAGGUUAUAUCUCCAUGCAUGCAUACCAUGUUGUAUCCUUCCAUCUUUGCCAAAGUAUGUAUUAAAAUAAUAUUUCAUUAAUUGGAUGUCUUUUUAAGGAUGUAAAUGAUCAUUGGUUAUGUGGGUACUCCUUGAAAGUCAGCAAGGAAACUUUAUGCGGAAUCCCGGAUCUAAACACAAGAGAAACACAAAUUAGAAAUAAAAAAUAAGAAUAAAUAAAAGUAGUUAAAUAAUAAUAAAAAAUAGAUUUACCCUAUAGAACCCUUGGUUAACUUGCAACCAAAAACGCCAAUGAUUGAGCGGCUCCCUACGAAACCCCUAGAAGAAGAACCUCUAGAAACACCAAUGAACAGGAAAGAAAUUUGAAUAUUUGCAACUCCGAAAUACCCUCGAAAGUAACAAGCUCCAAACUAAAUAGCAAGAGAAGAAUCACUCUACUCUCAAAAAUUUGCCUCACACAAAUUUGAAUGAAAACAAAUACUCUUCUUUUUAUUCCUCCUCCAAUGUGUAGAAAACAAGCCUAUUUAUAGGCAAAUUACAAGAGUAAUUGAAUCCUAAUAAAACUCUUUUAAGAGUAAUUGAAUCCUAAUAAAAACUCUUUAAAGAGUAAUUGAAUCCUAAUAAAACUCUUUAAAAUUAUCUAAGAAAAUAAAUAAAUAAUAACCUAACCAAUAAAAUUACUUAACUCAUAAAUGAUGUGUCCCAACCAAUGAGAAUUAAGCAAAUAAUAAUAAUAAUAAUAAGAUACAUAANNNNNNNNNNNNNNNNNNNNNNNNNNNNNNNNNNNNNNNNNNNNNNNNNNNNNNNNNNNNNNNNNNNNNNNNNNNNNNNNNNNNNNNNNNNNNNNNNNNNNNNNNNNNNNNNNNNNNNNNNNNNNNNNNNNNNNNNNGAUUUUAAUUGUCGUGCCUUGCUUCGAGUGAUUGGACCACUAGGAAAGACAACCCUUUGAGUGUCACCUCCUUGACUCGUAUCAUUCUCCCCCUCUUCAAGAAGAUUCGUCCUCGAAUCUGAACCUACAUCAAAUUCAAAAGGAGAAAGAUCAGAAACAUUGAAAGUAGCACUAACACUAUACUCACCAGGAAGAUCAAUGCGAUAAGCAUUGUCAUUUAUUUUCUCGAGUACUUGGAAUGGUCCAUGUCCUCGUGCAUCAAGUUUAUUCUUUCUCUUAGAAGGAAAUCGUUCCUUCCUCAUAUGCACCCAUACCCAAUCUCCAGGUUCAAACAAGACUUGCUUUCGUCCUUUAUUAACUCGAUGUGCAUUGGACUCAUUCUUUUUCUCAAUGGCUUUACGAGCCUUCUCAUGGAUCUCUUUCACUAAAUCAGCUUUCCUUUCACCAUCUAAAUUAGCAAUCUCAUUCAAAGGUAAAGGAAGCAAAUCUAAAACAGUAAGUGGAUUAAAGCCAUAUACAAUCUCAAAAUGAAUAAAACCUGUGGAAGAAUGAACAGAACGAUUAUAAGCAAACUCAACAUAUUCUUCCCAAGAUUUAACAUUCUUACCUAUUAUGGCUCUAAGCAAAGAUCCCAAAACUCGAUUUACCACAUUGGUUUGACCAUCAGUUUGAGGGUGGCAUGUAGUAGAGUAAAGUAGUUUAGUACCUAACUUACCCCAUAACACCUUCCAAAAGUUACUAAGAAAUUUUGCAUCUCUAUCGAAACGAUAGUCCUUGGGAUUUCAUGUAAUCUCACAACUUCACGGAAAAAUAGAUCGGCAACAUGGGUUGCAUCAUCAGUCUUAUGGCAUGGAAUGAAAUGAGCCAUUUUAGAAAAUCGAUCUACAACCACAAAGAUGCUAUCUAGUCCACGCUUUGUCCUUGGUAAACCUAUUACAAAAUCCAUUGAAAUGUCAGUUCAAGGUGAACUAGGAACAGGAAGAGGAGUGUAUAGACCAUGAUGCAUCACAGUGGAUUUAGCUUGUUUACAAGUAAUGCAAGUAGAGCAAAUUUUCUCAACAAGUUUUCAUAUGUUAGGCCAAUAAAAAUGCUCAUGUAAAACAUCAUAAGUCUUAGUGACUCCAAAAUGACCCAUAAGACCACCACUAUGAGCCUCUCGAACCAACAAUUCUCGUAUUGAACACUUUGGUAAGCAUAGUCUAUUAUUUCGAAAAAGAUAGCCAUCGUGCUUAUAAAAUUUGUGAAAUGUACCAUGUUUACAUGCGUCAUAAAUGCUUGAAAAAUUAGAAUCAGUGGCAUAUAAAUCUUUGAGAUACUCAAAACCUAAUAACUUAGUAUGCAAAGUACUAAGUAAAGUGUACCUCCUUGAUAGAGCAUCAGCCACAAUAUUAUCUUUACCUUUCUUAUACCUUAUAACAUAAGGAAAAGAUUCAAUGAAUUCAACCCACCUCGCAUGUCGCUUGUUCAACUUACCUUGUCCCUUUAAGUGCUUAAGUGAUUCAUGGUCAGUGUGAAUCACAAACUCCUUUGAUAAAAGGUAAUGUUGCCAAACUUCUAAUGCCCUUACCAAGGCAUACAACUCUUUAUCAUAGGUCGAAUAGUUCAAAUGUGCUCCACCAAGUUUCUCACUAAAGUAGGCUAGUGGUUUACUAUCUUGCAUGAGGACGGCACCUAUACCUACACCAGAAGCAUCACAUUCAAUCUCAAAGGUCUUUUCAAAAUUAGGUAAAACAAGAAUAGGAGCAUUACAUAAUUUAUCUUUAAGUUCAUUAAAUGCUAAUUCUUACUUAUCUGUCCAAUGAAAAGAUACAUCAUUUUUAAUAAGUGCAGUCAAAGGCGAAGCAAUUGUGGAAAAGUUACGAACAAACCUGCAGUAGAAACCGGCUAACCCAAGGAAAGAUCUUACCUCAGAAAUAGUUUUAGGGAUAGGCCAUUCUUUAAUUGCCUUUACCUUCUCCUCAUCCACAUGGAUUCUUGUAGAACUUAUCACAAAACCCAAAAAAACAAGCUUAUCCAUACAAAAGGUGCAUUUUUCAAGACUAGCAAAGAGUCGUUCAUGCCUUAACACAUCCAAUACUAAUUUAACGUGCCCAACAUGAUCAUUCAAAGUUUUACUAUAAAUCAGUAUAUCAUCAAAAUACACAACGACAAAUUUUCCUAAAAAAGGUCUAAGUAUGUGGUUCAUUAAUCUCAUGAAUGUGCUAGGAGCAUUAGUUAAGCCAAAUGGCAUGACUAACCACUCAUACAGGCCAUACUUAGUCUUAAAAGUAGUUUUUCAUUCAUCACAUUGUUUCAUUCUUAUUUGAUGGUAACCACUUUUUAAGUCAAUUUUAGAGAAAAUGCAUGCACCAUUAAGCUCAUCCAACAUAUCAUCUAAUCGAGGAAUUGGAUGUCGAUACUUUACCGUAAUCUUGUUGACAGCACGACAAUCAACACACAUUCUCUAAGAACCAUCUUUUUUUGGGAUGAGAAGUACAGGGACCGCACAAGGGCUUAGACUCUCACGAAUCAACCCUUUCUUUAAGAGAUCUUCAACUUGCCUUUGCAACUCCUUAGUUUCUUCAGGAUUGCUUCGAUAGACUAGUCUAUUCGGAAUACUCGAACCAGGCACAAAGUCAAUUUGAUGUUCAAUCCCUCGUAAAGGAGGUAAUCCCUUAGGCAUUUCAGAAGGAAAUACAUCCUCAAAAUCCUGCAAAAGAUCAACAAAACAACUAGGCAAAUGUGUAUUAGGGUUAGUCAAAACAAAGUUUUCCCUAAACCUAAUAAUUACAAAUGUUUGUUUUGUACAAAGAGUAAAUUUGAUAUCUCAAAACCUAGCGAAUAAACUCACUCUCUCAUCUCGUGACUUGUGUGUGCAAUCACUCACCAAUGUUGGGCCUUUAAGCUGGCUUUUAACACUAAGGGCCUCUUUACUCUCAGCCUUUUUCAAUGAUUUUACCUCACUUCCCUUACCCAUCUCACUAGCAAGUUUGAGUUGAUCAUUGUAGACUUAUUGAGGAGGAAGUGGAGCCAAAGUAAACUUCUUUCCAAGGAACACAAAGGUAUAUUGGUUAAGGAAACCAUAAUGAUUUACUCGUUGAUCAAACUGCCAUGGCCGUCCAAGUAAUAUGUGCCCAGCUUGCAUUGGAACAACAUCACACAAAACUUUAUCAAAGUAUCUACCAAUGGAAAAUGAAACUAAGCAUUGUUUAGAUACUUUUACCUCCCCACUAUCAUUCAGCCAUUGCAAGCGGUAUGGCCUUGGAUGCUUCACACAAGGUAGGCCAAGUUUCUCAACAAGGGAAGAACUCACCAUAUUGGUGCAACUUCCACUAUCGAUGAUCAAUUAACUAGGUUGUCCAUCAAUCAAACAUCUCGUGUGGAAAAUGUUAUCUCUUUGUUCGCGCCCUUCCUCUUUAAACUGGACAUUUAAAGCCCUUCGAGCAACAAGUGAUUUCUCACCAUACUCUAAGUAUUCUUCAUACUCAUCAUGAGCAUCUUCCAAAGGAGGCAUUUCAUCUUCGUUAUUAGACUCAAAAUCAACCUCGCCAUCUUCUCGAAUCACCAAUGACUUUUUAUUAGGGCAUUCUCGAGCACAGUGACCCCUUUCUUGGCAUUUGAAGCAGGUAAUAUCUUUUGGCUACUUAAUGGCACUAGGAGAAGUAGAAGAAGAAGAUAGAGCUUGAUUAGUAGAAGUAGAACCUUUAAAUGAAUUAGGCAUACCUCUAUCUCAUACCUCUAUCUUUGGAGUAAGUUCUAGGCUCAUUUGGCUUGGACCGUGCAUCUCUCCCAUUCCACAAUCUAUCAUCUUGUUUUUGCCAAUUUCCUCUCCAAGCAGGAUUAGAAACUGAACUAGUACCCCUCGGUGUCCCUUUCUUUCGUAAUUGCUUUUCAAUGGUGAGUGCGAUUUGAAGCAUCUCUUCAACAUCCAUGUAGUGUUGUAACUCAACUCGAUUUGCAAUCUCAGGCUUUAGGCCGGCAAGGAAUCUAGCCAUAGUUACAUCAGCCUCUUCAACAAGAUUGGCUUUAAUCUGAAUAGUCUCUAUCUCUUUGUAGUAGUCAUCCACAGAUCUAUCUCCUUGAACAAGAUGUUGGAGUCUUUGAUGGAGUUCUCGAUAAUAGUAUGGUGGAACAAACUGUUUUCGCAAGAUGCGCUUCAUUUCAACCCAAGUAGUAACAGGUUGCUCUCUAUAAAGAAUCCUGCUUUUACAAAAUUGAUUCCACCAUGUUAGUGCAUAAUUAAUGAACUCAGCGAUAGCGUAUGUUACCUUUUUCUCAUCAGAGUAAUUGUAACAAGCAAUGACUGCUUCCAUCUUUUCCUCCCAAUCAAGGUAAGCAUCAGGAUCAUUCUUCCCUGAGAAAGAAAGAAAUUUUGGUUUGGGGGUGUCAUUGUUUCAUUCCACCCUUUCUCUAGGUACAUACUCGGACUCAAAGUCAUCAUCAAAAACAUGGUCCUUCCUUCGUUUAAAAGUUCGAUCUCGCAAAUUUGAUCAGAUUAUAAAGGCUUCGUUCAACUUCUUGUAAUUAUCGGCAAUGUAUCUCUCUUGAGUUGUAAGUUUUGUAUCAAGAUACUCCCUUUGCUCUUGUAACAUCUGGGUCAUGCGAUGUUCGAAUUGAGUUUGUAACUUUUUCAUCUCUUUUUGUAACAACUCGACCAAAGGAUCAUUCUCUCUUUUUUUCUCAUCCUCUUCAUUUUUACUAGUUUGGGAUCUAGUAAGCGGCAUGAUAUCUGUGAAAGAUCAAACAAACAGGAACAAGAAAGAAAAAUAAUAAUAACCUCACUCGUUAGCUCUCAAAAGAAUAACUCUCUGAAUGAUUCAAAACUUGUAAAUAUGUUUGGAGAGGGUUACUAAUCAAGAUCAACGGAGGUGCAAACUUCAAAGAAACAAUGAAGACCCUAAUUGCUCUAAGAGGCCAAUAAACUUGACGAGGCAAUUUGUAAUGGAGGCUACACGGAUGAAGGAAUUGUGCGUGCCUUUAAUAUCUGCUAACACAAGAAGAAACAAAGUGUUAGAAAGCGUAAGAGAAAUAAAAAAAAGCGUAGACCUGCAACGAUCCCUAACUCUAGAGUCAAAGAAAAGCUUUAAUAAGAAGAAAACUUAAGAAAAACUCUACCCAAAUUAAAACAAAAAAACAAAAAAUCGAAAACGUUUGGUGUAUUAAGAUUUUCAAAAAUUGAAGCUUUAAUUAUACUUGAGUCAAGAAAAAAAAGAAGGAAAAUAAAUUCAAUUUUGGGAAAAAUAAAAAUAAUAACAAUAAUAGGAAAAGAAGAAACCUACGUAUGAAAGGUAGGCAACUUUUUUUUUACGAUUUUUUUUGCUCUUUUUACUUUUUUUCUUUUUUUUUGCUGUUUUUUUUUAAAGAAUAAGAGGAGAAUAAACACAAAAUUCAAAAAAAAAAAGAAUCGACGAAACUGAUGAAAAGUGUUUUUAGUAUUUUGACUCGUUUCGGAUUUGAUUUUAGCUUCAAAAAUAACACCGACUGGCCUGAAACUGAUACCAACUGAUGUGGAAUCCCGGAUCUAGACACAAGAGAAACACAAAUUAGAAAUAAAAAACAAGAAUAAAUAAAAUUAGUUAAAUAAUAAUAAAAAAUGAUAGAUUUGCCCUAUAGAACCCUUAGUUAACUUGUAACAAAAAACGCCAAUGAUUGAGCGGCUCCCUACGAAACCCCUAGACGAAGAACCUCUAGAAACACUGAUGAACGGGAAAGAAAUUUGAAUAUUUGCAACUCCGAAAUACCCUCGAAAGUAACAAACUCCAAACUAAAUAGUAAGAGAAGAAUCACUCUACUCUCAAAAAUUUGCCUCACACAAAUUUGAAUGAAAACAAAUACUCUUCUUUUUAUUCCUUCUCCAAUGUGUAGAAAACAAGCCUAUUUAUAGGUAAAUUACAAGAGUAAUUGAAUCCUAAUAAAACUCUUUUAAGAGUAAUUGAAUCCUAAUAAAAACUCUUUAAAGAGUAAUUGAAUCCUAAUAAAACUCUUUAAAAUUAUCUAAGAAAAUAAAUAAAUAAUAACCUAACCAAUAAAAUUACUUAACUCAUAAAUGAUGUGUCCCACCAAUGAGAAUAAGCAAAUAAUAAUAAUAAUAAUAAGAUACAUAAAAGAUUAAUCCACCAAUUUAUGGGCUUUCACAAUUCCAAGAUUGGUCCAGUGAAUUGCAUUCCCUUAUUUGUCAAUGUCACGAACAUGAUGAAUUAAAUUUGUAGCAACAAAGUCUUGGACAAAAGCAUUCAUCUUUGAUUUUAAUUGUCGUGCCUUGCUUCGAGUGAUUGGACCACUAGGAAAGACAACCCUUUGAGUGUCACCUCCUUGGCUCGUAUCAAAACUUUCUUUCGUAUAGAAGCUCGAGCUAUUUUUGAAGUUUUACAUAUUGCAUGGGAGAAAGGUUAUAGACAGUUGGAGAUUGAAUGCGACAAUGCACUACUUGUAGAGUCCGUUUUUACUGGUAGUGCUGCCAGUAGUAACCUAGCUGAAUUAUGUUUAAUCAAUGUUUACCUUAAGGGGAAUUGGAAGACAAGAAUCUGUCACAUUCCUAGAUCUCAGAAUAUGGCUGCUAAUUGAAUGGCGAAAUGUAUUUAUGAUAAUUAGUUUAGGUUGAAGCUUUUUCAAGGUCCCUUAAUUUUGGUUCAAGAGAUUUUACAGUCAAAUGGUGAUUUCCUAAGUAGAGUUGUGUGAUUUCAUUGUUUUCGCUUAAUGUUGUUUGUUUCUACUAAAAGAAAGUAGAACAAAAUUAUUGUAAAGAAGUGUUCAAAUCUAACUAUAUUUAUAUUUUAAAUGGUUUUUAUUAAAAUUAUAAAAUGACUAAAACACCCUUAAAUAAUAUAAUUUAUUUUAAUUUCGAAGAAAAUUUUCAUGAUUUUUUUAAUCGAUUUGGUACCCAAUUGACUCAUAACACCAGCUCAAUUAAGGACUUAAAUAAUAGUAUAAAUUUAUUAAUAAUUUAUUAUAUUAUUCAUCAUAUAUUACUAUUUUAUAAUUAUUUAUAUUUUAUUUACUAUAUAUUAUGAAUAUUAUAAAGAUGAGAUUAUUUAUUAAAAGUUUUGUAACAACCAAAAAUCUUGGUGGCAUAAAUGAUAUUAUUAUGAGAAUAUAAAUAGUACAAUUUUCAAAAAGAGGGUAAGAAUUAUUAAUUGAAUAAUGUAAGUAGAAUUGGACACCAAAAUGAAAAAGUAUAAAUAGAAAUUUUUGAGAAAGGAUUCAAUUGAAAUUUUGCAAAAGUGUGAGGAAUAAAAUGUGAAUAGCUUAUAAAAGAAAAAUGGUAGAAAAGUGAUGAAGUAUUUUAUGUAAAAAUGAAAUUGAAAAUAUAUUGAUAUUUAGAAUUUAAAAAAUUAGGGAGUUAAUUAAAUUGUAAUUAAAAAAUUAGGAGGGACUUAAGUGAAAAGAUGAGUUAACUGUAAUUAAACCAUGAAGAAAUAAUACCUCCAAAAGUAAUUAUUACAUUAGGAUACAGAUAAGUGAUGGAAAAGGGUUGAAAUGACUAGAAAAGUAAUUAAUGAUUUAAUAACUAAAUAAAAUAAAUGAUGAAAUGCCGAGAAAUGACAAAUAUAUCGGGCAAAACACUAAAAAAAGCCCUUUUUUUUUAAAUUUACCAAAAUAGGCUGGUUUUUUAAUUAUUUACCGGAAUGGGCCGUUUUCCCCGAAAUCGCGUCCACGUCAGCGCGAUGUCGGGGAACGUGACAGGUCAUCGCGUCCACGUCAGCAGGUCACGCUGACGUGGACGGGAUGACCUGUCACGUAGCGCGUUUUCCGGGGCGCGAUUUUGACGUUGAUUUCACGUUGGGUUUUCUGGGUUUUAAGGUUUAGGGUGCAAGCUUUUUUAGGGUUUAGGGGUACCGAAAAAAAUUAUUUCGUUUAGGGUGCAGGCUUUUUUAGGGUUUAGGGGUCCCGAAAAAAAUUAUUUCGAGUUGACGUUUCUGGUCAAAUAGUAUAAAAUCGCUUCUACCAGGAUGCUAUUAGAGAAGAAAUUGUGAAAUCGUGCCCUCGUGGACGCCAUUUCAGCACAGUUGGUCAUGUAAGAAAUAAUUUUUUUUUGACGUUUUCUGAGCAAAUAGUAUAAAAUCGCUGAUACCAGGAUGCUAUAUGAGAAGAAAUUGUGAAAUCGCGCCCUCGUGGACGCGAUUUCGCUACAGUUGGUCAUGUAGGAAAUAAUUAUUUUUUGACGUUUCUGAGCAAAUAGUGUCAAAUCGCGCCCUCGUGGACACGAUUUUGCUACAGUAGCAAGUUUGGGCUGAGGCUAUAAAUUAGGUAGAAAAUGUUCUUAAAAUGCAUAAGUCAUAGCAGAAACAUUUUAGAGAGGCUAAGAAAGUUAGAGUUUCAAAAUGAGUGAACGUAUUAGUGCUGUUAUUUACUACGAUGGUGAGGUUUGCCACACCGAGAAUGGUGUUGUUUUUUGUCGGAGAAUACGGUGCNNNNNNNNNNNNNNNNNNNNNNNNNNNNNNNNNNNNNNNNNNNNNNNNNNNNNNNNNNNNNNNNNNNNNNNNNNNNNNNNNNNNNNNNNNNNNNNNNNNNNNNNNNNNNNNNNNNNNNNNNNNNNNNNNNNNNNNNNNNNNNNNNNNNNNNNNNNNNNNNNNNNNNNNNNNNNNNNNNNNNNNNNNNNNNNNNNNNNNNNNNNNNNNNNNNNNNNNNNNNNNNNNNNNNNNNNNNNNNNNNNNNNNNNNNNNNNNNNNNNNNNNNNNNNNNNNNNNNNNNNNNNNNNNNNNNNNNNNNNNNNNNNNNNNNNNNNNNNNNNNNNNNNNNNNNNNNNNNNNNNNNNNNNNNNNNNNNNNNNNNNNNNNNNNNNNNNNNNNNNNNNNNNNNNNNNNNNNNNNNNNNNNNNNNNNNNNNNNNNNNNNNNNNNNNNNNNNNNNNNNNNNNNNNNNNNNNNNNNNNNNNNNNNNNNNNNNNNNNNNNNNNNNNNNNNNNNNNNNNNNNNNNNNNNNNNNNNNNNNNNNNNNNNNNNNNNNNNNNNNNNNNNNNNNNNNNNNNNNNNNNNNNNNNNNNNNNNNNNNNNNNNNNNNNNNNNNNNNNNNNNNNNNNNNNNNNNNNNNNNNNNNNNNNNNNNNNNNNNNNNNNNNNNNNNNNNNNNNNNNNNNNNNNNNNNNNNNNNNNNNNNNNNNNNNNNNNNNNNNNNNNNNNNNNNNNNNNNNNNNNNNNNNNNNNNNNNNNNNNNNNNNNNNNNNNNNNNNNNNNNNNNNNNNNNNNNNNNNNNNNNNNNNNNNNNNNNNNNNNNNNNNNNNNNNNNNNNNNNNNNNNNNNNNNNNNNNNNNNNNNNNNNNNNNNNNNNNNNNNNNNNNNNNNNNNNNNNNNNNNNNNNNNNNNNNNNNNNNNNNNNNNNNNNNNNNNNNNNNNNNNNNNNNNNNNNNNNNNNNNNNNNNNNNNNNNNNNNNNNNNNNNNNNNNNNNNNNNNNNNNNNNNNNNNNNNNNNNNNNNNNNNNNNNNNNNNNNNNNNNNNNNNNNNNNNNNNNNNNNNNNNNNNNNNNNNNNNNNNNNNNNNNNNNNNNNNNNNNNNNNNNNNNNNNNNNNNNNNNNNNNNNNNNNNNNNNNNNNNNNNNNNNNNNNNNNNNNNNNNNNNNNNNNNNNNNNNNNNNNNNNNNNNNNNNNNNNNNNNNNNNNNNNNNNNNNNNNNNNNNNNNNNNNNNNNNNNNNNNNNNNNNNNNNNNNNNNNNNNNNNNNNNNNNNNNNNNNNNNNNNNNNNNNNNNNNNNNNNNNNNNNNNNNNNNNNNNNNNNNNNNNNNNNNNNNNNNNNNNNNNNNNNNNNNNNNNNNNNNNNNNNNNNNNNNNNNNNNNNNNNNNNNNNNNNNNNNNNNNNNNNNNNNNNNNNNNNNNNNNNNNNNNNNNNNNNNNNNNNNNNNNNNNNNNNNNNNNNNNNNNNNNNNNNNNNNNNNNNNNNNNNNNNNNNNNNNNNNNNNNNNNNNNNNNNNNNNNNNNNNNNNNNNNNNNNNNNNNNNNNNNNNNNNNNNNNNNNNNNNNNNNNNNNNNNNNNNNNNNNNNNNNNNNNNNNNNNNNNNNNNNNNNNNNNNNNNNNNNNNNNNNNNNNNNNNNNNNNNNNNNNNNNNNNNNNNNNNNNNNNNNNNNNNNNNNNNNNNNNNNNNNNNNNNNNNNNNNNNNNNNNNNNNNNNNNNNNNNNNNNNNNNNNNNNNNNNNNNNNNNNNNNNNNNNNNNNNNNNNNNNNNNNNNNNNNNNNNNNNNNNNNNNNNNNNNNNNNNNNNNNNNNNNNNNNNNNNNNNNNNNNNNNNNNNNNNNNNNNNNNNNNNNNNNNNNNNNNNNNNNNNNNNNNNNNNNNNNNNNNNNNNNNNNNNNNNNNNNNNNNNNNNNNNNNNNNNNNNNNNNNNNNNNNNNNNNNNNNNNNNNNNNNNNNNNNNNNNNNNNNNNNNNNNNNNNNNNNNNNNNNNNNNNNNNNNNNNNNNNNNNNNNNNNNNNNNNNNNNNNNNNNNNNNNNNNNNNNNNNNNNNNNNNNNNNNNNNNNNNNNNNNNNNNNNNNNNNNNNNNNNNNNNNNNNNNNNNNNNNNNNNNNNNNNNNNNNNNNNNNNNNNNNNNNNNNNNNNNNNNNNNNNNNNNNNNNNNNNNNNNNNNNNNNNNNNNNNNNNNNNNNNNNNNNNNNNNNNNNNNNNNNNNNNNNNNNNNNNNNNNNNNNNNNNNNNNNNNNNNNNNNNNNNNNNNNNNNNNNNNNNNNNNNNNNNNNNNNNNNNNNNNNNNNNNNNNNNNNNNNNNNNNNNNNNNNNNNNNNNNNNNNNNNNNNNNNNNNNNNNNNNNNNNNNNNNNNNNNNNNNNNNNNNNNNNNNNUCACUCGAGGACGUAGAAAUGGAAAGCGAAAUCGUGCCCAUGAUUGCAGUAGUGACAGGCAACCUCCGAUUUUUGCUCUCCUCGGUUUCGUCGCCCGCACAUCUCACGAUAUAAUGUUGCCAAGACGGCAGACCCCCAACUAAAUUCACCGGUUGCUCUAAAAUCAACGAGUUUUAGCAGCCACCUUAGAUGUACACGGCUCCGUGACGUGUCGGCCAUCCGAUUGCCUCCAAUUAUUUGAAGAAUGUAUGAUCGGGCAUAUCGAAUUCUUUCAAUUUCGGUUGAAUUUUCAUUCAGAUCGGGGAAGGUGGCACGUAACCAGCCCAUCUCCACCUUACCUCCAUCCAUUUUAUCCGGUACAGCGCCCAAAAGCUCGUAACACACCGCCUCCUAGUUGCUAGAUUGGGCAGACCCGGUGACUGGGUGCCCGUCCACCGGCAAUCCCAAAUGCAGAUGGACAUCUUCUAGAGUGAUAGUGCACUCUCCACAUGGAAGAUGAAAUGUGUGCGUCUCGGGUCUCCACCUCUCGAUGAGCGCACUGAUCAGUUUCGGCUCCAACUUGCAUCCCAGGCCUACCGUCGCCACGUGCCAAAAUCUCGCUUCCCGCAGGUAGUUCUCUACUAAUGGUGAUGGAGGACCAUGCAUAUUCCGAAUAAUGCAUUCCAAUACCCGAUCUUCAGACUAUUAUAACAAAAAAUAAAUUAAUAUUUAUCUAAAAAUACAUAAAUAAAAUUAUCUUAAAUAAAAUUUAAAAUUUAAAUUUAAUACUUACCAUUUUCAUUUGCUCCACCGAUAUGUGAUUCCUAUCAAGACGAAUCAAUGAUUCGGCCAUUGCAGAAAAUAUUAAAAAUUUUAAAAUUAUUUUAAAAAAAUAAAAAUAUUUAAAAUUUUCUUUAAAAAAAAUGAAAUUGAAUGGAAAAAGAAAUUUAAUAUGGAGUUUAGAGAUUUUUUGAAGGAAAUUGUGAGGAUUUUGGAAGGAAUUCGAGAGUUUAAGAGAAUUUUGGAAGGAAAUUGAGAGAAUUUUGGAAGGACUUUGAGAGAAUUUUUGAAUGAAAUUGAGAUAGGAUUUGUUUGUGAAAAAAUAAGAGGUAGGGGGGGUUUUUAUAGUUUAAAAAUUUCUGACUGUUGGGGGGGCAACGGUCAAAUUUUUGACCGUUGGGGUACUGUUCAUGCGCGGGUGUCAUCGCGUCCACGUCAGCGCGACCUGCUGACGUGGAAGGAAAUCGCUUCCUCAGGGACGCGAUUUCCUUCCAUGUCGGCAGGUCGCGCUGACGUGGACGCGAUGACCUAUCACGUUCCCCGACAUCGCACUGACGUGGACGCGAUUUCGGGGAAAACGGCCCAUUCCGGUAAAUAAUUAAAAAACCGGCCUAUUUCGGUAAAUUAAAAAAAAAAAGGGCUUUUUUUAGUGUUUUGCCCAAAUAUAUCAUGAUCUUUCAUCCGGAGGUGGAUUUAGGGGUUAGCCCUCUAAAAUGGAAAUUCUGUUAUUUUAAAUUUUUUAAAAUUUAAAAAUUUUAAAUUAAUAAAGAUAAAAUUAUACUUUGACUCUCUUAAAAGUAUUAAAAUUUGAUUUAAUCUUUUAAAAAUUAUAAAUAUAUAAAUAAUUUAAUUUCGAACCUAAACUUAUUUCCUGACUUGCCCCUGCUUCCAUCAUUGGUUUCGGAUAAAGAUACUCCAUGUUUUUUUCAACUAUAUUUUUUAUACUAACAAUGGACUCGAAAAUAGAAUGAGAACACCGUAUGAUGGGAAUUUUAGUGAAAAAGUUGUUACGACCUGAGAAUUUUAGAAGAAAAUCUUUAUGCCCAAGUCUUGUGGAAAAUAUAUAUAUAUAUAUAUAUAUAUCUUUUUUGAGGAUUUCGAAUUUCAUAUUAGAGGAAAUAAAUGUUAAUCUUGAUCAAUGGGUUUAUAAUUGUCCAUUUGUAGAUCAAGUUACUGCUAUAUAGGUUGAAGGAAAUAACUCGAAUGUUUUAUUUGAAAGAGACAUAACAAUUCAUGAUCAUUCUAGAAGGUAAGAUAGGGUUAAAUGGUAUAAUUUUGUUGUUACAAUGUUGUGCAAUAUCCUAUACUCUUCCCAAAUGGAUAAGUUGGGUGGCAUCAAACUGUUAAGAAAGUUAGACUUAAUGGUAAUGAAGAAAUUUUUGAAUGUGAAAAUAAUUUUAUAAUUUUUUAAAUUAUUUUAAUUUUAUUAGUUUUAUUUAAUAAUUGUUUUUACAAUUUCUCUAUUAUACAUUUGUAAGUAAUUGAAUUUGUGAGUAGAAACUAAAUGGUGGAAUACAAAUAGAAAAAAAAAAGCCCUAAUGAAAUACAACAUUUUUGAAUUCACCAUAACUUAACUCACAAAUACAUUUUCAUAUUUACGAGUUUUUAAACAUAAAAAACAAUGAUUUUAAGACUUCUUCAAAGAAAAAAAAAGGGUUAAAAAGAAGCAAAAGGGUUUUGGAAGGCAAACAAUAAAGUGUAAAGAAGCUUUAUAUGUUUAAGGUUAUUUAAAUAUUCACCUGGAAAUAUUUCAUUAAUGGAAGCAUCACUCGCAACAAUAUUUUGAAGAUUUAAGAGCUUCAAAACUUCAAGCUUAAAAUACACCCUUCUGGAAGUUGUCCAUGCCAUAUCUCUUUCAUGUUGCCAUUGCUUUCCAAUCUCAGUUCUUGUAAACAAGGGAAUGUGACCUGGUCAGUUGACAAAUGUGUUAAACAAAAGCAAGGAUUAAUUUCGAUGAAGGAAAUGGAAUUGUCGCAAUGAGUUUAUUACAUAUCCAGACACUCUUGAACUCUCAAUGUCGCAUAAUACUAAUACAAAUCUCAUGCUCGGUCUUCCGUUUUAGAUGGUAAACAUGCAUACUAUUUGAAAUCAGAUUAGGAUAGCAAGGAUGCAAUUAGAUAAAGGGUAUAGAAUUGUGCCAACAGUUCUGUCAACAUUGCUUAAUACUAAUACUAUUUUCAUCCUUGGCCCUUCGUUUUAGUUAGUAAACAUGCAUGCUAUUAGAAUUCAGAUCAGGAUAGCUAUCGAGAGAAUGCUUAUGGAUUAGAUGUGGAUGGAUUUAUGCAGAAAGAAAAACAUGCACAUCUAGUUUUACUAAUUACUAUGUUAGAAUAAGAAAUAGAAAAUGAAUGCAUCUUGUGGACAUGUUUCAUAUACCAUAUUGAUCCAAAAUAAGGGUUGCUGUCCUCCUGUUUCAUGGGAGCUUAAUAUUCUGUAGCAAAUAUCUCCACUUUGUCACAUCCAUAAAGAUCCAAAUUUUUCAAUAAUGGCCAUUCGGUGGUAUGCAGCCCAGAGUAGAAACUCUUCAGUUUUGGUAGCAUAGAAAGGUUCAGCUAUGUCAUUUGAGGAAAUAAAAACUGGUUCUUAUUUCUGCCUCGGUGAAUUUGUGUUCAAAUAAUUCUUCUAAUGAGGCACACUCCAUUAUUUGCAGAUUUUUUAGUCUCUGAAGUCUUUCCAGCAUAUUAAGUGGGAAAAUGUUUGAUAGUUUCACACAACUAUGCACUUCAAGGUGUUUUAAUUUGGAGGAGGAGUUCAUCUCAAGUUGGUCAUCCCAUAUCCUUUCCAUAUUCCCCAUGUCUACAAUUGUCAAAUCCUUUAACAAAGGUAAUGACACCUACAAAAAUCAUUUGAUUGUGUUAAUAACAGGACAUGGUUAAGUAUGUGAGAAAAGAGACAGAACAAUGGAGAGAGGGCCUUUCGACUUUAUUUGAUGAAUUCUGUCUUAAAAUAUUUUAAGCCCCAGAAAAUAUCACUGAACAAUGGGUGCAAAGAGAUACAUGGAUGCAAUUGCCAAGCAUUUUUCAUUUCGAAAAUUGCACUUACAGAAAAAUCGUUUUAAAGAAAGUGAAAAAUUCACAAUGCAGAUCAGCCUGACCUUAUUAAUGAAAAAGGGUUUAGCAGAGACAUUGGACGCAUCCUUUACAAGAAUAUUCGAGUAUUCUCCACCAAUGAUCUCAUUGUGCAGCUUGUUUGAAACAGUGGAUGCAAAUGCAACCAUCUUUGGCCAGCCAACUAACGGAAUUUCCUUCAAGUUUGGACAUUCCAAUAAAAUAUAUACAUCACACACACACACACACACACACACACACACACAUAUAUAUAAUAUAGUAAGGGUUGUUAUUAUUAUUUACUAUUACUUUAGCCUAAAUUAAAAAUGAUCUAAUUUGAUUAAGGGUUAUUGGGCUUUAAUUAUUAAAUAAAGUAUAAGUCAAAUAUGUAUAGAUACUCUAGUAAUUGAGUUCUAAUUAAUUUCUAAUUAAUAAUGGGUAAUUAGGAAUUAUGACUAAUAUGCCAAAGCUAUAUAUAUUAGGGUUAUGACCCCUAAAUUACAGACAAUAUAUAUUUUCUAAUAUCCCAUCCUUAGGAAAGAGAGAGCAAAUAUUCUCUGAAUUUUUUGUGUGCUAAUUUGGAAGAUUAAAUUUUCAAAAUUCAUAGAUUUGAAGGAAUUCAUGGAUUCAGGUAUGCUUCCCCAUCUAAUUUUAUUAUUAAUUUGUUCUUAAUGAUUUGACUUGAUAGAUCCUGGCUUAUAGUUUAUUAAGUUUUUUUUAGAUUUAUUUUAAAAAUCGAACAAGUGGUAUCAGAGUCUCGUCAUGUUGAAUCAUUGAGAAUGAAUUGAUUUUUUGUUAUUUUUGGAUUGAUUCGUUUUUUUUAAUUUUAUGGAUUUGAUAUUUUAAUUAUAUACUAUGUUGAAACUUUGAGUUUCUUGAUAAAAAUUUUGGGUUUUAAUUCUUUAAGUAAAGUUUUAGGGUUUUAUAAAUAUAAUCUAGUUUAAUAUUUGCAUAUGCUAUUCGAAAUAUGAAUGUUUAUUUAUUUAUAUAUAUAUAUAAUCAAUUGAUAAAAAUUGAUUUGUGAGAUUUCUUUAUCUUCUUUUUGCACAAUUAUUUUAUAAAUUUUGGUUAAAGUCAUUAUUAGAUUAAAGUUACAUACUUAUAACUUUUUGCAAUUGAAGAAUUCCAAUUGGGAUGUAUAAUUGGUUUUGAAAGUUAAUUUAUUUGAUAAUCGAAUAAAUGAAUGUUGUUAAGAUUUUUUUUUGCACUAUUUAUUUUAAAUUUGUGGUUGAAUGUAUAUGGAAUUAUCAUCUUUUGUGUUUAUUCAUGAUGAAUUAUAUUCACCAUUGAAUUCAAUUCAUAUAUACGAACUAUUACUUUUGGUUUCUGCUAUAAUUAUUUUAUAUAAGUUUUAGUCCUUAUAGAACUAGACUAAAAUUAAAAUAUUUGAGAUUUUUUUUAAUAUGGUGGCUAUGAAUUUUCAUAAGUAGUUGCGCAUAUGAAGGCUUUUAUACAAUUUGAGAUUCUUUUUAUAUUUGGUAGUUAUGGAUUUUUUUUAAGUAUUUGUGCAUAUAAAAAAGUUUUAUGAUAAUGUCUUUAGUCAUGAAUAUAAAUUUGAGUUUACAUGAAAUAUGUAAGACAAGCAGUAUUAUUUUUCUAUUAUUAUAAUUGUGUGUAUAUAUAUUAUAUGCAUAUCAAUGAUUUUGAGGAUUAAUGCAUGAUUAUAGUUUAUGUGAAUAGGUGUUUAUAACCAUUAUUCAAUAAGAUAAUUUUUAUAGUUUAAUUGGUGAUAAUUUUUAUAGUUUAAUUGGUGAAAUUAAGUUUUGAUGGAUAUUGUUAAAGUUGUUAAAUUUUUUUAUUAUGGUUAUAUAUUUAAUUUUAUAGGUGCUUUGGUGCAAAUUCAUGUCAACUAUACACAUGCUUAAAUAAUUUGGUUUUAAGUUUAGUUCUAUAAUAUUAUUAGGUUUUGGGUUCCAAAUAUUUGGUUAAAUUAUAAUGUUAUGGUUUAUUGCAUGAAUUAUGAGAUAUGCCAACUAUUAUGAUUUUGUUUUUGAAAUUUAUUGGCUUGAAAAUAUUUUCAAGUAUUCAUGCGAAUCUAUAUUUAAUCAUAAAUACAACUUUAGAAUUACAUGGUAUAUUUCUAUUUGAUUAUGAAUACAUAUAUAUAUAUAUAUAUAUGCGUGAAUUGUUUUGGUGUUUUUGUCUAUGCCAAAAUUAUGAAUACAUGUGCUUGUUAAUUAUUUGGCUUUAAACCACUACAUUAUUUCUGUUUGGUUUUGAUAUAUAUGGUUUUGGAACAAAAAAAACACAAUCAAAUAUUAAGGUUUUUAGGUUUUUAUUACAUUAUUAAGACGACCUUAUUUUGGGUUAUUUCAGAGUCUAUAAAGCAAUAAAUAAAAUAUUUUUGACCUUUAACUAUUGGGUAAAUUUUAAAUUUGAAUAUUAGUAUGUUUAUAUAAUUUUUUAAAAUAACUUAAUUAAAGCAAUAAGUCACCAAAAUGAUUUUUUUUAUAAAUUAUUUUUUUAAACUAUAAAAGGUUGUGUGCAUGUAACUUAUGUUAAUAUUGAUCGGCCUAACUGAAGGUUAAUAAUAUUAUAUGUGCCACUAUGGUAAUAAAGAUGUGACAAUUAUUCGGUUUUACAUGUGAGCAAUAAAUUGGCCCAAAGGAAGAUUUAUGGUUCGGCAUGUUCUUAUUAUCAAUGUUUGAUUAUUACACCAGUAUAUCACUUACAAAUUAAUAUUUUUUUCCAAAGAUGAAAUAUUAAUAGAGUGUACGAUAUCUUGAUAUGAGGUUUAAAUUUAAAGUAUUAUGUAAGCUUAUUUUAAUUUAUUCAACUAUUAUUAUAUUUGCCAGUAUGUUGUUUUGGGAUAAAUAUAUAUUCAUAUAUAUACUAUUAUCUUUUAAUUUGAUUGAAAGAUGAAAUUAAGAGAAAUAUUUUGAAACAAAUAAAUUCAGAUUUUGACUUUAGGUUUUAAUUAAGGAUGUUUAAUAUUUUAAGUAGAUUAGUUGAAACAAAAUGCUGCCAAAGUGACCUCUUUUGUGUAGAUUAGUUUAUUUAAAAUAUCAAGAUGAUUAUAUGUUUUUGUGAUUCAUGCGUUUAUUAAUUGAACCAAAGGCAAGUUAACAUUUGGUGAAAUUUCAACAACAUCUGUGGUGAUAAAUGUGUGACAAUUAUAAGGUAAUUUAUGUGAACAAUAAGUUAGUCCAAAGAUUAAUUCAUUGUUUGACAUAAUUUAUUGUCAAUGUUUAAUUGUUGCAACAAGAGUACCGUUUACUGUUAAUAUUAUUGUCCAAAGACUUUAUAUUAAUGUUGUGUUUGGUAUCUUGAGAUGGGGUUAGUCAUUAUUUUGAAUUUAUUGUUUACUUAUGAAUAUUGAUGUGACCUUAUUUUUAUUUAUUUAUUAUUCUAUAUUCAACUAAUUAAUCUUCUACUGCCACAAUAUCUGCUAAUAUAAAUUCUAUACUCAUACUUAAUGUGACUAAUUUCAAUGAAUGGAAAAGACAUUUACCUAUAGUGCUUGACUAUAUGAACAUAGAACAUUGCACUAACGGAAGAACAACCCCCACCUCUCACUACGGGAAACACCCCUUAUGUUAAAAGGAAUUUUGAGAGGUGGGAUCGUUCAAAUUGCAUGAGUUUAAUUAUCAUGAAGCACAACAUUUCAGAAGCCUUUAGGGGCAUAGAAUCUGAAAAGAUUACUCACGCAAAAGUUUCCUUGACAAAAUUGAAAAACGUUUUGCUAAAAACGAUAAGGUUGAAAUGACAUCACUUCUAACUUUUUUGAUGUCUACAAAGCAUAAGGGUCAAGGAAAUUCUGAGCGAUUUAAAGGCUAUGAGUUUUAUGAUCCCACAAUUAGGAAUAUUUUUUAGAUGAAAAUUGUAACAUUAUUUUAGGAUGUUGAGUUUGGAGGGAGAAAUAAGGUUAGAGAUAUUGCUUUUAAGGAGGAAUUGAAUUCUAACUCAGUUUCUACUAUCACUUUUGAUGAUGUUUAGGUUCUCACACCUAUCAUUGAUUAAGAAGUGAAUCCAGAACCUCAGUAAGACAAUGUUGAACAAAUCUCUAUUCAAGAUGAGGUAAUUGUUCUAGAAUAACAAACUCAACAACCUCAAUAAUGAAUGUCUUUAAAAAGGUCCACUAGAGAAAGUGUUAUACUGGCUUUAGUGGAACAUUUUGACCUUAAGCUACAUUAGAUGAAUAUUAAGUUAAUGGUUUCUCAAUGGUAACAUUGAUCAUACAUUUAUAUGGUGCAAUUACAAAACUUUGUGUUUGAUGAUGAAAAGGUAAUGAUUUGAAAAUUAAAUAACUUCAUCUAUGGGAUUAAGUAGACUUCUUGUCAAUAAUAUUACAAAUUUUACCAAAUGAUUAUCUCAUUCAGUUUAGAGAUGAAUUUUGUUGAUAAUUGUAUAUACCAUAAGUUUAGUAGGAGUAAGGUUCUAUAUUUGGUUUUAUAUGUUAAUGACAUACUGCUUGUCAAUAAUAAGUAUAGGCUCAAUCAAUGCCCUAAGAAUGAUUUUGAGAUUACAAAAAUUCAUAAGAUUUUUUACAUUUUAGCAGUGGAAAGUCUAAUGUACGUUCAGGUUUGUAUACAUUGGAAUAUUGUUUACACUGUUGGGAUGUUAGCCAGAUUUUUAAGCAAACCUGGUUUGGACAAUUAGAUAGCAACAAAGAGGGUUAUGAGGUAUUUUCAGAGAACAAAAGAUUACAUGUUCACAUAUCAAAUGUCUAAUCAGUUAGAGAUCAUCAAGUAUACAGACACCAAUUUUGAUGGAAUAUGGAUAUAAUAUCUUGUCACUAAGGUGCAAAUUGUGAAAACAAAUUGCAAUAUUUUAUUCCAAUAGCAACAGGGGUACAUCAAAGUCAAAACAAAUAGACUUUAAGUUCCUAGUUAUUAAAGUAAAGUUCAGAGUGGUUAGGUGCCUAUAAAGCAUAUUAGAACAAUCUCCAUGAUAGUGGAUCCGCUUACUAAUGGGCUACACCUAAGGUUUUAUAAGAGCACACUGCUUAUAUGGGCGUAAUUUCAUUUAAGGAUAUUUGGUUUUAGUGGGAGUUUGUACUUUUAAAUACUUUUAUGUUAUAGACACAUUUUCAGUUAUUUCAAUUUAUGUAUAUUAAGUUUAUUUUCUGUAGAAAAAAAGUUUAUUUGCUUUAUUCACACUCUGAUUUUGGUAAGGUUUGAUCUCACUAAGGUUUAAGAAUGACCAGUUGAAAAUAGACAUGUUUAGAUCAUAUUGCAUAUAAUUUUUCAUGCUACACAUCCAUACUUGAUCAAUGUCAUUUGGUUGUGUUAAUAUACAUGAUCAAGAUGGAUUUGGUUACAAUAUAUGUAACGAAAGUCGCAUUGGUUUGAUGUUAACAUAAUUAAUGGACGAGAUUGUUUAGAAUACAUUUUGGAUAUGAUAGUAAAACUUUUUAGCUCAUAAGGUCAUAUAAUAACAUGUAAUUAUAAAAUAAUUAGUAUAUAUAUGUGGUCCAAGUGGGAGAUUGUUGGAAAAUAUGGACAUCACAUAUAUAUAAUAAGGGUAAUUAUAUGUUAUUAUUUACUAUCAUAAUAGGUUAACCCAAAUUAAAAGAGAUCUAAUUUGGUUAAGGGUUAUCGGGAUUUAAUUAUUAAAUAAAGUAUGAGUCAAACAUGUGUAGAUACUCUAGUAAUUGAGUUCUAAUUAAUUUCGAAUUAAUGAUGGACUAAUUAGGAAUUAGGACUAAUAUGCCAAAGUUAUAUAUAUUAGGGUUGUGGUCUCCAAAUUACAAACAAGAUAUCUUUUUUAAUAUCCCAUCCUUAGGAAAGAGAGAGAAAAUAUUCUUUAAUUCUUGUGUGCUAAUUUGGAAGAUCAAAUCCCUAAAAUCCAUAGAUUUCAAGAAAAUUCAUGGAUUCAGGUACGCUUCCGUAUCUAGUUUUAUUGUUGAUUUAUUCGUAAUGAUUUGAUAUGAUACAUCCUAGCUUACAAUUUAUUAAGUUUUAUUUUAGAUUUAUUUUACAAAUCUGACAUUCAAUGCAAAACUUCCUGAGGAAAACCAUGCCAAGUCCAAACAAGACUUGAUAGUUAUUGUUUUAAGCUGAGGGAAUAUAAUCUUCAUUGUAGUUGAUUUGUCAUCUCUAAUGAUUUCUUCAAUUACUUUGCAAUUUUUUACUUUUAUCUGUUGCAGCUGCACAAGAUCUGCAGCCAUGGAAGCUGUUAACAUGUAUCUCAAGUUGUUAUAGUCAUACACUUUGUUGGUGUAAAGAACAAAUGAAAGAAAAAAAUAGCUUGUAGCUUCUGCAACAAGGCUCGAUACUUGCGGAAGAAACAACCGAAUUUGAAAAACAAAAGAAAGAACAAAAACAAGAUAAAAUGGAGAGUAUAUGCAAGAAAACAAACUGAUUUCAUUCAACUUUGAACAAUGGCAUAAUGCCAAUACAUAAACCAAGCAUUAAGCUUGUCAAAAAAAUAGUAAGUGAUCACCUAAUCAACACCUACUACCACUAAUACAUUGAAACUUGCAAAACAAAGCUUGUACGCAUAGACAAAUCUGAGUUAAUAGCUCAUUCACUAUCAAAUUACAUCAAUCCUUAACCUAACAUAGUUCAAAAUGAACUAGAUUACAUUACAUCAUCCUAAGCUUACAAAAUGAAUAGCAGCAUUAGCUUCAGCAGCUCCUACAUGGCCCGAUCUUUAUGGUCUGCUUCUUGAUUGCUUUGUUACAUGCUGACCAAACUUCAACACCCCUCCUUGGUUAGCAUGUUACAAACUCCUAGUCUUUUACUCAAAUGCUUGAAUCUUGUUACACAAAGAGGCUUGGUUAAAAUGUCAGCAAGUUGAUCCUCUGAAUUGCAAUAGACUAGUUUCACUUCCUGAGCCUGCUCCAUUUCUGUAACAACAUGGAGUUUAAUAUUGAAAUGUUUUGUUCUUCUAUGGACCACUGGAUUUUUUGCGAAUGCAAUAGCAAAUUGAUUGUCACAAAAGAUCUUUGUUGCUUCCCUGUGAUGCACAUUCAAGUCAACCAUAAUUUUUCUUAGCCAAAUGGCUUGGUUGACAACACUUGCACUUACAACAUAUUCGGCUUCAACAGUGGAUUGAGCAACUAGUGUUUGCUUCUUCGAGCUCCAACUGAACAUGGCUGAACCAAGAUUGAAAGCAUACCCAGAGGUGUUUUUCAUGUCAUCCAUCAAACCAUCCCAGUCACUGUCAAUUUAGCCAACCAACUUCAGGCUUUUAGCUUUGUUGUACAUCAAGCCAUGGCUCAACGUACCCUUGACAUACCUGAGCACUCUUUUUCCAGCUUGAAGGUGCUUCUCAUUGCUACAAUGCAAGAACCUUGAGAGCAAACUUAUAGCAAACAUAAUGUCAAGUCUAGUGGCUGUUAAAUACAGCAAACAACCAACUAAACUUCUGUAGGUUGUUUCACAAACCCUUUCAAAAUUACCAUAGCUCGAUAGCUUUUCUCCAACAGCAACUGGAGUAUUUUUUGCUUUGCUGUUUGGCAUUGAGAACUUGGUCAAAAUCUUGGAAGCAAAAGCUCUCUGAAUUAGGAAUAUCCCAUGGUAUGUUCGUGUCACUUCCAUGCCAAAGAAAUAGCUCAUCCUUAUCAGACAUCUCAAACAUCUGCUACAUUUUGGUUUUGAAAUCAGUCAGCAUUAUUUGUUCUCCUCCUGUCACUAGCAGGUCAUGAACAUACAGGGAUACAAUGAGCUAAGUUUGUGCCCCUUCCUUCUUGACAUACAAGGUUGGCUCGCUGUUGCUUCUUUCAAAUCCCAAACUGACCAGGUAGCCAUCGAUCUUGUUAUACCAGCCUUUUGGAGCCUGUUUCAAGCCAUACAAGGUUUUUUUCAUUUUGUAGACCAUAUGUUCUUUACCAGCUACUUCAAAACCCCGUGGUUGUUUAACAUAAAUUUCUUCCUCAAUAAAUCCAUUAAGGAAGGCUGACUUUACAUCGAUUUGGUGGAUUUUCCACUGCAUUUGUGCUAUUAAGGCAAUCAACAGUCUGAUGGUGUCUAGCCUGACCACUAGUGCAAAGGUCUCCAGGUAAUCCAGACCAUAAUUUUGGCUAAACCCCUUAACAACCAGCCUUGCUUUUAGCUUAUUCAAGUUCUCAUCAGCAUUGUGCUUGGCUCGAUAAACCCAUUUCACCCCAAUGAUCUUCCUUUUGACUGGUCUUUCAACCAGCUUCCAAGUCUGAUUCUUCUCAAUCAUGUUGAUUUCAUCAGCCAUUACUUGCUUCCACACUUGUUGAGCUUCAGCCUCUUCAAAACAGCUUGGUUCAGCUAUGGCUACUUGAGCUCUUUCAUAAAUCUCAACCAAUGGUCUAGUACCCCUGACUGGUUCAUCACCAAUGUCCAUUUUAGGACUAUUUUGAUAUGGCUCAGUUUGGUCUAUUACAAGAUCUUCAGAAACUGCCUGUGGCUCAUUCUUUUCCCAAUUCCAACAUGACUUCUCAUCAAACACCACAUCUCUGCUUACAAACACUUUGCUUGUUGAAGGAUCCAAGAUCACAUAACCCUUUUUGACUGUGCUGUAGCCCACUAAAAUACCAGGUCGAGCUCUUUUAACCAGUUUAUCCCUUUUAACAGCAGGCACAUGUGCACAGCAGAUACAACAAAAGACCUUUAGGUGAGCCAAUGAUGGUUUGAAUCCAAACCAGGCCUCAAAAUGAGUUUUGUGAUCCAAAGCCUUGGUAGGAAGCCUAUUUUGGAUAUACACAGCAGUGUUAACUACCUCAGUCCACAAGGUUAUAGGCAAAUUCUUCUCAAAUAGUAGGCAUCUAGCCAUAUCCAUCAAGCUCCUGUUCUUCAUCUCACUUACACAAUUUUGUUGAGGAGUAUAGGUGUUGGUGAGCUGGUGUUUGAUGCCUGCCUUAUCACAAAAGGCCUGGAACUGAGCUGAGGUGUACUCAGUCCUAUUGUCAGACCUUAUGGUCUUGAGCUUGCAAUCUGUUUCAGUUUCAGCAGUAAUCUUGAACUUUGAAAACACUAAGCCUACCUCUAAUUUCUGUUUCAAAAAAUAAAUCCAGUAAAAUCUUGAAAAAUCAUCAAUAAAUAGAAUGAAGUACCUACUUCCAUUCAGUGACUUGGUCUUCAUAGGGCCACACACAUCAGUGUGCAUGAGCUGCAGCCUUUCAGAGGCUCUCCAUACCUGAUUUGAAGGAAAAGGGAGCCUAGCUUGCUUUUCUAGCUGACAUUCUUCACAAACCUUCUGUUUUUCAAAUGAACCAAUGAAGUUUUCAGCCAAGUCUUCUCUGGAUAGCUGAUCAAUUGAUCUGUAGUUGGCAUGACCAAGUCUUUGAUGCCAAAGCUUGGAUUUAUCAAUUGUGGCUGUAUAGGCAGUGUCUGAGCCAUUUGUCCAAUCAAUAACAAAGUUCUUAUCAGCCAUAGUGGCUGCCAUGAGCUUGGAUCCACUUGGAUCACUAAUUUGGCACUCCUUGCCCUUGAACACUACAAAAUACCUUUUCUCUAGCAGCUGAGCCAUGCUAAGCAGGUUUCUAUCAAUUUCAGGUACCAACAACAUAUUCGAGAUGAGAUUGUUACCUAUAGGAGUGCAUAUCAACACAUCUCAUUUACCUUCUGCCUUUAUAAAAUGACCAUUACCAAUUUUAACUUUGGUUUUGUAGCUUCUAUCUAAUGACUUGAAAAUGGAAGCAUCUGGUGUCAUGUGGUUUGUGCAACCAUUGUCCAAGAGCCAGCCAUUUGUAAGCUUCUCCUGAGCAGCUGAGCAUGACACAACAAAAACUUGCUCCUCACGGUUACUAUCUUCUUUUACUACUCGAGCCUCAGCCUUUGGCUGUUGGGGUUGGUUCUGCCUUAACUUGCCCUUGUUUUUGCAGACCUUUUCAACAUGCCCCAUCUUUUUGCAAUAUUGGCAUUGCACAUCUAGUCUAAACCAAUAAUUUGCUUCUGGAUGACCAGGUCUUUUGCAAUGCCUGCAGGGUUGGUCCCUUCUUUUUGCAGCAUCAAACUUUGGUUUGUCUUUCCAAGUCUUUUUGCCUUUGUAGGCAGUGUUAUUCAAGGUAGGUUUGGUUUUUGCUUGAAAGGCACCUUCUUGGUGCUCCUCCAGUUUGCUAGCUCUUCUCUGCUCUUAUGCAUAGAGAGCAUUGAUCAGCUCUAUCAGUGAGAUGCUGGUCAGGUCCCUUGAAUCUUCAAGGGAUGAAAUUUUUGCCUCGUACCUCUCAGGUAAGGUUGAAAUCACCUUCUCCACUAUUCUUGCUUCAUUGAACUACUCACCAAGGAGCCUUAUGUUGUUUACACAGUCAUAAUCCUGUCUGAGUACUGUUUGAUAGUUUCUUUUUCCUUUAUUUUCAAAUUCUCGAAGUCCCUUAUCAGAUUCAACAACUGUUGCUGCCUUUUUCUCUCUGUCCCUUGAAACUCCUCUUUUAAUUUGACCCAGGCCUGUUUUGGUGUCUCACAAGCCAUGAUCCUUGUAAAGAUGACAUCUGACAUUGAGUUCUAGAUGCAAGACAUGGCCUUGUGCCUCUUAGUCCUUUCAUCAGCAUGCUGCCUGAUCUGUGCCAUUGUUGGAUUGGCUCUAAAUGGCUCUAGUUCAACGUCUGAGUUGACCAUCUCCCACAGAUUGAAUGCCUGCAGAUAGGUUUUUAUUUUGAGUUUCUAAAACUAUGCUUCUAGACUGAAUGAAGAUAAGAUAUAUAUGCAACGUAAUAUUAGUACCUUUCCAUCAAAAAAGUAGUCAAGACCGUGUAUUCACCGAUUCCAGUUGAUAAAUAGAACGACUCUUCUCUUUGGAGCAGAAACUACGAAGCUCUGGUAGAAGCUGUAGUGUUAAGGAUCACAAUUGGCCAAACUCAAUUUUAUUGGUUUCUAUAUCAGCAUUAUGCUCUCUCUCUCCAGUAACAAUCUCUUCAAUGCUUUUGCACUUUGAAACUUUAAUUUCUUGAAGUUAGACAAGCAUUUUUGUCAUGGAGAAGGAAAAAUAUUCUUGAGUCAGUCACAACAUUCGACACUUAUGAUUUUCAAUCUCUUGAAACUUCUUCUUCAAGUUUGCCUUGAUAAAUAUUCUCCAAAUGAACCAAUGAUUUGAGGAUAGAAAAGGCUUUACAUGAUGCCACCUCCAUAGAGUAAAAAAUAAACAGUAAUUCUGAACCAUUUUUUAUGUAGAGAUUCCUGAGCUGUGGAAAACCAGUGCCAUCCAACUCAUACAGCAAGUUCUUGAUGCCUUGCAUUUCAUCUAGAUAUAGAUCUUCAGUUUUCUGCAACAACAGUUUAACUCCAUGAUCCAAGUGAAUUCCCUUAGUAAGCUAGAGUUUCAGUGUCUCUCAUUUUCAUACUUUUUGGACCAGUCCCAGACCUCCCCGAUAAGAAUCUUAUAUCGAUUCAGUUUUUCAGAGAAUAGUUCUACUGGCAUAAGUUGAAUAGAAUGAAUAUGGACAUCCAAAGAAAUUAAACCAGACAAAGACUUCAAUUCAUGAUGUGUCUUCAUGUUGCUAACUAAAUAUACGACUAAUGCAAGUGCACUUAUCUAUAAUAGUAUAGUUAAGGUGAGUUGAGAUAUCGUAUCCACGAGGACUAAAAAUAUUAAUCCUGGAAAUAUUAAGCACAUUAAACAUGAAUUAAUAACUGGAAAUAUUAAAAUAAGAAAUAAAUAUACAUAAAUCAAGUAUUUAUCGAGUAAAAUAGAAAUUACAUAAUAUAAUGUAUCAUAGGUUUCAUCCUCCCUAGGUAUCUAGGGAAUUAGUAAUGAAAACAUAUUAAAGUCAUAAAAACCACAAGAAAUAAAGAAACUCAUAAAAAUUUCAAAAGAAAUUAAAAAGAGGUCUUCGAUCUUGAUGGAAAUUUGAUUCCGAGUUGGCUCCAAUGGUGUUCUUCAAGUUGUUUCUUUGAUCUUCUCUGAUGGCUCCUAUAUCUCUUAUUCUAUUUGGUAAUUAUAGACUUUAGAAUGCUCAAAAAGCCUAAAAAUUGUGUUUUUUCGCGUGUUUGAGAAGCAGGUUGCGAAAUCAACAAGGGUUGGCACAUGGGCGUGUGUCCAACCCGUGUGGCUCCUGAAAUUUUCUCUUUUUCUCUGACUUUCACUCAUUUUGCUCCCAAAUGCUCACCUAAGUAUAAGAACAUGAAUUAGAAGGAUUAGAAGCAUCAAAUUCACCAAUUUGUAUAAAUAAUCAUCCAAAAACGCAUUAAGAAUGAGAUUAAAAUAUGUUAGUUUUAUCAUUUAUCAAUAUCCCCAUACUUAAGCGUUUGCUUGUCCUCAACCAAAAUCCUCAACUCACAUUAAAAUUAAUCUUUCUCAACUUAUAAUUCUCAUCAAUAAUGUUAUGAUUCACAAAUAAUCAUGUAUUGACAAUUCAACUAAAAGGGCACUUAAAGAUUCAAACAAUCCAAGUCGAAAUUUUUAAAGCACGAAAACAUAGGUAUCUCCCCUUAUCUAUGUAAUUACCUUUAAUUCAAAAUCGACAAGAAUUGGCAUCCCCACUAAAGAUCCACACAAAUCAUUAAAAAUGUUUAAGGUUCAAGAAUAAGCACUCAAUAGUCGAAUAAGAAAUGUCAUUACCAUAAGCUUGCUUGAAAAUCAAAUCUCCACCACUAUAAAUUGAUAUGACACACUAAUCAAAAGUUUUUUCAAGAGGUUCUAAGGGGGCUUAGGUUACGGGUGCGGAGAAAGGCUAGAAAAGUUGGUUAUAAUCGAGAUCAAGUUGAUAAAUUAUCAAACUAGAAAAAAAUAAAUGUUGAAUUAAAAACAAAUGCAUCAAUCAAGAAUAUUCAAAAACAAAAACAAGAUUCUUCUCAAAAAAUGAAUUUAAUUGUUCAAACUCAAUCAACAAAUAACUAGUUAAUAAUCAAUAUUUUUUUCAACUUUUUUUUCUUUUUCUUUCAAGAACAAUAAGAAAUAAGUCAACAAAUCAAACAGAAGAGCAUAGCUAGGCAACUAACCAAAUCAAAUCUCAACAAAAAGAGAAGUCAAUAAAACAGGAAAAAGUCACAACGAACGAAAAAAUGGGUUAUAGUUAAUAUUAACGGGUCAUUCAAGAAAAGGUGUGUUAGGCUCAACGGGGUUCACUAAUGAGUUAAUUAAAAAGGUAGACUUUUUUAUGGGAUAAGUGGGUUAAAACCUAAGUGCUUUUAUUAUCUCAGUAUAUCAAAUCAAAGAUGUGGUCUUGACAUGCAUAAUUGAAGCAAGUUCUAGAAUAACAAAUCAAGUUGACACGCUCAUAACCAAUAAUAGAAUGAACAUGUAAAAUGUAUGCUCUGAAGACUCAAAAUCUCACAAAAAACAUGGUUUUGAUGUCAAACUUGCAAAUUUAAAACUUCAAGAUAAUACCUCAAUUCAGGGAAACAACCUAAAAUUUUUAAUUCUGAAAAAUAACUUAUUAUGGUUGAUUCUUUCAUGUCUUAAAUUUUAAAUAAACUAAUGCACAAAUAUCUACAAAUUAAUCCAAAACAAAUCAACAAAAAUCACAAAUCGACAAAAUUUCAUUCUAAUUCAAGUAUGAGAAAUUUACUUAAAUACAAUAAAUAAUUUAGGGAUUUUUAAUAAUUAUAUAAAUAACCUCCCCACAUUUAAGAUGUACAUUGUCCUCAAUGUACUAACAAAUAUAAGCACAGUAUAAACAGAAUAUCAUAAGAGAGGAAGAAAACUGAAACUGCCCUAAAUAUUGGAUGAAAUCGUCAAAAUGGUGAAAAUCAAAAUUAUAGGCAAAUCUAAAUAUAGUGCAUGAUUCCGAAAAAACUAAUAAGAAAAUAAACACAAAUAAUGAAAAAUAUUAAGAGGUUACAAACUCGAUUAGAAACAACCAUAAAAAUAAAAAUAAAAAAUAGCUCAAAAGAUAAUAAACGAAAUAAGUCUAAGAAAAUAAAAAUAAAACAACUAAAAGAAAAAAUAAAAAAAUAAAAAAAAUCAAUAGUCUUCUUUGUCAGAGCCAUCGUGGUCGUGAGGCACCAAAUCUAAAGAAGAUAUAUGGAGGUGCUGACAGAUUUACUACAAAGUCGCAUCAAUACAGUUGAACUAUUCAUAAAAGUGUCACUCAAAACGAGUGAAACGCUCGGGGAGAUCUGCUAAGGUGGUAGCAAAAGUAGUAGGAUAGUGACUCUAAGAUGGAGGAUAAGGUGGAUCCUCAUGGUGGAAGGGGACAUCAUCGGUGAAUUUUUCAUGCUCAUCUUGAGGGUCAAAAUGAGAUAACUGGUAUUGAGGAGGAUCCACUCCACAAAGUCACUCGAUCAUCCUCAUGUGACUCAUACUCGAUAAUCCCUGCGUGGUCAUUUUCCCAAUAAUGGUAAAGGAGGAGGACUACUCCAAAGUGUCGAGGAUGUCAAAGUGUCGUGCGAGUCGAGUCACAUAAAGGCCUAAGUAGAUAGGGCCCUUCCUACCGCGCUCUGUUUGAUGGCACACAACUAGGGCGAUAAAAUAAGCAAGAUCAAAGGUGUGCCUCGUGGCCAUGUUUCAUAGAAAAUAAGCGUUGGUUGUACCGACAACGCCAGUGCUCUCCCUCCGACCGGUCAAAGUGUGAGCUAAAAUGGCAUGAAUAUAGUGUAAGGCCGGAGGUAAGGAAGCCACCUUCGAUCGACUCGUAUCAUAAGGCGUUGUACUCGCAGUGAGGUUUACCCAACAUAGAGAAGGCGAGUAGUGUAUAUGCCGGUAUAAACUGAGAAAGCUCUCGUGACUCAUGAACUCGUCAGUGAAAAGUCCUAAUGCAGCUCCGAACACCGGGACGCUCAUAUGACGCGUUGUGCCACCGAGUCUGAAGGUAAUAGUUCCCGGCUCAUCGUGUGUUGACAUCACUUGCUGAAAUAGGAAUGUUGAGCAAAAAUUGAGAGUAAGCUUCGAGUAGAUGGGCUCAAUGAUGGAGAAAAAUUGGUCCCAAGGAGUUGUGGCAAUGGUGACGCGCACUCUAUCAGCUAACUGCACCUACUCUAAAGUGGCCCAACCAAUGCAACGACCUAAUCCUAGUGGCCUCUGUCAAUGAUGCUGAUAAAGGUCCUCUUGAGAACCUUGUGCAAAGCGGAGGUAUGGAUGGUGGGAACCGGUGAAAGCGUCCGACGAUGAUGUCGCGCCCAGAUUUUUCUGCUUUUUCGAAGCAGGGAUGGCGAAUUUAGAUUUGCCACUUGUGUUGGUCAUUAUGUCCUUGAAAUAAAGGAUAAAAGUAAAAAAUCAGAUAACCAGAAAAAUUAGCAUAAACAACAUAUCAAAGAAAACAACUAUUGUAGGCCAAUAAACAGCACGAUAGAGACCGAAUUGAAGUGAAAACCUAAACCACAAUACUGAACAACUAACCUAAAAAAAUUCACCAACACUCAAGCAUGAUAAAAAUAAAAAUAAUAUAAUAAUAAAGAUAAAGUGAAAUAAAAACAAUCAAGGCCUAUUAAUAAAAUAACUAAAAAUAGUGAAACAUAAACUAAAUAAACAAAACCAAUAACAAUAAAUGCAAAAUAAUAUAUAUAUAUAUAUAUAAUAAUAAGAAGAAGAAGAAUAAGAUAAAUAAAAUUAAUGUAUAAAAUCGGAAAAAUAAAAAUAAGAAUGCAAAUAAUAAUCAUAAAAAAACUAAAGAUAAAAUAAUAAGAAUAUAAAUAAAAAUCAAUAAUAAGCUAAACAUAAUAAUAAAAAUGAUAAUAAAUAAAGAAGUAAAUAAAUAAUACGGUAAAAGAAAGGACCAAUAAGACUAAGGUUAUACGGCGGCGGUGGUAAUGGGCGGCGAUCCACGACGGUAGGCCGAUGAGGGGAUGGUAAGGAAGGAGGGGGAAGGCGGGGUGGUUUGUGGUUUAAAGGAGGGGAAAGGGAAACAAAGAAGAAAAUGGAAGGGUUAGUUGAAGGAAAAGAGCUGUCGGAGGUGGGGUGGAACCAAAGAGAGGAGCAAAUGGCGGGGUGGUUUUGUGGAGGGAAGAAAAUAGAAAGGGGAAGAAGAGAGAAAGGAUGAGGACGGAUGGGGGUGAGGGAGAGAACAGGUUCAGUUAGGGGAAGGCUGUGAUGGGAAUAAGGGAAGGGAAGGAAAAAGGGAAGGAUGAGGGACACAACGACGUGAGAGGGAGCGAACGGGGGUGACGAACGACGAGGAAAUGGUCGAACUGGUGGGUGGAGAGUCGAACGACGUUUAGGGUGGGUUGUGAGAAGAAGAAAAAGUACAAAGAAAUUAGGGUUUUUUGGGGGUAAUAAAGGAGACACAGUCGUGUUUAGACCCGUGUUGGGCAACACGCCCGUGUGGUACUCUUUUAGGCUGUGUGUAAUUCAAAAAAAUUAAGCCUAGUCUUCACACAACCUCAGACACGCCCGUGUGCGAUCUCCUUUGCUUCUCCCACGCCUAUGUGAGAGGCCGUAUGGGUCACACGAUCUCAUACACGCCCGUAUGUCCCGAUCGUGUCUCGCACAUUAUCAUGUCUCUUGCUCGUGUAACUCAUUGACUUGAAAUUAAAAUUAAAAAAUUAGUUCCAAUACUCACACGUCCAUGUGCCUAAGCCAUUUGUGCCACACGGCCGUGUUUCAAAGCUAUGUGGACCACCUCAGGCUGUGUUACAAUUGAAUUUUGGAAAAAUUAAGUCUCGAGAUUCACACGGCCAAGGACACCCCCGUUUGUCCAGGCUGUGUGACUCACAUGGACAUGUUUUUACACCAUGUAACUCUAUCAUUUGCUCCCUUAUGCAUACAGCCUAGGACGCGAUUGUGUGUCCACGCCGUGUGGGUCAAAAACACACAUUUUUUUUAAAUUUAACUUUAAAUUAGCAUGCAAUAAAUUAAAAGAACUAACUGAGGUUAAACACUCAGGUUGCCUCUCGAGAAGCGCUUAUUUAGAGUCUAAGUUUGACUUUACCUUAUGCACGAUUACGAUGGUUCAUAGAGCCGAAGCUCCUAUUUUUCGUUAUCAAUUAUUCUACCAAGAUAAGGUUUGAGUCAAGUACUAUUUACCUUAAAUGUGUCUAACUCAAAAUGAGUUACCUCAACUGUACCAUAUGGGAAGACGUUCAAUACCGUAGAUGGGUUUGAUCCAUUUUGCAUCAAGUUCCGAAGAGGCAAUGCAUGGAUCCGUUUUGUCUAGUAGUACUUCAUCCCCAACCUUAAAUUAGUUUGUUCCAUUCAUAUGCACCUCAUGAUGUCGCUUUGGCUCUUCAUCGUGUUUUCUCGAUUUCUCCUUGACAUGUGUUCGCCAUUCAUCUAGUUCAUUGAGUUGCACCAUUCAUUGUUAAUGAGUUGUUCUAUUUUUGUCACCUUUACUGAAACAUGGCUCUAUUACAUUUUCACCAGAGAUUUCCUACAAUGAAGGUUGAGCCACAUGGUUACUCACAUUAACAGAACAUUUCAUACCAUCUCGUUCACUAGAGAUUUUUGCAGAAUCACGUGUUUGGAGAGUAAUCGUUUUGUCACAUACCCGAAGUACUAAUUCACCCAUACCAACAUCAAUAAUAGCCCUGCUAGUGGCUAAAAAGAGGCGACCUAAAAUUAAAGGUAGCUCACUACCCUCAUCCAUGUCCAACAUAACAAAGUCAACGGGGAAUAUGAAUUUAUCUAUUUUAACAAGCACAUCCUCAAUAACACCCCGAUGGUUCUAUCUGCUAAUUGAAUACUCAUCCUAAUGUGUUUAGGUUUCCCAAGACCUAGUUGUUUAAAAAUUUUGCAGGGCAUGACAUUAAUAAUGGCCCCUAAAUCAGCUAAGGCAUUAUUAUUUAAACUACUAGUGAGACAAGGAAUAGUAAAACUCUCUGGAUCUUUAAAUUUGUUGGGUAGUUUAUUUUGUAAUAUGGCCAAGCAAACUGCAUUGAGCUCUAGAAUCGACGAGUCGUCUAACUUCCUUUUGUUUGCCAAAAGCUCCUUUAAAAAUAUGACGUAAUUUGGCAUCUGCGAAAGAGCUUCAACAAACAGUAAGUUAAUAUGUAAUUUCUUUAAGAGCUUGAGGAAUUUACCAAAUUGUUCGUUCGUGUGGUCUCUCUUUGACACCUUAGGAUAUGGCACUCGAGGUUUAUAUUCCUUGACAAUCAGCUUUUUCUCUUUCCUAUCUUCCACAGCAUUAUCGUUAUACACCACAAUUUCUUGCCUUAGUUCUUGUUCAGAUUCAACUAACCCUUCUUUGUCUCAAACAAUAAUUGCAUGAAGCUGCUCCUUUAGGUUAGUUUCAGUAUUGCUAGGUAAGCUACCUUGUGGUCGUUCUAAGAUUAGUUUAGCAAGCUGACUUAUUUGGUUGUUGGAAGCCUGGAGGGGGUUAUGCUCUUUGAAUUCCUUGACCACCCUAAGUGAAAUUGGGAUAGUUCCUCCAACCUGCAUUAUAUUUGUUACUAUAAGGGUUGUUUUGAGGCCUAAAAUUAUUACUCAUAUAAUUGAUUUGCUCAUUCUCUAUGCUAGGACCGAAGGGUAAACAUUUUGGAUUAUUUAUUCCACCUCCAUUUGUAUUGCAUUGCAUCACUAGAUGUACAUGUGUAGAAAGAUAUAAACAAUUAAUUUUCUUAUUUAAUACUUCGACCUGGUUCGAUAACAUGGUGACUACAUCUAAAUUAAAAACACCGACUGCAUUCAGCGGCUUUGUCCUCAUGACUUGCCACUGAUAAUUAUUCAGUGGCAUCUCCUCUAUAAACUCAUAAGCCGCUUCGGGUGUUUUAUUGUUCAAAGUUCCACCGAGUACUACAUCAAUCAACUGCCUCAUUAAGGGGUUCAAACCAUUGUAGAAGGUUUGAACUUUUAACCAUAAAGGUAAGCCAUGGUGAGAGCACCGUCUCAAUAGAUCCUUGUAUCUCUCCCAUGCAUCAUAUAUUGUCUAUAAGUCGAUCUGAACAAAGGAAGAUAUGUUAUUCCUCAACUUAGUUGUCUUAGCCGAUGGGAAGUAUUUUAGUAGAAAUUUCUCGGUCAUUUGAGCCCAUGUAGUAAUGAAACCUCGUGGUAAAGAGUUCAACCACUAUUUUGAUUUGUUCCUUAACGAGAAUAGGAACAACCGUAAAUGAAUGGCGUCAUCAGUGGAACCAUUAAUCUUGAAAGUGUCGCAGAUUUCCAAAAAAUUAGCCAAAGGAGUAUUUGGAUCUUUUUCUUUCAAACCAUUGAACUAAAUAUACUGUUGUACCAUCUGAAUUGUAUUCAGUUCAGUUCGAAAUUAUUUGCAGCAAUGGUAGGUCACACAAUACUCGAUUCAACACCAGUCAGAGUGGGCUUGCCAUAAUCGUACAUAGUACGAGAAAUAGGAGUGGAACGACGAAAAUGUGCAAGUGUACACAACGCAACAAGUCAUAAAGUGACAAGUAAAUGUUGAACUAUCAUACCCACAGGGACUGUAAAAGAAUUAUUUAUGAAAGUAAGUUUAAACACUUUGGUGAAAGAAAAAUAUUUGGAUUUGGGAAAUGAUUAAAAACUAGAAACAAAGUAAAUAAAAUAAAAUAAAAAGUUCUAAUGCACGAUUUCAAAAGCUGAUUUUAAUCAAGAUGAUAUAAUUGUGCUAGAUUAAUUACAUUUCCUUACCUUAGAAUCAUUAAACUUAUGCUUAUACUUAUUACUAAUAAAUCACGACAACUCGGUAAUUCACUAACUUAUGAACAUAUUUACAAAUAAAAAAUCCAUUCAUCUCUUGUACAUAUUCCUAUGUCAAUUCGAUCGAUAAAACAAAUUUAUAAAGAUAAACAUGUUAUUGCACAUACAUACUUAUUAAAUUAAACAAUCUCUUGCAUAUUCCUAUGUCGAUUCAAAUGAUUAAUUCAACCAAAUAAGCAUAUAAAAGACUAUGUGAGGUAACAAAGUAUCCUUACCUUGAAACAGUUAAAUCACAAUAAUCUUGCAAGUUAUGCAAGGCAUAAGUAUCGCCAAAUACAAUGCUAAUCUAAUCUUCAGCUACCUAAGAAGAAUUAAACAUGCACUGAUUAAGUACUGUGUCCAUUAAUUACAAUUUCAAUGCAUUUAAAUAAUUAAAUCUUUAGUUAUCUUACAAUUGUAAUGCAAAAAUAACUUAAUCAUGGUUUUACUUAGUCAAACAUUUUACCGAGGCCUAUAACAGUAUAAACAUAAAUUUAACAAAUUAAGAGGACAGAAUGCAAUCAACCCAACAUGAAUUAAAUUCAAGCUAAGAUGAUUAAACUAAUCAUUCCAAUAGCAUAAAUAUUCAUAGAUGUGUUCAUCAUAAAAACAACAAAAAUUAAAGAGAUAAUGAGCAGGAAUCAAAUCUGGUGGUUUUCCGUGGCUUGACUAGGUUGCUCCGUUCUUCCUUCUUUGCUGUCCUCGCCGGUCAAGGCUGCUAUGAACACUCAAUUGCUACUCCAAAAUGGCUGAAGAAGACCCCUUUCCCAAGAGGAGAAAUCGGCACAAGAGCAAGGAACUUUGAAUGGGAAAAUGAGAGAUAAAAGUGAGAGAGGAGAGAAGAGUUGUGAGAAAAGAGAUGUGAAUAAGGGAUGAUUUGAAUGGGAAGAAAAAAUAGAAAAUUUUAGCAGCCAAAGAUCCCCCUCAUGGCCGGCCAUCCUACAUGGCAAAGUUGAGAAUUUCAACUUUGCUAAAAUUAGCCUGGGGCAAAUCCGUAAAGCCUUAAUUUAAGGUGAGGUUUGAAUGCAAUUUGGAAGUCUUCCAAUGGCCUUUUUGCAGCUCAUUUAAUUAGCUAAAAAUGCUUAUUUGGGUCAGCAUUUGAACGGUUCUGGGCUGCCCAAUUGGUGGCUGGUUCGGUUUGCUCAAUUUGGUUCAACUAGUGCGGUUCAACUAGGCUCUUUUUUUCCAUAAUUAAUUAAAAUUAAUUUAUUUAGCCCAAAUUAAAUUGGGAAUAAAUUAAAAUUAAUUAUAUUAUGAAUUAAUACACAUAUUUGGACUGUCUUAGGCUGGAAAUUAUUUUGCCUUGUUACUUCGAAUUGCUUCUCGAUUUUGUUCUUCUAACGGUGUCUACCAGGUCAAUUUUCACCUUUUGUACGAAUCUGUCAAAAAUAAUCAAAAUUCACUAAAAAUAAUUAUAAAAUUGACUAAAAAUUAACAUGUUCAAAUUUUUAAUACAAUUUAAUUAUUUUAUAAAAAUUAAUUAUUUUAUGACAAAAAUUCUAUCGAAAAUGCAUGAUUUUAAGUAAAAUUAGGUAUGAAAAAGUAUAUAAAUCUUUGUGUUUCCAAGGAGCAGGAGCUGCAGCAACUACAUGAGGUAGUUGAAUAUUCUAAUUAUCACCUAUCUCCUCAGUAAUAAUAAUAUCCUCUUAUUCGCCUACUAAAUUCUGUCAACUAUGCCUUGUUUUUCUACGAUUUUUCUGAGCUGUACUUUCAAUUUCGUUGUCGAAAAGCAAAGGUCCCGACAGGUUUCUUCUAGUCAUAAACCAAGAGAACCUGCCAAAAGUAAAUAAAAUAAAAAAAUUAGAAUGUAAAAAUUAAACUAAAACAAGAAUAUCAAAUAAAAAAUAAUAAUGUUUAAUUAAUAAAAUUAAAUUGUUCCUAAUAUUUUAGUCCCCGGCAAUGGUGCCAAAAACUUGAUGUGUCUUCAUGUUACUAACUAAAUAUACGACUAGGGCAAGUGCACCUAUCGAUAAUAGUAUAGAUACGAUGAGGUGAGAUAUCGUAUCCACGAGGACUAAAAGUAUUAGUAAUUAACAUUUUCUUAUUACUUAGCCGACAAAUUGGAGUGAUGUGUUUAAAACUAAAUUUACAAAACUAAAUUAACUAAUAACUCAACAAAGAAUGAAUAAGGAAAAUAAUCGAAUGAUAACUAAUGAGAGAGACAAUACCUAGGAAAGAAUUCACCUAGACUUUUCCUAUUAUUAUGAAUCUGAAUUAAACGAUUUAUUCACUUGGUGUCUUGAUCUGUAGAAAUCCCUAAAUUAUGCUAAUAUCUCUUCGAAAGUAAGAGCAAUUGACUCUAGGUUGAUUAAUUGAAAUCUCUUUCUAAUUAAAACCCCUAUAGUCGAAUUAACUCAAUUUAUGAAAUCCAUUAUUAGAUUUGACUCUAAUCCAGUAGAUUUAUGUCAUCUUAUUUUAGGAUUGCAUGCAACUCCACUCAAUUAUGCUAGAUCUACUCUUAAACAAAGACUUUUUCUCCACUGAAUUAUUCAUAUUAAACAUGAAUUAAUAUCCAAAAAAUAUUAAAACAAGAAAUAAACACACAUAAUUCAGAACAAGAAUCAAGUAUUUAUCACGUAAAACAGAAAUUAAAUAAUAGAAUUCAUCAUAGGUUUUAUCUUCCCUAGGUAUCUAGCGAAUUAGUUCAUAAUCCUGAAUGAAAAUAUAUCAAAGUCAGAAAAACUAGAAGAAACAAAGAAACUCAUAAAAACUUCAAAAGAAAUUAAAAUGGCGUCUUCGAUCUUAACAAAAAUCUACUUUGAGUUGGCUCCAAUUGUGUUCUUCGAGUUGUUUCUUCGAUCUUCUCUGAUGGCUCCCAUAUCUCUUAUUCGAUUUGGUAUUUAUAGAAUUUAGAAUGCUCAAAAGCCUAAAAAAUGUGUUUUUCAGCGUGUUUGGGAAGCAUGUUGCAAAAUCAACAUGGGCUGGCACAUGGGCGUGUGUCCAGCCCGUGUGGCUCCUGAAAUUUUCUCUUUCUCUUGACUUUCGCUCCUUUUUCUCCCAAAUGCUCACCUAAGUAUAAGGGCAUGAAUUAAAAUGAUUAGAAGCAUCAAAUUCACCAGUUUUCAUAAAUAAUCAUCCAAAAAUGCAUUAAGAAUAAGAUUAAAACAUGUUAGUUUUAUCAUUUAUCAAUUUACUAAAGCUGGCAUUGCCUUCAACACCCCAUUGAUUAAAGUUGUUAUGCAUAAGCAAUUCUUCUAAAUAAGGCAGACCUGAUAUGAUUUUCCUGGAAUGACUUUAAGCUUAGAAUAAUUACUCAAAUCUAAGGACUUAAACCUUGUUAGUCUCCCUAUUUCCUAAGGGAUCUCUGAAUAUCAGAACUGAAAAUUUUAAGUGUAUCCAAUUGCUUCAGGUUCCCAACAAUUGUGAUGUCAUUCAACUUACAUUCAUUGAAACGCAACCUUUGAAGGUUUCUUAAAGAAGUAAAUGAUGAAGGUAGGGAAGCAAAAUCUAUACCAGUGAAAUCUAAUAUCAAGAGUUCAUUCAUCUGCUCAAAGAAAUUUUCUGGGACUUCUAACGAUGGAUUUUUGUUUAACAAAACCAGCAACUUUAACCUAAGGCAUUCAAGAUUGUCUGAUAUCUUGUUAAUGCUAGUGUAUGGCAACAAAAUGGUAGUGCAAUUAUUGAGUUUUCUUUUCUUUAGCAGCUCUUUAAUAUGGAUUUCAUCCUCUAUAACAAACAUCUGCUUUUCUUCAGAUGCAAUCCAAAUGGCAACAUCACGAACAAUGUCAUUCAUUUUCACCAUUUCAUUGUUGUCACUGCUGAGUAAUAAACCUGCAUCUUUGAGCUUAUUCAAACAUUAUUUGGCUUCUUCCAUUGUGCUAGCAUUACUUGCUAUUCUUAAACCCAAGUUGUAUCUUAGCAAAUCAAAUACAUGAAUGUCAAAACCGUGGGGUAGCAAGGCACAGAUUUGGAAAAAUAACUACAAUUGAGGUUUCUUUAACAUGCUGUAACUUUUCUCUAUAGUGAAGUAAACACUUUGAACGCUUCUUCAUUUUUUGUAAUUGGCUUUGGUUCUUUUUUUCAAAGCCUCCACCAAGUUGAAGUUUUGUGUUCUCAAUGCAAUUGCAAUUGCUAAAAUAGCAACUGGAAAACCUGCACAAUUUUUCACAACUUUAGUCAGUAGUUGUCAGUAACCAAGCUUGUUUGCUGCAUUGCCCAUAACUUUCUGAAUCCACUCUAUUGUUUCUUCAUUAGUUAACAUUUGGACAUUGAAUAUUUCUUCAGUUUUCAUGUCAAUGAGUAACUGUGGAUGUGUGGAAGUUAGCAAUAUUUUGAAUCUAACAGCAGAGAAUUUUUGAAAACCAUUUUCACUAAUAUUUUGCAGUAAUGGUCGUCCUAGAUCUUCUUCAUUUGCAAUAUUUUGGUCACCUUCAAUAGCAAUCCCAACUUGUUCCAAUUCCAGUCUUUGACCAUCCUAAAUAUCAUCUAAAAUUAAAAGAACUCUCUUAUCUUGUUUCUUCAACCAUUUCUCUAGUCCCAUUUCUCUUGCAAACACAAUCUCCUUAUCAAGUUUCAGACCUAGUGCAUCUGUAAUUUCUCCCUAAAUUCUUUUUAAGUUUGGAUUCCACAACACAGUUACCAUCACAACCUCAUCAAGCAUGGUUUCUUCAUUGACUCUCCUAGCAGCUUCUUUUACUGGCAUUGUCUUGCCUACACCAGGCAUCCCAUUUACUCCAAUGAUCUUCAAAUCAGGAUCCUUUAAAGCUUCCACAAUAUCUUCCCUGAUAGUCGAGUAGUUGAUAAGAUGAUUACCACACUUCUUGAGAGAUAUGAAUCAAGGAUAUCCUCAUUGGAAGAUUCAAAGGAUCUAUCAACCAUCUCACUCUUUGAACUAAUCAAUGCUCUGUAUGCUCAAGAAAAAAGAAGGGCAAAUAAAGAAUAAAAGUACGUUGAUGGAGUCUUUCAAGCCAAAAAUAGAAAAGGCUCGAGCUCCUCAAAAAAUGAAGAAAAGAAGGACUGGACAAAGAAGAAACAGGAUAAUUGGAGAGAUGGUGGCAAGGAGAAAAAUCCAUUACGUUCUCAAUACAAAAAGACCAAUCACUUAAAGAGGUAUUGUUGGUUCAGGCCAGAUAUUUAAUGUAGAAGCUGUAAACAAUUUGGUCAUAUGGAGAGAGUGUGCAAGAAUAAUAGGCAUGCACAACAACAAAAUGCUCAGGCACAGACGAAAGAAUCAAAUCAAUAAGAACUGGUGUUCACUGCCUCCUGCGAAGCCAAACUCGCUACCCCAUGAGAAGUCCUAUUUGCGACACCGUGUGAACCCUCCAACAAAGUAAGAAAAAACUGGUUGGUUGACUGUGGUUGUACAAACCACAUGACUUCAGAUGAAAGCAUUUUCAAACGGAUUGAUAGAAGUUGCAUUUCAAAAGUUAGAGUUGGAAAUGGCGAGUACAUCGAAGCUGUAGGAAAAGAAGAUAUGCUAAUCAGCACUUCUACAGGUACUAAAGUAAUUACAAAUGUGCUUUUAAUUCUUGAGAUAAAUCAUAAUCUCCUUAGCAUUGGUCAAUUGAUUGAGAAAAAAUAUAUUGUAACACCCCUAACCCGUAUCCAUCGUCAGAUUAAGGUUAUGAGGCAUUACCUAACACAACACAGUCUAACAGAGUCAUUUAUCACAAUUCAUAUCUACUAAUCAUAUCUCAUAUACAAACCAUACUUCUUUUCUGUGCAAACCAAUUUCACAAUACAAUUCACACACUGAAAUUUAACUAAGUCAUAAUCAUUCUACUACUCACAUUUCGAACCAAUUAACAUACAUCGAUUCAUAUUACAUUAUAGCAAAACACAUCUAUCAACUAAAUCAUACAUAUAUACUUUGAAACAUACUUCCCAAAAGAGCUUAUAACAUGACCGAAUAUACAUAAUAAUUAGUAUAUCUAACAAGCCAUUUCGCAUGGCAACUUAUAUACAAUUCAAAAUUAGCCAUAGUCUAUACAUGCCAUUUGUCACAAUAUCAAGCUUUCAAAAUACCGAAAUGGCAAUUGAUAGUGUGAAGAUAAUCCUUGAUGAUCCCCGAGCUCGAGCUAGCUUUAUGUAUCUAUAAAGAAAUGGAAGGAUGCACAAAGUAACCUUUGGAAGCUUAGUAAGCCAUAAGCAAAUAAAUCAUCUCAAUGAUAUUUAGAAUUCAAUUCAACUAGGUCUAAUUCAAAUGAAUCUCAAACACAUAUACAUUUAACUAACUCAUAUAAAUUCAUAUUAUCACAUUAAGUACUAAACUUACCUUAAUAUUUCAUGAACAUAUAACUUCACACAUACCUGAACCAUUUAGCUCAUAUUUACAUUCGGAAUUGUUAAGAACACACGGAAUUCAUAUAAAGCUCAUACAAUGCCAUAUCCCGGAUAUGGUCUUACAUGUUAACGCAUAUCGAUGCUACUGUCCCAAACAAUGUCUUAUAUGAAUCAUAUACGAUGCUAAUGUCCCAAACAUGGUCUUACACGUUUUCUCACUUUGAUGCCAAUGUCCCAGACAUGGUCUUACACGAAAUCACACCUCAGAAGUCCUAAUAUCAUGACAUCAAUAUCCAAUACAUUUCCUAAGGUUCAUUCAAAGCUUUCGAAUUCGUAAUUAAAUCAAUUCAUGCACGAAACCAAUCAUCCAAUGCUCAAAUCAAUUCAUCAAUAUAUAUGUAUACAUAUACAAAUCAAUUCGGUAAUGUAUAUCCAAAUACGAAUCAAUUCGGCAAUGUAUAUCCAUAUACAAAUAAAUUCGGCAAUGUAUAUCUAUAUACAAAUCAAUUAGGUAAUGUGUAUCCAAAUACAAAUCAAUUCAGCAAUGUAUAUCUAUAUACAAAUAAAUUCGACAAUGUAUAUCCAAAUACGAAUAAAUUCAGCAAUGUAUAUCCAAAUACGAAUCAAUUCGGUAAUGUAUAUUUAAAUACAAAUCAAUUCGGCAAUGUAUAUCUAUAUACAAAUCAAUUUGACAAUGUAUAUCCAAAUAUGAAUCAAUUCGGCAAUGUAUAAAACAUAUACAUUUGAAUUAAAAAAAUAUUUAUUUACUUAUGAACUUACCUCAUACGGAAAUAAACGGAUUGGAUCAACUACUAAAUCUGAUUUCUUUCUUUUUCGAUCUAAUUGAAUUCAAAUUUAACUCAUUUAAUCACAUAUUCAUUCAAUUUCAUCCAAAAUACCUAUUUGGACAUUUUUACACUUUAGCCCCUAAAGUUUCACAUUUAUUCAAUUUAGUCCCAUUUUCACAAAUACACAAAAUUUGCACAAUUCAAUAUAACCCAAGCUUAUUAGAAUUAUUAUAGUGCCCCUAGCAGCCCAAAAAUUUCAUUUAUUUCACAUUUCAACCACCCAAUUUACAUAUUUCACAAUUUAAUCCAUAUUUAACAUUUUUGUCAAAAAUCACUUUACAAAACAUAUUAAUCUAUCAAAAAUUAUUCAUUUUCCAUCAUCAAGAUUCAAAAACAUCAAGUUAUCAUUAAUGGUAACUCACAAAUUCAUCAACCAAUUCAAAAAUUAGGGCAUGGACUAGCUAGAACACGAAGCAACGAUCUCAAAACGUAAAAACUAUCAAAAAUGGGACAAAAACGCAUGCCUAAUUGAGAUUACAAGCUUGUCCGAAUGUUUUGCAAAAAAAUGGCUUCUUUCCCUUCUAAAAAUCGGUGGAAGAUGGUAAUGGAAGAUGAUGAUAAUUUUGUUUUGUUUAUUUUUAACAUUAAUUACUAUUUUACUUAAUUAACCUUUAUAAACUUUAAUGAUUACACAAAAUGCCACUCCACUAUCAUCCACUAACUUACAAAUGGCCUAUUUACCACUUAAGGACCUUUACUUUAAUAUUCUAUAGCUAUUAGACACCUUUAGCUUGUAGAAUAUAACUUUUACGCUCUACGCGAUUUAGUCCUUUUUACCGAUUAAGCAUUCAAACAGUAAAAUUUCUUUAUGAAACUUUCACACAUAUAUAAUCACAUGUUGUAAAUACCAAAAAUAAUAUUAAAAUAAUUUUCUAACCUCAGGUUUGUGGUUCUGAAAUCAUUAUUCCGAUUUAACUAAAAUCGGGCGGUUACAUAUAUUAUUGUUUUCAAAGAUAAAUAUUGCAUUAUAUUUGAUUCAUUAGGAUAGGAAGUUGUGAUUGUCUCAAUGAACAAUAGAAGAUUUCUACUAGAUUGGAAUUUUAUGGCCUUGAGAGCCUAUACCAGUUCAAUAGAUAAAUCAUAUAGUUGGCACAAAAGACAGGGACAUGUGAACAAGAAGUUCCUUAGUCAAGUCAAGUGUGCAAACCAAAAACAAUUGUGAAGAUAACUAAUGUUGACGAUAAAGAUUUAGGUAAAGGCUUUGAUAAUCUUCCUGUUAAAGAUACCAGGUUUGUUGUUGAAACUUAUCACAGAUGUGACUUAGCAGUAUGGGAGUCUACAAUUUUGAAGAAGUUGCACAAGAAAACAACAUUGGUGCUUGUUGCAAAAUGGUCAAGAAAGAGUGUUCAAAGUUGGCCAAUCAAGCAGUAGAAAGCAGCAGGAUAAACUGUGAGCCUACGAGCUCACCAAAAUGCAAGUUGCGAAGUUAGCAAAAAUGUGUGUUGAUAGAUGUCAAGCUAUGAAAGUGCAAGCUACAAGCUAAAUGAAAUAUGUGAUACAAAAGUGCGAGGUCAUAAAAAUGAGAGCUCAUCGAAGCACAAGCUUGAGAGCAGGCAAAGAUGCAAACUUGUUGAUACUCUAACAAAAUCCCUUGGGAAGAUGAAGUUUGAAAAACUAGGUUAUGAUAUUGGGGUUCGCAACAUGGAGGCCAAGGAGGAGUGUUGCGAAGUUGCCAUCCAUGCAUUGGCAAACCUAGCUCCUACAUGAUUGCGAGCUCACCAUAUCUGCGAGCUCACCAAAAGAUGCAAGCCCACCAAGAGUGCGAGCUUACCUACGAACUAUGAAUUGCGAGCUCACCAAGAACUACAAGCUCACAAAAAUGUGCGAGCUUGCCAAGAUCAUGAGCUCACCAAGCAUGCGAGCUCACCUGCGAGCUCUUCACUCUGCAAGUUGCCAACUUGCACUCAAACUGUGACAAAUUUUAAUUAAACAUUUUGGCAAGCGAUUAGCUAGAAACCAACAAAUGAAAAACAAAGUUAUAUGAAUUUAGUCACUGAAUUAAGCCAAGUUGUAAUAUUUUAUUAUUAUUUUUAGCUUAUUUAAGCAUAGUUUUUCAUGUAAACUAAGCAUCAAUUUUUUAAUGAAACAGAUCACCAAAAAUUAACUUCUCCAUUUUUCAUCUUUUGCUUCUGUUUCAGCCUCUCAUUCUUCAAAAAUCCAACACACCUCUUCUUUGCUUGCGCUUCAAGGUUAUUCAUUGUCUCUGACUAUUCCUUGAUUUUCUCUUUUGCGCGAUUCACCUAAAUCUGGCCAUCUUGGUCAAACUCUUGUGCCUUUUCCUUGGCAACAUCAAUGUAAUAUGCUGCACUCUGUCUCUUUGAUAUCUCGAUUCCUUAAUUUGUUCCUUCAGAUUCUGAACUUUACCAUCAGGCUUCAACAUGUAACGUUUAAACCCAGAAACAAACUCUAUUUUUGGGGGGUUUUUCAAUUUAUAGUAAUUGGUAAAGCAAACAAAGCAAACCAAAAACAAAAUAGCAGUGAAUGAAUGACCAAACUAUGGAGCAAAUGGAGUUUCAAUCUUUGUAUUGAAGGGAAAAAAGAUGCAAUGAAUGGCAAAGACAACAAGGCAAAGAAAGCAUCAAAAGGUAAAAUAAAGAACAUGAAGAUAAAACUAAGAAUGUAGAAUCAAUGCUUUGAUCAUUUGCAGAAGUUAAGGUUUUGAUCAUUAGAAGCUCAAACUCUUAGUUUUUAUGACUGGUUGUUUUGAGUCUUGCCGGUCUCUAAUCGAGUUAGCCUAAUUGAGUAAAAAAAAUUGGAGAUAAUAGAGUUAGUCGAAUUGAGUAAUAAAUUUUUGAAUUUUGUUGGUUUUGAUAAUUUUUUUUAUAUAAUUUUUUAGCUUUUUUAAAAAUAUUUCUAAUUUUUUUUAAAUAUUAAUUUUGAAAUUUUAAAAAUUAUUUUUAAUUUUUCUGAGAGAGUGACCAGUUUAUACAUUUUCAAUACUGAUAGAGACCAAAUGAGUAUUUAUAUCAAUUUGUUGUUCAAUUGUAAAAUUUUAAUUUGACUUGAAAUCAAAGCUCGAAUUAUUUAUUUGAGUUAACUUGAAUAUUUUGAAUAACUUGAUUCGAUUAAAAUCUAAAUUAUUUUUAUUUUUUUUGAAUCGAAUCAGAUUUUGCUCGAUGUUAGAAUCUUUACAAACUACAAUGAUAUCUUUACUCUGGCAACUUUUCAUUUUUCAAUACAUGUUGCAAUUAGUGUUUUGUUUGAUAAAUUUAUUUGAAAGUGGAGCUUCCAUAUUUAAGUUAUAAUUGUUGAUUAAAUUAUUUAUUCAUUUCUUAACAAAUUUAUGAAUGUUUCUUCUUUUCAUAUUUUUGAAAAAGAAAAAGAAAGAAUUCUUCAAAGAAAAGAAAAAAAGUUAAAAUGAAGCAAAACGGUUUUGGAAGGCAAAGAAUAAAGUGCAGAGAAGCUUUAAAUGUUUAAUGUUAUUUAAACUCCUUUUUCUUCAAUUUUCCAUAAGAAUUUUCUGUUUUUUUUUUUAAAGUUAAAAUUUUAAAGAUUGGAAAAUUCAUAAAGGAAGGAAUUUCUGGGUUCUAAAUAUUCUUAAGAGUUGAAAUUACCACAAUAAAAGUUGUUAGGAAAAUCAUGAAACUUUGAUUUUCAUCGAUUGUUAAAAAAAUACUUGUAAUUCAGUUCAACACUAACAAUUAAAGUUACAAAUUAAAAUGCAAUCGCUCAUGUACAGGACACUGAUAGGCUAGAUUAUCGGAUGCAUUUCCGGACUUAGGUAUGAAAAUAUGACUUUCAAAGACGAAAAAGAAUAUAAAAGAAAUGGAACAUAUCAUUGUUACUGACAUUCAAACUCAAAGUUGGAGUAACAUGGCUAGGAAGUGAAAUACCAACUUUAGAUCAAUGAAUAUGGCUGCAACUGAGCAGCAGCUAGUAGACAGCAUUUGAACUCGCAAUGAAAGGGGCAUCUCCCAUAACUCUUUAUAAAGCGACUGUGCCAAAAUGAUAAGUGAAAUAAUCAAUUUCUGCCAUUAAACUACAUUUUAUGCUUAAGCUCAAAACUAAAAGCAUGAUAUUUUUAACACUCAUGCAACACAAAAUCAUUUCUGUGAUUCUUUGAAACUCAUACUUUUCUAAAGCAAAUAUCUCCACUUUUCCUUCAAUAUUGGCCUUUCUGUAGUUUGUAUCCUUGAGCUGAAACUCUUCCAUAUGAAUAGCAAUGGAUUGAGUGAUUGUCGCUGCAUGUAAAUUGUUGGCAUGUUUAUUAUUUGCAUCCGCUGUAAUUUCAUCAUUCAUCCCCUAAUAUUAAAAUGGAAAAAGGUAUUCCAAAGUUAUGUUUUUCCCCCUUCAAUCAAACACAUAUGUAAGAUAUAGACUCACAAAGUUAGUUGACUGGUUGUGCCAUAUCUUUCUCCAGUUUCCCACACCCGUGAUGCUCUGUUCCUCUAAGCAAGGUUAGUUUGCUAGAGAAAAACAAGUAGUACAACAAGAAUAGGGAAUCAAAUAUUUAACAAAAAUGAACAAUAAAAAAGACAUGAAAGAAAGCAAUGAUACAAGAAAACAAAAAUGGGACAUUACCUUUCAAUGGAAAGAGUUGGAAAGCGAAUCUCUGAGUUGUUUCUUUCUAUCCUAAGAAAAUAAUGCCAGUGCCACUAGUGAUCAUAAGAUUGGCAUUUGUCCUCUUAAAUCAUUUUCUCAACCCUUCACAAUGUUCGUUCUCAAUUAAGUACAAGUAUGACUCACUAAUUCAAUUGUGACAAAAGGAGUAUUUGAGGGAACCACUUAUCAGUUUACACGUAAGAAUAUCAUACAUAUUUACUAGUUACAAGUGUUUAACUAGGGGAAGAAGUAAACUAACACUACAUAUCUAAUUAUAUUCACAACAUCAGCAAAACCAAUUAAGCUUAUUUUUACUCAAAAAGACUUGGAAUCUCAUCUCAAAACUGUUAACAAGCGGCUUCCGAUGUCAAAGUGGAGAAUGCUGAGGUAUAAUUCUCUGAGCAGAGCCUUGAAAGACUACCAAGUUCUAAAGACUUGAGUUGGGAGAAAACGAUGCCAUCCAUGACUUCAUCAGUGUAGAAAAGCUAUGGUUUCUUCUAACUUUUGGCAAUCAGUAACACUCAUUCUUGUGAGUUACACCAUGCUUUUAGCUAUUGUGAAAGCUACUAAAUUUCUGAAUCCAUGGCAUUUUGAUGCCUCUACAGUUGUCAAAUGCUUGAAUGACAAAAAAGAUGGCACUAAAUUCUUUAAUUUUCCGCAUCCCAACACUUGUAGAAAACUUCUGCAAGUGAUAGUUUGCUCUUCUAGAUAUGUGUCAACUCAGGAAGAUAAUACAACCUUAACUCCUUCAAGCAAGCAAGUGUUCCUGCACGUUCGUUUUCAUCUCUUACUCCUUCACAUGGAAAUAAUUCAUUGAAGGUAGCCCUUUGCCAAAAGAAAGGUAUUCAAGAUUUGGUAAUGACUAAAUGAAACAAUCUGAGAUAGUAAUUCAUGUUUCGGGACAAUCAAACUUUCUUAGUUUGGGACAAUAUUGUUUCGGGUCUGCUCCAUGUCCAUGCCAUACCUUCAUAUUGCCAUUCCGAGCCAAAACCAAUUCUUCUAAAUUGGGGAAUGUUUCCUGAGAAAUUAAGAACCAUAUAUAUGUUAAAUAAAAGCAAAUCUUCCAAAGUGAUUGAUAAAAUAUGCAAAUCUGUUUAGAUUGACCUUUUAUUUAGUUUCUUUUAUGAGAUCUUACCUUAGUGACCCAAAAUAGGGGUUGUUGAACAGGGAUAACGGAGUGGUUCUCUUCUUGUGUUUCUCUAAAGUUGAUAUACUCCCCAGCGAAUGUCUCCACCUUGCUGCAUUCACACACCUCCAAUUGUUUUAACAAUGGCCAAUCUGUAGUAUGCACCUUGGAGUACAAACCCUUCAAUUUGGGUAGCUUAUGAAGUAUCAGCUGUCUUAUUUUAGGAAACAGAAACUUGGUAGUUGAUUUGAGCUCAAUUGAUUCAUUUGAGUUGAGUCCACGAUCGUCAGCGAGUCCAAUUAUUUCUUCUACCGACUCACAUUCCGAUAUUUCCAGAGCUUCUAGUUUUUCAAGUCUUUCCACCAUAUCAAAUGGUAAAACAUUUGAAAGUUUGUCACACUGUUUCACCGCAAGAAUGGUUAAUUCAUGAAAUGAAUCCUUAGUGAGUUUAUCAUGCCAUAUCUUUCUACACUUUCCCAUGCCUGCAAUUAUCAAACGGCACAAGCUAGGAAACGCAACCUGCGAGAAUUAUUUAAGUUGUUAAUGAGGAAAACAAGUUAGAAUUCUACAUGGAUAUGAAAAGUAAAAUUACUACAAAAAAAUAAAAGAAGAAUAUCACCUUUUGGUUGAAGAGAGUAUUGGUCUCUGAGUUUUCUUGAUGGCAGAAUGUCCUUAGUUUUGGAAGCCCAUCGAGAAUCAGGAAAUAUAGCUUUGUGAACAAGUAAAUCUGAGGUAUCCCAUCUUCUGCUGUGGCUGCUAAUCCAUCUGUAAAGAUUAUUUCUUCCAUGUUCUCGCAAUUGUGAAGGCUAAGUAGAAGGAGCCGCUCAAAAUUUUUGACUAAAAAGGAUGGGAAUAGAUAUUCCAAAUUGUGGCAACGCUUCACAAAUAAGAAUUGUAAGUUAAGCACAUUAGAGGAUAUAGCCCUGUCUGGUUUAUCAGGCCAUAAUUUUUUGAUCUUAGUUGAUGAUAGCUUCAAGUACUUCAAGUGGGCACACAAAACCUGCAGACAAAAUCCUCAUUGCAUGAAUUAUGCAUGCUUGUGAUGAUAAAUACAUACACUCAUUGAUUAAUGCUAAAGCAUUUGUUAUCAAAACAAAACAAUUUGAAUUAUCAUUAAAAACAAUUAUUUAAUUAAUGGUCAGACUUCUUUUUUCUAUUUUUUUCUCAAGAUUACGGAAUUAAUUUUAUUACAUUUGAAUUAUCAUUAAAAACUAUUAUUUAUUACAUUUUGGCAUUGUCAUAACAUACUCUUACACUAUUAGUUAUAACAUUGAAUUUGAACAAUCUUUAACAUACGACAUUUUUAGUUUCUAUCCGUAGAAAAUUUGUACCCUACUUUCUUAUUCUAUUAUUUAAUUUAAGUUUUCACCCAAAUAAAUUAAAAAGUUAAAACACUAAACAAAAGAGAAGAGACUAACCUUAUGAUUGAAAAAGGGUGUCUUUUCUCUGCCAAGUAUCUCUAUAUCCUCUUGCUCCCUUGUAGAUGCCAUUGCAUACAUCUUUGGGCAAUCUUUGACUGCGAUUUUUAAUAAAGAUGGACAUUCCAGGGUACUACUUCCCAUAAAAAAACUUGUCAACCUUGAACAUGACUCAAGUCUUAUCUCCCGAAGCUCGGGUAACAAGAGUAUAUCCAUUUCAGUUUCCUCUGCUCCUUUGAUAAUCUGCUCCAUCAUAGGGCAUUGUUUCACUUUUAUGUCUUGUAGUUGCACAAGAUCUAAAGCCAUGGAUACGUUAAAUAUGUAUAUCAUGGUAUUACACUCAUAAACUUCUAAAACCUUAAGGUUCUUGAAAUCUAAACUUCCAUGAACGUUCUCCUUCCAUAUUUCAAUUGACCUGGAAAAAUCAGAGAGGACUAAAUACUCGAUAGCUUGGAACCCAGCCUACAAAAUCCAGCAAAGAAACAAGGAUUAAAAUUCAUAAAGGUUAGAACGAAGCCAACCCAAACCAUAUGAAAGAAAGAAUGACAUUAUGGAAUAUACAAUAGUACCUUUAUUGAAUAAAUUUCUUGGAUGGUGUUGUUAAGGUCACUACACCAAUGUCCAUUAUCUUUUCCACAUACUACUUUUUGCAAUAAUGGUGGAUUACUUAAAACUCCCUUACAAAAUAUCUCCAAUUCAGGGCAACCACUUACAAUUAAUUCCUGUAAACAUGGGAAUCUUAAUGUGUGGCUGCCAGAACAAAAGCUCUUAAGUCGCGGUAGAUUCACAAGUUCCAAACUUCUCAGCCUGCUGAAAAUAAUGUCACAAGUUGCUUCACCUCCCUCAGUUGCAACUAUUUCCUUCAUUGAAAUGCAGUCUCUAACCCUCAACUUCUUAAGUUGGGCCAUACCUUGGACUGCUAAACAUGUAUCCAAGUAUUUCAUUGCUUCGCAAUUCCACACAUCCAAUGUGGUGAGAUUUUGAAAUGAUGCUGAGGAUGAUCCUAAGCAGAUCAAAUUAUCACAAUCGUGAACUUCAAGAGUCUCAAGUUUGGGUAGAAUGUGGUCCACUUGUACAUCUUGCUUCCAUAAAUAAUUGUUUAGAGUAUUAAGAGAUACCAAUUUUAAGUUUCUAAUUGUUGACAAACGCCCAGCAUACAUCUCCUCAUUACCGGUAUCUCUUUCAGAACAGAAUAGCUCUUUUAUUUCACAAUAAGUGAUAAUAAGGCUUUCAAGAGUGUGGAAUCUCUCAAGGAAAGAAAUUCGGAAAUAAAUUGAUUUUGCAGCGUGGCCAUGCACUUCAAAAACUUUUAUUUCAUGGAAAGGGCUGCUUGAAAAUUGACCAUCACUUAUCAUUGCAAUGUAAUCACUAUCUAAUGUCAAAUGUUGUAGCUUAGGGAUGACCUGAAAACCAAUCAGAAAGCAAUUUUGGAGUCAAUAUGUUCAUCUUCAAACUAAGAAUAGCAUCGGUUACAUAAAUGAAACAUCAUAUAUUUUCAAAAACUUCUUAAUACUCUCUUCAUCAGUAAUUAAUUUUUCUAAGUAAUAUUUCAACCUUAAUUAUCAUAAAUUUUUGUGCUAAUCAAUAAAUAAUAAAAAAAACCCAAUAAUAAUAGUAAAUUAAUUUGAUGGUUUAGAGUUUAAUCUAAGAUUUUAGAUUUUAGAGUUCAUUGUUGGAUUUAUGGUUUAUGGUUUAGGUUCAUGAUUUAGAAUUUAAGAGAAUUUCCUUUGUUUGUUAAUUAGCGUAAAAAAAAGUUAGUUUUUACAGUUCAUACCUUUUCAACCAAGAAAAGUGGUGGAUGGAUUGGGGAGUCAAGUUGUCCAUUGUUAGUGUUCAGAUGUGUACCCAAUAUCUUCAUUUUCCCACACUCAACUACUUCCAACUUGCUUAACAGUGGCCACUUUGCAGUAUGCUUACCCGGGUAGAAACAUUUCAAUUCUGGUAGCCUCCAAAGUACAAGGUCGUAUAGUUGAUCAAACUCGAAAUUGACUGCUGUUUCUGAAUCUGAUCCUUCCUCUAAUUUGGAAACAAUCUCCUCCACCCCAGAAUGAGAUAUUGCAAGAUAACCAAGUUUUGGUAGGUCUUUGGCUAUUGAGGCUGGAAAUACAUUCUUCAAACUUUGACAGUCACAAACAGUUAUUGCACAGAUUUUUUUAAAUGAAAAAAUUCCUUUGGGAUCACUUUUCCAAAUAUAUUUCAACUUUGGUAAUUCAAUAAGAUGCAAUUCUCUUAGUUGAGCGGUUGCAGGCAAAGCGGUUUCGUUUUCUUCAUGCAUGAUUUCAAAUACUUGUUGUAAGGAACCACAAUUCCCUACGAAUAGACGGUGCAACCUUUGAAAUGUUAUCAGCAUAUUAGAUGGAAAAAUGGUUAACAACUCAUCACAUCCGUUAACAACCAAUACUUGUAGUUUGGGAAAUGAAUUUGGUGGAAGUGGGUUCCGCCAUAUCAUCUUCAUCUUUCUCAAGAAGGAAAUAAUCACUUUCUCCAAAUUGGGAAAUGCAACCUGCACUCAUGUCAAUAUAAUGAAAUUAGAAAAUAAAUAAAUUUCUAAAAAUUUAAGAGGAAAAAAAAUAAAAGAAAUGCUCGUUUUUUUAUUCUAAUGCAUACAAACAAAUUAUUCGAAAUUGAAAUAAUAAAUAAGUGAAAUGUUUGAUAGUCUUAAAAUAUGUAUUUUCAAAAAGUCAUUUUCAACUGUACCAAAAAAUGACAAAUGAAAUUUACCUUUAUCUUUCAAUUUUUUCAUCUAUCGUAUCGACCACAUUCUAGGAACCAAGAAUAAAUGUUUUCUAUCUUUUUACUUUAAUUUUUCAUCUCUUCAAUAUUCUUUCCAUUAUAACAUUAAAGCCAAAGCCAACAAGGAGAAAAUGAGUAAACCUACAAUUUAAGAAUUAACCCACCUUAUUGUCAAACAGAUCACCUUGACUAGAGAUUCGUUGGUUCCCUUCCCUUGUAUAUCUACAUAUGAAGCCCUCCAAGUUUGGACAGUUGUAUAUCGUCAUUGACUUCAUAAAUGGAAAUUCAAUAACUUUAUUUUGAGAAUUGAAGCAAAAUCCACGCAAAUGCUGAAGAUCCUUUAGCUCUAAGGACUUUAACUGAGGAAAUAAUGAUAAAGUCAUGGCAACCUGAGUUUCUUCUUCUAUAUCCUCCCAAAGGAUUAUCUCCUCUAAGCAGUUGCACUUAGUUACCUCAAAAUAUUUGAGAUGAACUAGAUAUUUAGCCAUAGAAAAUGAUAACAGGUAUUUUAUGUUUCCACAACCCUCGAUUUUCAAUGUGGUUAACUUCUCAUGAGUGUAAAAAGAUACAUUUGACAACUGGUUCUGCCAUACCCUUGUAACAUUAAGCGAUGAUAACUGCAAUUUCUCCAAGAAAGGGAACGAUAUCUACAACCAUACACAUAGUUAAUUCUACUUUCAAAUCAAUAUUGUAAAUAUAUAUAUAAUUCUAUUUUUGCAAUUACCAAAUAAUAAAGUCUGCCGAUCAAAAAAAAGUGUCAUAUAAUAGAAAAUUUCUAGUAAAUAUAAAAUAUGUUGAGAGUAUUGGGGACAGAAGAACCCAUCAUAUGAUCAGAAAAAGGGAAAAAAAAAAUACCACGUAACUAAGCAACAACACGAGCAAUACGGCAUGAUUCGGAAAAAGGAAAGAAAGCCUUGAAAGAUAUUGAAUUAUAGAUACCUUUUCUCCGAAAAGUGGCAAUUCACGUUGAGGCAAUGAGGUAGCAUCGAUUUUGUCUUGAGAGCAAAAGCUAACGAGUUGAGGAAGACCCUGCAAUGUCAAGGACUGCAAUCCCGGAAAUUCAUUUCUAUCAUUAGUGAUAGAUUCAAUAUCCAAACCAUUUUGGAUAUGCAGAUUCUGCAAAUGUGAUAACCUUUCCUCAUCUAUUAAAUCCUUCAGUGCAAUCUUUACACCUUUCAAUUCAUCCAAUUCUAAAUAUUGAGUUCUCUUUACCAACUUCUUAAUUCCAUGAUCCAAAUCAUCAAUGCUUUUGUUUAGCCUGAGUUUUAAGGUUCUUGAAUAUUGAGAGUUGCCAAACCGCUCCCAUUCCUUUCCUAUGAAAAUCUUGUAUCUUUCCAACUUUUGCAACUUUUGAAAGAAGUCCUCUGGGGCAGCCUUGGCGUCCGGAAUUUGAACUUCUAAAGUGGACAAAUGAGAGAGUGUGUUCAGUUCAGCAAGACUAGCAUUGGGUUGUCCCCAUUGAAUAGAAGUGCCACCCAUAUAUAAUUCUUCUAAUUUUGACAAACUUGGCAACACGUCAGCUGAAAUUGUUUUGAGUUUAGUACAACCACUUACAUCUAACAACUUUAGCUUCAACAACUGCCCAAUUUCCUUGGGUACAAUUUUGAUAUCAGAUCCAGCAAGGCUAAGCACAUUUAAGCUCUUGAGAGCUCCAAUAAUGGUUAGGUUAUCUCCCAAAUUGCAGCAAUCUAGGCACAAUGUACUGAGGCUAGUUAGGAGACCAAUUGAUGAAGGUAAAGAAGAAAAAUGCAUGCGAGUCAAAUCUAAGACUUGAAGACUUUUUGCUUCCUUGAAGAAGUUAUCCGGUAAAGUCAAGGAGAGAUCCUUGCUUAAUAAAAAGAAAAGAAAAAGCUGUGGACAAUUCAACUGGUCAGGAAGCUUGUUGAUACUAGGAUGCUGCAAAAUAAUCUUGUUGCACUCUUUCAUUGACUCUCCAUUUGGCCAAUCUGUUACAGCAUCCUCAUCCUCAUCAUUAUCCUCCUCUGUUAAAGCAAGCACUUGAUUGUCCUUUGAAGCCAUUGAUUUGGCUACAAUAUAAUAAGAUCAUGCACAUCAAAGUACUCCUCAUUGGCACUUUUACUAUCAAGCAACAGACAAGAUUCUUUGAGGGUACUCAGCAUUUUUAACAGCCUAUCUCGUGCUGCUUUCAUGGUGUUGACUCCUUUAAUUAGACCCAAACCAUGAGCAUAUCUCAACAAGUUGUCAAUCCUAGUGUCACGACGCAGUAAACUGCAAAGCAGGAAAAUCUGCUUGAGGUCUUCACUCGAUAAAUGAUUGAUACUCAACUCAAUAGCCGAAUGUACCUCAGCAGAUAUCUCAUUGGAGCUUUUUUCCAAGUAAGGCCUCUGUAGUUGUUGUAAAGCAUCCCUCCAAACAAAUAAACUUUUAUUUCGUAAUGCCCUUGCAACUGUUGCAAGGGCGAGUGGUAAUCUUGCACAUUUCUCGGCUACCUUAAUUGCUGUAGAUCGCAGCUGCUCGUCACUUUCAAAACUGUCCCCGGCAGUCUUCCUAAAGAACUCCCAAGCUUCUUCGUUUUCUAAAUCACCGAGUGCAAAGGUCUUUGUAGCAUCCAUCCCAUUGCUUAGAACAUUUUGAUCUCUUGAGGUCAACAGUAUUUUGCAUCCUUUGUGUCGACUUCCAAAUGGAAUUCCGACUUCCUCUAGAUCCAGUUUCUUCCAAAGAUCAUCCAAAAUAAUAAGAACAUUUUUCUCCUUCCUUAAUCUUUCACACAAUCUACGGGCUCUUACAACCGGACUGUUUUCUUCAAGCUUCAAACCCAAUGAGUAUGCUAUUUGGUCUUGGAUUUCCUUAAUGUCAGGACUUCGAGAUACAAUUGCCCUGACGACUGAAUCGAAUAACUUAACCUCAUGGAGUUGUCUCUCGACUUCUUUGACCAGCGAUGUUUUGCCCACACCAGCCAUCCCGUACAAUCCAAUCAUGCCUGUUGUUGCAUCUUUUAGUGACUCCAUGAUAUCAUCGAAAACCUCCUCUCUUGAUUUAAAUGCCUCAAAGUCUGGAUGGACUAUGGGUACAGGAACAUCAGGGUAUCCCACGCGCUCAAAUUGGCAAUCUUUGAUAAGCUCAUCAAAAGUGGCAGCAGCUUCUUCAGCUUUCCUGCUAAGCUGGUAGCGAGACUUGAUGUUGGGACACAAGCCAAAGAAGCACUUGGUCUUCGCUUUGACUUCAAGAUCCUUCACUUUCUUCUCCUUUUCAGUGAUAACCUCAUCCACUCUGUGGCGCCAAUCCGGAACAUCAGCUUUAAUCUUCUCCCCGUUCCUUUCUGCAACAUCAACAGCUUGCUGCACACUAGUUCUUUUUGCAAUCAACGUCCUAUGUUUCUGCUCGAACUUGUCAACAAUUUUCUGGUAGAAGAUUACAUAUCUAAUAUAACGUUUAACUUGGUGGAAGAUACCUUUGGCAGCCUCGGAAGAGACAUUGGCAGCAGCACCAGUACCAAUUGCAUCCAUUUUUUUUUCUUUUUUUGCUUUGGGGUUACAAAUGACAGACAGAGAAAGUAAAAAAGAGGCAAGAAAGAAAUUAGUAAAAGGAAAGAAGCAAGCAAGAAGAAAUCAAAAAUGAUGUGAAGAAGCCAUUAGCGGAUAUGAAAUAGAAAUUCUGGAAGGCAUGGAAUUGGAUAUGGACUGUUGCCUUCGACUCUGUGAGACUUCAGAUUAGAAGUCAAAGAACCAGCAAAAGAAAACAGAGAAUGACUGUGAACUUCAAUUUUAAAAAAUACAUAAUUAUUUAUCAACUUAUCUAUUAACUUCUAUAAAGAGGGUGAGUGAUCUUGACACAAUAAUAAUCAAUUUAACCUCUGAAUUAUAAUUAAAAUAUUAAAAUAUUAUUUAUCAACUUAUCUAUUAACUUCUAUAAAGAGGGUGAGUGAUCUUGACACAAUAAUUUAAAAGGUUAAUUAUAAUUUAACCUCUGAAUUAUAAUUAAAAUAUUAAUUUGAUAAUUCUAAAAAAACAUUUAAUAAUAAUUCUAAAUUUUUUAAAGGGUAAUCUAUUUAGAUAAUCACCCAAGUUUUGUUGAGCUCCUAUUUUGGUCACCGAUUUUUGUUGUUGUUAAUUUAGCUACUUCCAUAAGAUUAAUUGUCAUUUUUAAUCACUCCACCAUUAAAAUGUUUUGGUCAUUGAAUGAAAUGCUAACCUGUUAGUCUUUUGAUUAAUAUAAUAAUAAACUUAACCAUUAACAUUUUACACAUUCUAUCAAGUUGGUCCUAAUUUUAAAAAAAUUAACAAAUUUAACCCUCAAGAUAUGUAUUUUUUUCAAUUUAGUCCAAAUUCAAAAAAUUUAAGAACUUGAAAUAUAUAUAAUUUAUUAUAAAAGGACAUAAAAAUAUAAAAUAUUUAAAAUAUAUAUAAAAUUACAUAAAGGAUUAAUUGCUAUUUGGUUCUAAUUCUAAAAUUCAAGAAAUUUAACCCUUAAUAUUUACAUACUUUUCAAUUUAAUCUAAGUUCUAAAAAUUUAUAAAUAGCAUAUUCAAACAUAUAAAACAUUCAAAAAAAAAUAAACAAUCAAGACCCAAAAUCAAAAUAAGUAAUUUUUUUCUUAGCUAUAAUUCAAAAUCAUUCAAAAAAUCCACAAAAUGCUCCUACUUUUGAUUUAUGCCAUCGCACAACAUUGCGAUCAAAAAAAUUACAAGAAAAAAAGUUCAAUUUUUUAUCCUCUUACUAUAAUUUUUUUGGUCAAGUAAACAAAAGAGUUCAAACUUUGUAAAACAACAAUCAUCCCCUCAUCUCCUUCCCCAUUCAUCUUCAAGUUUUUCAUUGUUCUUAUACUCUCGCCCAAACCUCACAAUCUCAAAUACCAUACCAAAUCGAUAUCCAACUUUACUAGACCCAAACUACAUCACCACUUCAUCAUCAAGCACUCAUCGCUAAACUCACAUCGACAGUCUUUUUUUUUUUUACAAACAUACCUAAACUUUGUUUCACAUUUUCUUUUAAUGAGGAAAAAUCAGUUAAUGAAGCAUCACUUAGUCUUAAGCAUCUGAAUCCCUCAAAGCCCUGCAUUUUGCCGUUGAAAUGGAGCCAAAGAUGUUUCUAUAAUUAAAGGCUUUUUUAUUUGAAUCUCUCAACCAACUAUUUGAUCACGGUUCUAGUAGAAGUUGGUAGUGAUUGAUUCACAAAAGUAAUUCAAAAGACUUGUUUAGUUGGGUGAGGUUUAAAGAAUAUANNNNNNNNNNNNNNNNNNNNNNNNNNNNNNNNNNNNNNNNNNNNNNNNNNNNNNNNNNNNNNNNNNNNNNNNNNNNNNNNNNNNNNNNNNNNNNNNNNNNGAAAAAUUGAGGGUUAAAUUUUGUUUAAUCCCUAAAAAAUUGGGUAAAAUUAAAUAAAUAUUUAUCUGAAUCCCUCAACCAAAUUCAUAUUUAAUCCUUUAUAUGAUUUUAUCUAUAUUUUUAGUAAUUUAUUUUUAUGACAUUUUAUAAUAAAUUUUAUAUAUUUUCAAGUUUUUAAAAUUAUUUUUUUUAAUUUGGACUAAAUUGCCAAAAUAAACAACUAUUGAGGGUUAAAUUUGUUGAAUUUUUAGAAUUAGGAACAAAUAGACAAAAUGUGUAAAGUCUUAAAGGUUAAUUUUAUUUUUAUAAUAAUCAAAAGACGAUCAUGUCAACAUUUUUGUUUAGUGACCAAGGCAUUUUAAUGGAGUGACUAAAAAUGACAAUUAAUCUAACAGGUGACUAAAUUAAAAAAAAAAAAUUGGUGACCAAAAUUGGAACACGCUAAAACUUGGAUGACUAUAUAAAUAGUUUACUCUUUAAUUUUUUUUUAAAUUAUUCUUAAGAACAAAUUUAAAUUGAUCAAAUUGAUAUUUUAAUUAUAGCUCAUGGGCUAAAUUGAUUAUUAACCUUUAAAUUAAUGUACCAAUCACCCACUUGACAGAAGUUAACGAAUGAAUGACAAUAACUUUCGAAAGUUGAAUAACUGAAAUGUAAUUUUAAUCAAAGUUUAGGAAUAAUCGAUAUAGUUUAGGAAUAAUCAAAUUCUUCUUAAUAUUAUUUUAGUUCUAGUUAUGAUUAAUUAAAUAAAACUAAUGUAAAAAAUUAAAUAAAACUAAAAAAGAUUAUUAUGAUAAUAUAUUUUUAUACUUUUAAAUCUUUUUUAAAUAAAAAAUUUAUAAAUUAAAUAAUUAAAUACAUGUUGAAUAUUAUUAUAAUACAAGUUUAUUAUCAGAUGACUUAUAUCUAUUAUUAAAUAAUAUUUUAAAAAAAAUUAACAUAUAAUGUUUUUUUAUUGGUGGGGAAUUUAGGGAAAUUUGAGUAGAAGUAGUAAUAUUUUUAUUAAGGAUAGUAUAAAUAUCUUUUGGAGUUUCAACCUUAUUUUGUUUUCAGCUUGUUCAAUAAUUGAGAAGGUUGGCCACUUGUUCAAUAAUUGAGGAGGCUGGUCGUGUGGGUCUCAUGAAAUGGCACGUGACAUCAUAAUUGAUUUCCUAUUGUUUCGGUUCUACAGAAUAGUUUAUAUUUUGUUUUGCUCAAACUGUAAUAUGUGUUUCAACUCAAUUUUGGUUAAUAUCAAUUUGUAUUGGUGUAUUUAAAUUAAAUUACAGAGUAAAAAAAUAAAAAAUAAAAUAUAUUUUCAGACAUUUAGUAUAUUCCAAAUUUAACAUUUCUACUUUUAUUUUUAGAAAUUUAAUUUAUCUACUUUCAAAAUUAAAAAUAUAGAUUUAAUUGCUACCACCAUUAAAAUUCUUCUAUAAAAUUAUACAAAGACAUUUAAAAAUUAAAAAAAUUCCCUUAAUAACCAUGUAAUAAUAAAAAUAAUAUUAUAAAUACCAAUUGGGAUUUUUUUUUUUUAAACUGUACAUUUGAAUUCGGUAUGAUAAAUAGUAUUUUUAACAAAAAUUGACAUCAAAAUUUGGAUAACAAUUUAACUUAAAGUAAAAAAACUAAAUUAUGUUAAAAACAAAACUAUAUAUAUAACAACCCACAUUUAAUCCAAUCAUUAAAUCUAAAUAUCUUCAAAUAUUAUGAUUAUUUUACUUUCGAAAAAAUAUUUGCGUAAUUUUUUAAUCGAUUUGGUACCCGAUUGACUCGUAACAUCAACUUAGACAAAAAUUUAAAUAAUAGCUUAGAUUUAUCAAUAAUUUAUUAUAUUAUUCAUUGUACAGACCCAUUUUGCCCGGGUUCAAAACCAAUACAAACCCAAACUAUUAACAGUCCCAAAUAAAAAAACCUAGCCCAAACCCAAAAACAAAAAGAAACAAAGAAACCCUAGCCCCUAACCCUAGCGUCAGCCGCCGCAGCCACCGACCCCAACUCCCACCACCUACUCCGCCGCUCCUCUGUCCACUUGCACCUGCAACGAAAUGCCAGGCAAAAGAUAAGAUAAAAAAAAUCAUGUAAAAACGGCUAUAAAGUCGAGAAUCGAACGCUUGUAAGGGGUUCCCCCCUUUUUUUUUUCACAAACAUUUAAGAAAUAAAAGAAAACAAUUUAAAAAGGUGACUUUUUUGUACAUUUUUCGAUUUUGUUUUUUUCCGGUUUGUUUCUUUUUUAUUUUUUUAUUUUCUUUCACAUACGAAAUAAAUAAAAAUAACAAAAAGAAAAAAAGAAAAAACCUACCUGUUUCGUUCUUCGUCAUCGGGAUUCGGAGGGUCCCUCCUCUUUUCGGUCAUUUUUGGCCACUUUUUCUAAAAAACAACCCCAGAUUCGAAAUCAAGGGGUUGAGAGGGUUAAAGAGGCCUUUUUUUAAUUUUUUCGACCCGACCCGAUGAAGGUCCGCGUGUUUUCAUACCUGAGGGUCUAUUUUCCUUUUAGCCCUUCCGUAUUUCUCUUUUUUAUAAUUUGGUCCCUUUUGUUAAAUUUCUUUUAUGUUUAAUUUUGCCUUAGAAUUUUAUUCUGUUUUCAUUUGAGUCCCGGGUAAAGCGCUGCGUUUUGGAGGGAGGGGAUAUUUUCCCCUUUAGUCCCUCUUUGUUAUUUGCGCACUCUAUUCGGUCCUUUUCUUUUAAUUUCUUCUCAGAUUUGCCCCAAAUUUCUAUGUUAAGUUCAAGUUAGUCCUUUUGUUGUUAUUUUUAUUAAAUUAAUUAAUUUCUAAUCAUUAUUAUCACUUCUCUUACUAUUAUUUUUAUCAUUACUCAUAUUAUUAUUUUAUUUUUACUACUACUACUAUUAUUAUUAUUAUUAUUAUUAUUAUUAUUAUUAUUAUUAUUAUUAUUAUUAUUAUUAUCAUCAUCAUCUUAACCUUUUAUUAUAUAUUUAUUAUUAUUUUCACAUUGUUUAAUUAAUUAUUCUUUUACAUAAUUUCCAUUACAUUUUUUUACAUUCAUAUUAAAUACGUUUGUCUUAUUUAUAUAUUAGUUCUUUAAAUGCAUUUUUAUACAUUUGUUUUGUAUCUUUUUACAUAAUUUCUAUCAUCUUUUUUUUAUUGCAUAGCCUUAAAUUGUUUAUUGUUAUUAUUAUUAUUUAUUUUCAUAUUUAAUAUUUUCGUUUCUAAAUUGUUUUAUGUUUUUAUUCAUUUAUUUAAUAUCAGCUCUUUAGUUUCAAAUCAUAAAUUUGCCCUAUUUAAUACUCGUCCUUUUAUCUUCGACUUGUUUAUUUUAUCUCAUUUUCGUUCCUUAUAUUAUUGUUCAUAUUAAUGCAUUCGUAUUUAUUCUGUUAUGCAUAUCAACAAUGUAAUUUGCUUUCACAUUCUUUUUAUUACGACAUCAUGUUUCAUUUUACUCGAUAUAUCAAAAUUUGUUUAAAUAAAUGGCAUUUCGUAUGUUUAGAUUCGAGAAGGUCGUACCCUAACUUACUGGGUUUCGAUUUUCAUGACGAAUCUAAAUACACGAGUCUUUUUCAAACUUAAGCUUUAAACGAUCUCGAAAAUUAAGAAAAGAUCAAGUCCUAACUUACUGGGCCUGAUCCCUUUUUUUUUAAAAAACCCGAGAUAAUUAAAUAUCUUUUUAAAUAAGUAAAUUUUCGACAUUUAUUCUCGUAUUGGGAAUUCGAUAUGUUGUGUCCUAACACAUUGGAUAUGACACUUCGUUUUCUCGAGAUGAGGAUUUUUCUAAAAAAUAAUAAAGGCAAUAUUCAAUGUUUAUAAUUUUGAGAAAUUGUGCCCUAACAUAUUGGGUUGCGAUUUCAUCAUCUGACUUAAGCAAUUGAAUAUCCUUUUAAACUUUAUUGCACGAGUUUUUUGGACAAGCUCAUUUUUGAGAAGGUGAAAUAUCAUGCCCUAACUCAUUGGGUGUGACUUUUCUCUCUCCGAAAUGAGAGGGUCUUAAUGGGUAAUUUAAUUUAAACAAGUUUUUAAUACAAGGAUCGUAUUUUUUAACUCUUCAAAAUUUUCAAUCUUUGACAUUAAGACAUUAAAUAAUCGACUAGGUACUAAUUUUGGGCGUUACGAGGGUGCUAAUCCUUCCUCGUAAGUAACCGACUCCCGAACCUAUUUUUCUGAAUUUCGUGGAUCAAAACCGUUGUUUUAAUAAAAUCGAACCGUUUAUUAAAAACAACCACUUUUACGAGGUGACCCGAUCACAGCUCAUAAAAAAAAAGGAUUGGUGACGACUCCCGUUUUUUCGUUUUCAUUUUCAAAUCCAAGUCGACCCCAUUUCAUCAAAAAAAUUGUGUCAACAUUCAUCAUAUAUUACUAUUUUAUAAUUAUUUAUAAAAUUUAGUAUAUAUUAUGAAUAUAUCAUAAAGAUAAAAUUAUUUAUCAUUCAGAGAUUUUGUAACACCUAAAAAUUUUGGUGACAUAAAUGAUAUUAUUAAGAGAAUAUAAAUUGUAAAAUGUUCUUAUUUUCAUAUUUUUUUAGACGAAAAAAAAUGAUUUUAAGAAUUCUUCAAAGAAAAAAAAAGGUUAAAAUUGGAAGGCAAACAAUAAAGUGUAAAGAAGCUUUAAAUGUUUUAAGGUUAUUUAAAUAUAUUCACAUGGAAAUAUUUCAUUAAUGGAAGCAUCACUCACAACAAUAUUUUGAAGAUCUAAAAAUGAUCGAAAGAAAUAAGGUGGAAGAACAGUCAGCGGAGGAGAAUUUAAGAGCUCCAAAACUUUCGGCUUAAAAUACCCUUCUGGAAGUUGUCCAUGUAUAUCUCUUUCAUGUUGCCAUUGCUUUCCAAUCUCAAUUCUUCUAAAUAAGGGAAUGUAUCCAGGUCAGUUGACAAAUGUCUUAAACAAAAGCGAGGAUGAAUUUCGAUUAAGGAAAUGGAAUUGUGGUAUGCCCGUAUUUCAGUUAAAUUUGAGAGAUAAUCUCUCAAUUAAACUUUGUUUAUAUAUUUUAAUUAAACUCUGAUUAGUUUAGAGUUUUAUUAUUGUUUGAUCUAUGAAUUUAGUCUAUAAAUAGGCUCUUUUACAAUAUUAGUAAAUACACCCAUUAAAGAUUGGUUAUUAUACUCAACUGACCCAAAAAAAUAAAUAAUUACAAAAAUAACCCAGAUUGAAAAAUAAUAACCUAAUAAAUGACCUGAAAUGAACAGUACCCAAGAGUAAUGGACACUAGAUGGCCGACACCCAUAUAAAUCCUGACACAAUUAUUGCCUCAUGAUUGUGUCAGGGAGUAAAAAUUAAUUUUUUGGGUUUUGGACAUGAGAUGACUGGCACCCGUGUAUUUUUUCCCAAUUGUAUCAUAUUGGUAUAACAUGUAUACCAAAAUUUUUAAAAAAAUUAGGGUGGCGUUAUAUUGAUGGCUGGCACCCCUUUAACUGAUUAGAAAUUUUUUUUGAGGGGUGUUGGGACACUGAUGGCCAGCACCCUUUUUCCAAAUUAAAAAAAAUUUAGGUGUUGGAACACUGAUAGUCGACACCAUGUAAUUUAUAUAUAUAUGGAUGCUCUUUGGGUUGUGGUAUUGUAAUUAGAGAAAAACUUAUUGAGAGUAUCCUGCUGAAGAAAAGGCUAUCAUAGUUACUCACUGUCUGAUAAGCAAACAAUGUCACUAUAAGGUUAGAAACCUUUCAAGUUGUUAACCAUCCAAAGUUGUUUGCCUAUCAGAUGAGGAGUAACUGUAAAUCAUAGAUGUGAUGUAAUGGACUCUUCAAUUAUUUGGGGAGGGUACCAUCAAUUCAAGAUACAGAAAAUUGGGGUUGAAUUAUAUAUUGUCAUGCGUUAACGGAGUUGGAUUAUAUAUUGUCACGUGAAUCAUAAAGGUUAUGUCAUCAAAGGGUGGAGAUACUAGCAUUCAAAUUGAUUGUAUUAUUUUUGUAUCUGUAAAUCAAUUUUGGUCUGUAUUAUUUGUUGUUGGAUUUUUUUCGUAUAUCAAUUGGGCUUCAUAUAUCAGUUGUCUACAAUAUUCGUAUUUUUUUUGUAUCAGUAAAUCAAUUUUAGCCCAUAUUAUUUGUUGGUCGAAUUUUAUAUGUUCUUAUAUCAAUCUAAAAAGUUCCUAUUGCAAAAAAUUUAUGUGGACCCAAGAGUUUUGCACACAAAAAGUUAUGUUAGAAAUUCAUAUUACGUUUUGCAAAAAUAGUUACAAACUAAAUAAUUACAAAAAACUCAAAAUUGUAUGGACCCAAGCGUUGUCCUCGGCCCUGGCAUGUAACGGUCGGGCAACCUCCGUUGGCAAGAGGUUGCACCUUCAUGUGGCGAUUGAUAAUCAUUCAGGCCGACCUCCGUUUUUCCUGCCAGUGUACUGAAGAAAGUGUAAAAUUGUAUGCCUCAUCAUCAGGGGUGACGGGGCAUUAUGACACCGGAGGUGUUGAGCCAAAAAUAUCCUCAAUGGCAAGUGCUUGCCAUUGGAGCUCCAUGUGGUAUAAGAAUGUUUCAGAGUGUGCUAAAUGUUGAGGGUGGGGGUUUAGGUCAUCGCCAAAUAUCUCCUCGAAUGAAUAAGGUUGUUUGGGAUGGGGUGUAUGUAAUGACGUUCCGGAUGCUGAAUAUUGGGGACCGAGAUCGGUGUUUGAGUCUGAUUCAGUGUUCUCAAACGGUGGGACUCUAUUACAAAGUGGUUGAGUCUUCAUUCGUUGUCGUUUAGACCUACUUGGUUGCGAGUGUUCCGGGACCACCAUGAAGGGGGCGCUUCUUAUAGCAGGCGUUCCACAAAAUGAUGUAUGGGGCAUGUUCGGUCACCCAAUUUUUUAUGUCCUUACCAUUUUUGUCUAACCCGUAAGCAUGUUCAAAGUCUUGUGGAAGGUUUAGGAUAUAUUGAUGCAACUGAACUAUCUUGAUACCCGAUUCGCUAUGUGCCACACGACCAUCUUGAAAUUAAUCAAUGAGACGUUUGUCAUAAAUAGUAUUCGUUGCUUGUGAACCCAUGAUAGUAUGAGGGCCGCAAUUUCUCCCUUGGAAUACAUCCAUAGAAACUGCACAGUAUAGAAAGAUUAUAUUAUAAAUUGGACUAAAUUUUUUUGCAAAUGUUGAAAUUAAAAAAUAUUUAUAGCACUCAAAUAUUGUAAUUUUAAAAAAAUUCGAAAGCGUAUUUCAUGUUUUCCCUAAAAUAAGCCUCUAUCAUUUGGCGGUAUAUGGGCACCGUGUAUGAUCUUUCGAUUCCCGAUAUCGUUGCCCAUUUGUAAAACAUAUUCAAAUUUUUAAGUAUAUUUGGCAUGCAAAAAGUACAAUACUAUUAAAGAAAAAGGUAAUAUCCAAUUUUUAAGCAUAUUUCAGAUCUUCUAGUAAGGGGAGGUACAUGAUGUGCAUUUUAUUCUGAUUGGCAUCCAACAUUAGUACCCCACCUAUCAAUUGUAGAAGAUACGCUCUAGAAGCAUAAAUAAUGUUCGUUUGCAUUGGACGGCUUGAUAAGUUUUUGAAAUUAUUCCUUAACCAAGUAAAUUUAAUACCUGUAAUAAGGCCCAAUCGGCCCAAAACAGUUCCUAGUCCAACAUUACAAAAUUAAACAGACGGCCCAAAACGGUCCCUGGCCCAACACUACAAAGUUAAGCAGAAAAACCCUAAGCAAUAAGGAGCGCCGCAUCUGCCUCAGCGCCGCAACAGCACCCGCGCCGCGCCCAAUGCCCGAUCGCCGCACGUUUCGGCCUCCACUCUCCACGCACCUACAAACAUGGAUUCAGAGAGUCCAUUAGCGAAAAUAUAGUGUAAAACAAAUAGGUUUUCAGGCUAUAAAAGGCCGACUUUUAUCUGUAAAAAGGACGGAUCUUUUGAUAGGGAAUCGAGAAUAAAAAGCAGUAAAGACUUGUUUUUUUAAAGGUGAUUUCUUCUUGUUAUUAAAAGUGUUUAUCGUUUUUACAUUUUUUUUUAUAUUUUCUUUUACUUUUCAUUUUGUUUCGUUUAAAAUAACAAGGGAAAAGGAAAGGAAAACUUACCUGAAAACGCCGUGCCAUCGCCAUCUCCGUCGUGAUCGGAGUUUUGGUGAGAGGGCCGAUCGAGCGGCGGCGCAAGGACGCUAGGGUUCCAAACCCUAGCAGAGCAAACAAAAGGGGGGGCCUCUGUUUUUUUUAUUUUUUUUCUUCUCUUCGAUUGCAACUGAUUUUGAAAAGAAAUUUUGUUUUAAAUAAAUGAUCAAAACGGCGCUGUAUUGUCCAGGCCUUGACCCGCGCGGUGACCCGACCCGAAGGGGAGGAUCCGCGCGUUCUGACGUCAGAGGGGAGAUUUGCGCAAAUGAUCCCUCCCUUUUGCAAUGCGCCCCAACUUAAACCCUUUUUUGUUUUUUAAAUUAGGCCACAUAUUUGAUCCGCGUUUCGAUUCAGUCCCUAGCUGCGCAGUAUUUUGAGAGGAUGGAUUAAUUUCCACCUGGGUCCUCCUACUGUUGUGCGCAUCUUAAUUUGGACCUUUUCCUUAGUUUCCAUCUUUAAAUUUGGUUUCAAAACUUUGUUUAUUUUUGAUUUAAUCCUUAAUUUGUUGUUUUUUAUAUGUUAUUAUUAUUAUUAUUAUUAUUAUUAUUAUUAUUAUAGGAAUUACUAUUACGCUUACUAUAUAUAUAUACACAUUCGCAUAUUCUCUGCAAUAAUAUGUGCAUACAUUCUUUUUAACGAUUUUUAUAAACACAUGCACCUUACAUAUAUAUUUUAUUAUCAUUCUAUGUGCAUAACUUUCAUAUACUUUUGCGUGCAUUUAUAUUUUAUAUAGAUAUACAUUGUUGUAACAUAUUUAUUCCCUAUAUUUUAUAAUUUAAAGCAUACAUGCAUUCUCUAAUAUAUACCUACACAUUUAAACUUUUUAUAAAUCCACGCAUAAAUUUUGUACAUACUAAACAUUUUUUUAAAAAUGUGUAUUUUAUAUUUUAGUUUCAAAUUCUUUUCACUUUUGUAAAUAAAUAUAUGUGAACGCAUAAUUGUAAAUAUAUUUGUAUAUUCUACCUACUUGUAUAUGUAAUUGUGAAUAUUUAUUCAUAUAUGUUUGAAAUUAGGGUAUUUGUUUCAUGUUAUACCUUAACCCUUUUUUAGCAUCCAUUUUAAAAACAUAUAUUUUGAUUUUCUCAAAGUACUUAAAUCAUCCUAUUUUAUAAAUUCCGAAAUAUUUGACAUUCAUGAUUCACGUGAAAGAUCGUGUCCUAACUUACUGGAUCGCGAUUAUUUUUCGAUGAAUUUAGAAAGCCAAGUAUUUGUUUUGCAACAAAUUUUCAAAUUUUAAAUAAAAGCUUAUUCUCGGGAAUUAAAUUGUUGGGUCCUAACUUACUGGUCAUGACAUUUUCUUCUCGAAAUAAGAAUUUACAAAAACAAAAAGGCAAUAUUCGGGUAUUUUGAAGAUUUAAAAACAUUGUGCCCUAACUCACUGGGUGUGGUGUUUUAUUUCUUUGAAAUAAGAAUGUCUUGCUAUUUUAAAUCCAUUCAUGAAAUAAAAAGUUUCCUUUUAAAAUCUUUUCAAAUUUUCGACACCAAGGCAUUAAAAAAUCAAUUUGGUACCAAUUUUGGGCGUUACGAGGGUGCUAAUCCUUCCUCGUGCGUAACUGACUCCCGAACCUGUUUUUUUUCAAAUUCCGCAGACCAAAAUUAUUUUUAAGGUGGGCCGAUCACACCCUAAUAAAGGAUCGGUGGCGACUCCAGUUUUGUUUUUUUAAAGUCGACAACAAAAUUUUUUGUUUUCAAAAAAAUGGUUUCCACAAUACCGAUUAAUCUUUCUUCCUUAUUAUCGGGGGGCACUCUUCCAAGUAAUCAUUCGUAAUUUAACCAAUGAUCGAUCACUUUACCUAGCCCUGUCAUUAUUUAACUUUCAAUAAAUAGACCCACUUGGACCGAUACAUCUUGUAGUGUUAUAAUGCAUUCCUCACAUGGGAGGUGGAAUGUGUGAAUCUUCGGGCACCCUCAUUCCACUAGCGUUGAUAUUAAAUCGGCCUUUAGGUCCAAAAUCUAAAUGAAUGCGGCUGUGUCAAACUUGACAACAUUUAAAUAUGGCACAACCCGCUGGUCAGGAAAAUAUCUCGGAUCAUGGAGUCGAGGCCUCACAACCCGGUACUCUUCCUACAAAAAUAGUAAACAUUAUAUUAUUUUAUUUCUCGAAAAAAAAUUAUAUGAAUUUUAUUUAAAGCUUAAUUGGAUCACAAUUACCAUAUUAUGUACAAACUUUGCUAUGGUUUCCAUUAUCGAGAAGAGGUCGAGGAUUCAUUCUGAUAUUUGUACAAAAGUCGAAAAAAAUUUUACGCUCGACGUAAAAUAUCAAUAUUUUAUUAAAAUGGAACCAUUUAUAUUUUAAAAAAUAUAAAACAACUUACAUCUUUUAUCUAGGAGAGAUAAAAAUUAAUAAAAAUUUCUCUAAUGGGUGGAGCUUGGUGAUGGUGGUUUAUUUUGUAGGUUGGGUGGUAGACCAUUUGGGGCUUUUAUAGUGGAGGACCAUUGAAGCUAAUAAGAGAAAGAAGGAUAAGAAGGGAAAAAAAGAGGCCUUACAAGAAACUCGUUUUCCUAGAUAUGCAAUGUGUGUUGCAGCAUGUAGACUUCGUCUAUGAAUUAUUCAAUACUUAAAUUAGCUGUCGCACACGUUGCAUGAACAUGCACACACGGGUAUUGAAGGUUUUGGAACUUCCCAUACUUGUAGUUCUUGUUCCACAAAUCAACUGCGUAGGACCUGAGCGAAAGUCUCACGCGACGACCGAUGUACUCUUAAACUUGAAAAGACUCCAUGUUGCAAGAAUACAAUUUUGCAUUCAUCGUCUAUGCCUUACAUGUGUUGUUUGCCAUGGCCCUUCGGACGACUUCAACGUACACGUGCCCGACCUUCAUUUCUUUUACUUGCCUUAACCCUAUCAUUAGCAUCAAUCUGGCAAGCCUAUACAACAUUGCCGAGAAUACAACAGAAAUUGGCAAAUGGGGUAUACGCCUCAGAACGGAGUUAACCGCCUUUACAAGGUUGGUUAUUAUAUGAGCAUAACGAAACCCGUCAUAAAAAAUUCAUUCUACCCAACCACUGCUGGAAAUUAGUUGGUAAGGACGACAUUUCACCUCAAGCCUCGUAAGUUUAUGCUUGAAUCAUCACGGUUCUAGCUCGUACUCCGUGUAGCCAAUUUAAAAAAUAUAUUAAAAAACAAAUAGGAACAGAUAAAUUUUGCCAAAAAAUAAAAAAGAUCUGAAUAAUUUUCAAAAAAUAUUUUAAAAAAUUAAGAAAUGGGAAUUUUUGAAAAUUUAUUUUAAUAAAAUACAAACUGAAAUAUUUCAAAAAAUAAUUUAAAUAAUUACUGACUGAAAAUUUUAAUAAUUAGAUUAAAAAUAAAAUAUAAACAUAUUUUACAACAAUAUUUUUUUACUCAUGUUCACAAUUUUUUUACGCCAGUCCUUAUUUUUAUAAUCUUUGUGGAAGUUUGUCGUGAUGUGUUGGAUGUAAUAAACAAACAUUCAUGGAACCCCCCGAACAUCUUAUCGCAGCCAAUGAUCCCUUUAAUCUACAGAGAUAAUGCAAAUGUUGUCUUGCUUGACAACAUGCCUCCCCAGAUUUGUUAGGAAAAAAUCCCAAGACCCGAAACUCUCACCCUCCACGAUUGCGAAAGCGAUAGGAAGUACAUUCUGGUUACUGUCUUGUACAACCGCAAUCAAAAGUAUUUUUAUAUAUUUAUCGUACAACCAGAUACCAUCCACCUGCACCAACGAUUUAUAGUAGGGGAAUGCCUUCACACAUGGCUGAAACGUCCAAAACAAUUGGUGGAAAAUUCGUCUCUACAGUUGUAUUUCACCGUCUGAGCCUUUAUGCGGCAAAGUUUACAAAUCAGUUACCUUACCUGGCACAUACUUCUACAUCACGGCUAUCCACCCUUGAAGUUCGUUGUAUGACACAUCCCAAUCACCAUGCAACUGCUCCAUCACCAUUUGUUUCACCCAUCAUGCCUUCCUAUAAGAAACUCGAUACUUGAAUCGAGCUUGCAUGUUUACAAUAAUGACCAGUACAAGGAUGAUGGGCAUGUCUUUCACCAAUGGCAUGAUGCCGUUGCAUAUGGUUUUUGCAUCCAAUUUUUGGUGGUCUUACAUUAUACGAGCAACCGUGCAUGUGUGAGGCCCUUCUAUUUUCUUGAUUGCCCACCUUUGAGUCUGCACCAAUAAAGCAACCUGAACACGCUAAUUACAACCACUUCCAUCUUUCCAACAUUAUCUAACAUAUAAAAACUGUGUAGACUUCAUGACUUUGUAGUCGACAGAUAACUUCAAGUUGUAUUGAUUUGUUGAAUGUACAAAGUAUUUUUUGUUAUUGAAUUAUGGUCCGACGAACAACUCUUCAGCGUCUGAUUCUCCCUACAGUAGAUGAGUAGUUGCUAUAUCUGGAUAUUCGGGGAACUCAUAUACAUGCACCGUAUCAAGAUCUACGUCUGACGUGAAAGCCCUUGGAUUAUUAUAGAUAACUAUAUCGGAUCCUGUGUUCCUGGCCGAAUUGGGGUUCAUAUCAACACCCUCCACCAUGCCUUCAUUGUCUAUAUCUUCGGGGAUCUCAUCCAAAUCAGGGCCACUAAAAUCUUCAUUAUCAUGGUGGGACUGAUCUUCAUUACAAAACUUUCAUCACCAUCUAGUAUAGUACCCAACACCUCUGGAUAAAUAUCUAGACGAGGACUCGGGAUUGAGAUGUUAUACAAACAUCCGUCGUUAUUUAGAUUUUUGGGAGUUUGCAUUAACCCUUCAUAGCCCGACUGGUCUUCCCAGUAAACAUUAAGAUCAAAAUCAAAUACAAAACACUGACUUGCUGAAAUUACAACUUGAACGGGUUUUGGAUCGACUAACUUUGCGAACAACUCAAUUGAACUUAGAUUCUCGAGCUCAGGGGGUAAUAAAUUGUCAUCUUUGUGCCUAUAUCAUCAUCUUCAAGCUCCAUCUUCGCAAACCUGAAAGGUUCCAUUGAAAUUAGAAUUUUGUAAAGCAAUGUUAACAUUUGCUUCCCGCAAUGGACAACUGUCUUCAUACUAAUCUUCUCUUUCAAUUCCACUAGCAAAACACGUUUGUUGAAUCUUAUUCCAAUUUUUUACCGACUUUGAAAUACACAAGCUUCUUCAACUGUAUUUAUAAUUUCUCCAUCGCAAUUAACAUAGACUAACAAAUUUUGAGAACUCAUCUUAAAAAAUAUAUGCUUCCUCCUCAACAAAAUACUGAUAUAUCACUAUUUUUGUUGUUAAACUAGUAAAUAGAAAAAACCAAAUAGAAGAAACCACAAAUAAAUAGGUUAGGGGGUGUCGGCCAUUGGAUACAUGACACCCCAAUUUUUUUAAUUGAUAAAGGGGGUGUCAACCAUUAGUGUUCCAGUACCCCAAAUUUUUUUAAUCUGGAAAAAGGGUGUCGGUCAUUAAUGUCCCAACACCCAAAAUUUUUUUAAUCUUAAAAAGGGGUGCCAACCAUCAGUGUUCCAACACCCCAAAAAUUUUUUUGUCUAUAAAAAAGGUGUUGGCUAUUAGUGUCUCAACACCUAAAUUUUUUUUUUAUUUUGGAAAAGGGAUGCCAACUAUUAGUGUCAUGACAACCUAAUUUUUUUGUAAUCAGUUAAAAAGGUGUCGACCAUCAAUGUCAUGUCACCCCAAAUUUUAUUUUAGAUAAUGUUAUACAUGUUAUACCAGUAUGAUACAAUUGGAGAAAAAUACAUGGUGCCAACCAUCUCUUGUCCAAAACCUAAAAAAUUAUUUUUUUUUACUAUCUGACUCAAUUAUGAGGAAAUGAUUGUGUCAGAAUUUAUGUGGGUGUCGGCCAUCUAGUAUUCAUUACUCCCGAGUAUUAUUCAUCUUAGGUCAUUUAGGUAAUUUUUUUGAACUUAUUUCAUUUUUGUAAUUAUUUUUUUCGGUCAAUUAGGUAAAAUAACCUUAAAGAUUAGACUCAAAACAUAUUGAGAGAAUUUUGUGUUUAUGUUUUGAGAAUUCUUUAUUUUUGGGUUUCUAGGUUUAGUUUUUAUUUCCAUAUUUUGUACUCUUUGUUCUAUUACUAUUAUAGUAAACUUAUCUUUACCCGUAAUUUUUUAUCCUCUUUGAAGGGGUUUUUCACGUUAAAUUUGUGUGUUUAAUUUCUCAAUUUCAGUAUUUUUUAUUUGUUCGUUGCUUAAUCAAGUCAAUCUCCAAGUGGUAUAAGAGCUAAUUCAAUUUUUACAGAUCAAUUCAUUUGAUGGUGUCACACAUUUCAAUUUGUAGCAAGUUUAGAUGAUGACAAUUCUAGUUCAGACUAGCCUAAAAAACGUCGUUUCCAGAAAAAAAAAAGCUUGAGAAUCUAGAUUAGACAAAAUGGGAUAAGUUUGAUAAAAAACCCUGUCUGCAAUUCAAUUGUACCUCACGAAUAGGGUAUUACAAGAGGUAUUGAUGGAGAAAACCUCAUCCACCUUGUGAAAAAGGUUAAAAACUCUUUAUGCGGCUAAGUCUCUAAUUAACAGUUUAGUGUGUAAACAACAUCUAUUUACGUUUCGCAUGAACAAAUGUGAGCUUUUAAGAGAUCAUAUGAUUCAUUUCUCUUUUGAAUGAUUUAAUGGACGUUGAGGUUCAAAUUGACAAUAAAGAUUAGGCUAUGCUAUUACUGUACUCUUUACCCCAUUCAUACAAUUCUUUUAAGGAGACCCUGAUUUAUGGUAAAGACAAUCUCUCAUUUGAGGAUAUGAAGGGUCCUUUGUUGAGUAAAAACAAACUCAACAAUGAGUUUGGUUCGAAUAGCAAGACAAAUAGACAUGCUUCCAUUUUAGUAGCAUUAAAGAAGCAAGACAAAAGGUGUCAUUAUUGUAAGAAGUUAGGUCAUUGCAAAAUAGAUUGUUAUAAACUGCAAAAUAAAAUGACUGCUGAGAGCAACGGGAAAGGUGUAGCUGGUGCUAAUUUGGUCAACAAAAAAGGUAAUGAUUUCUUGUUAGUGUCAACGAGCAAAAGUUUCGAGCUUAUAUCUAAGUGGAUCCUAGAUUCGUGAUGUUCUUUCCACAUGUGUCCCAUCAGAGAAUGGUUCUCUACAUACAGUUCGCUUAAAGGUAGAGUUGUGUGCAUGGAAAACAAUUCAUCCAGUAAAGUAAUCGGUAUUGGUACUAUUCAAAUCAAGAUGUAUGAUGGGACGCUCAAGACACUGCCAGAUGUUAGGUAUGUACCUGAUUUAUGAAAAAAUCUCAUCUCCUUUAGUAUUUUAGACUCGAAAGGUUGUAAAAUCAACAUCAGGUCGAGCGACAUUAAGGUAUCUCGUGGGGCUUUUGUUUUGAUGAAAGGUAAAAUGAUCAACAAUCUUUAUAUUCUGGAAGGUUCUACAGUGACUGGUGAAAUCAAACGUCCAUCAUCCAUUUCGAAGUCGAAGUCGACUUAUUUGGAGCAGAAACAACUUGGUUAUAAGAGGGAAAAAGGUAUAACCAUUUUGUUGAAGAAUGAUUCUCUUUUGGAUGUAGGUUUCAAAUAAUUAGGGCAUUGUGUUCGUGAAAAUUAGAUCAGAGUUAGUUUUGAUUUGGCAGUGCACAAGUCAAAUGCUAAAAGUCUUCUAGCUUCUAAGUAAAAAUUUGACUCGGUUAAUUCCUUGCAUAGUUCAAGAUAUGCCCAUAAUGGGCUUUGACAAAAAUGGUGUUGCGAAAAUACGAGUCAAGGUGGAGAUUUGUUGAGUAUGCCUCGUAUUUCAGUCAAAUUUGAAAGAUAAUCUCCCAGUUAAACUCUGUUUAUUUGUUUUGGUCGAAUUAUGAUUAGUCUAAAUUAUUUUUUUUAUUUGACCUACGAAUUUAGUCUAUAAGUAGGCUCUUUUACAACCUUAGAAAUACACCCAUUAAAGAUUAGCACUCAUAACACUUUUGGAAAAUUUUGUGUUUAUGUUUUGAAGGUUCUUUAUUUUUUCUAGGUUUAGUUUUUAUCUUCAUCUUUUGUACUCUUCGUUCUGUUGCCAUUAUAGUAAAAUUAUCUUUGCUCGUGUAAAGAACAAUUAAACCUGCAAUGGAAGGGCAUCUCCCAUAACUCUUUAUAAAGCAACUCUGCUAAAAUGAUAAGCGAAAUAAUCAAUUUCUGCCAUUAAACUACAUUUUAUGCUUAAGCUCAUUACUAAAAGUAGGAUAUUUUUCCUUCAAUUUUGGCCUUUCUGUAGUAUGUAUCCUUGAGCUGAAACUUUUCCCUAUAAAGUAGAAGGAUGUAAUAAGUUUAGGAAAAUACAGAUUUAAGGCUCUUUCCAUAGCAACGGAUUGAGUGAUUGUCAUUGCAUGUAAAUUGUUGGCAUGUUUAUUAUUUGCAUCCGCUGUAAUUUCAUCAUUCAUCCCCUUAUAUAAAAAUGGAAAAAAGGUAUUCCAAAGUUUUACUUUUCCCCCUUCAAUCAAACACACAUGUAAGAUAUAGACUUACGUAGUUUGUUGACUGAUUGUGCCAUAUCUUUCUCCAGUUUCCCACACCCAUGAUGCUUUGUUUCUCUAAGUAAGGUUAGUUUGCUAGAGAAAAACAAGUAGUACAACAAGAAUAGGGAAUCAAAUAUUUAAGAAAAAUGAACAAGAAAAAAAAAAUGAAAGAAAGCAAUGAUACAAGAAAACAAAAAUGGGAUAUCCCCUUUCAAUGAAAAGAGUUGGAAAGAGAAUCUCUGAGUUGUUGCUUUCUAUCCCAAGAGAAUAAUGUCAAUGCCAGUAGUGCUACAUUUUAGACAAAAAUACCCAUGUACCUUGGUACCUACCAAGGUACAAAAUCCAAGAAAGAAACAAGGAUUACUCAAAAGCUUAUUACCAAAUCAGAGCAUGCCGAAAAGAAGAAAUUCAAGAAGAAAAUAGAAUGGUUAAAGCUAAAUUAAAGGAAUAUGAAAUAGUACCUUUGUUGAAUGCAAUUUGUUGGACAAUGUUGUUAAGGUCACCACCCCAAUGUCCCUUACCCUUUUCAUCUUCUACUCUUUCCGCAUUUAAAACUCUCUUACAAAAUAUCUCCAACUCAAGGUAACCUUUUAUUAUUAAUUUAUCUGAACAUGGGAAUCCAAAAGCAUGAUUGCCUGAACCAAAAUUCUUGAUGUUGAGAAUGAUUCAAAUGAAUGAAAAAUCUCAAGAAUAAAUGCUAUCGAUUAGAAUGAAUAGUGCAAUCCUCUUACAUUAACUAUUCAUCGACUAUGAUUAAAUGCAUAAGAUAAAAGUUGGUUGAAAUUUGAUUAGGACUAAAUGUUUAUUCAUAAGAUAAAACUUUAAGGAUUUUAAACUUUAUUUUUUAGAAUUUAAAUAAACUGUAAAAAUUGAACCAAUCUUGUUGGUUUUAUUGUGCCAUGAUACUGUUACAGAUGCAUUUAUGGCUAAAUCUUAAUUAUAAUGAUUUAUUAAUAUUUCAACUUAAAAAAAAUUUAUUUUAGUCCUUCAUUUUUUAUAGACCUUUAACUUGUGUUAUUUAUUAAAUCACCUCAAAAAUAAUGAAAAAGUCAAGAUUUUAAUCAUUAAAAGCUCAAAGUCCUAACUCUUUAUGACUGGAUUUUUGAGUCUUGCCUUCAUAAUCUUGGCAAAGAAGAGUGUUGUUUUACCUUUUAGUAUCCCUUAACUCACACAACUUUACAUUUUUCAUAUUGCAAUUAGUGUUUUGUUUGAUAAAUUUAUCAAAAAGUGGAGCCUACAUAUUUAAGUUAUAAUUGUUGGUUAAAUUAUUUAUACAUUUCUUAACAAAUUUACAGUGUUCCUUCUUUUCAUAUUUUUGGAAAAGAAAAAAAUGAUUUAAAGAAUUCUUUUAAAAAAAAAAAGUUAAAAAGAAGCAAAAAUGGUUUUGGAAGGCAAAGGAUAAAGUUAAUAUAUAGAGUAGGAGUGAGAGGAUUCAUACCUUUUCUUAGUAGAAAAGUGGUGGAUGGACUGGGAAGUCAAGUUGUCCAUUGUUAGUGAUCAGUUGUGUACCUAAUAUCUUCAAUUUCUCACACUCAACUAGUUCCAACUUGUUUAACAUUGGCCACUUUGUGGUAUGCUUACCCGGGUAGAAACAUUUCAAUUCUGGUAGCCUCCAAAGCCUAAGGCUGUAUAGUUGAUCCAACUCGAAAUUGACGGCUAUUUCCGACUCGGAUCCUUCCUCUAAUUUGGAAACAAUCUCCUCCACUCCACAAUAAAAUAUUCCAAGAUAACGUAAUCGUGGUAGGUCUUUGGCUAUUGAGGCUGGAAAUACACUCUUCAAAUUUUGACAGCGCCAAACAAAUAUUGUACAGAUUUUCUUAAAAGAAAAAAUUCCUUUGGGAUCAUUUUUCCAAAUAUGUUUCAACUUUGGUAAUCUUAUCAUAUGCAAUUCUCUUAGUUGAGUGGUUGCAAGUAAAGCGAUUUCUUUUUCUUCAUGCAUGAUUUCAAAUACUUGUUGUAAGGAACCACAAGUGUUUACAGUUAGAUGCUGCAACCUUUGAAAUGUUGUGAGCACAUUAGAUGGAAAAAUGGAUAACAACUUAUCACAUCCUUUGACCCUCAAUUCUUGUAGUUUGGGAAAUGCAACCUGCACUCAUGCCAAUAUAAUGAAAUUAGAAGCUAGCUGUUUGUUUCAUUUAUUGUGUGUUUGUGGAAAAGUAGAAGGAUAGAAAGAGAGAGUGGAAAUGUGGAAAAUAAAUAAAUAAAUUUUGAGUGUUGAUUGGUAAAAAAAAUUAAAAAGAAAAAGAAAAGCUCAUUUUUCACAUAAUUCAUAAAAACAAAUUAUUUCAAAUUGAAAUAAUAAGAGAAGAGAAAAUGGAAGAGAUGCUUGUUAGUCUAAAAAUAUGCAUUUUUCAAAAAUUCCAUUUUCAUUCCUCUCAUUUUCAACUAUACCAAAAAAUGAUUAAAAAGAAAUUUACUUUUUCUUUCAAUCUUUUCAUCUUUCUUAUCGACCAUACUAUAGAAAAGAAAAAUAAAUAUUUUCUAUCUUUCUAUCCUUUUACUCCUUAAAUUUUCCUAUCUUUUUAAUUUUCUUUCCACUAUACCAUUAAAGCCAAAGCCAACAAGGAGGAAAUGAGUGAACCUAAAAAUUAAGAAUUAACCCACCUUAUUGUCAAACAGAUCACCCUGACUACAGAUUCGUUGAUUCGCCUGCCUUGUAUAUCUCCAUAUGAAGCUGUCCAAGUUUGGACAGUUGUAUAUCCUCAUUGAUUUCAUGAAUGCAAAUUCAAUAACUUUAUUUUGAGAGGUGGAGCAAAAUCCACUCAAAUGCUGAAGAUUCUUUAGCUCUAAGGACUUUAAUUGAGGAAAUAAUGAUAAAGUCAUCGUAGCCUCAGUUUCUUCUUCUAUAUCUUCCAAAAAAAUUAUCUCCUCUAAGCAGUUGCAUUCAGUUAUCUCAAAGUAUUUGAGAUGAACCAGACAUUUAGCCAUAGAAAAUGAUAAUAGGUAUUUUAUGUUUCUACAACCAUCAAUUUUCAAUGUGGUUAACUUCUCAUGAGUGCAAAAAGAUACAUUUGACAACUGGUUGUGCCAUACCUUUAUAACAUUAAGUGAUGCCAACCGCAAUUUUUUCAAGGAAGAAAACGAUAUCUGAAACCAUACACAUAAUUAUUUCUACUUUCAAAUAAAUAUUAUAUAUAUAUAUAUAUAUAUAAAGGAAUAUUUGCUUUAUAAUUCUAUUUUCGCAAUUACCAAAUACAAUAAAAAAAUUACCCGUUUGAAAUUUCUAAUGGUGAUAUGCUUCCAAUUCCAAAACAUGUCAUAUUUUUUUCUAAAAAAACUAAUUUAAUAAAAAAAACAUACUUACUGAAUACACAAUACAAACAAGCUAAAAACUCAAAAAAUCAAAAAUAAAGUCUGCCAACCAAUAAAAAGUGUCAUAUUGUAGAAAAAUUCUAGUAAAUAUAAAAUAUGUUGAGAGUAUUGAGGACAGAAGAACCCAUCAUAUGAUCAGAAACAGGAAAAAUAAAAAACACUCUCACAUAACUAUUCAACACCACAAGAGCAACACUGCAUGAAUCAGAAAAAGGAAAGAAAGCCCUGAAAGAAAAACUAGAAAGAUAUCGAAUUAUACAUACCUUUUCUCCGAAAAGUGGCAAUUCACGUUGAGGUAAUGAGGUAGCAUCGAUUUUGUCUUGAGAGCAAAAGCUUACGAGUUGAGGAAGACCCUGCAAUGUCAAGGACUGCAAUCGAGGAAAUUCAUUUCUAUCAUUAAUGAUAGAUUCAAUAUCCAAACCAUUUUGGAUAUGCAGAUUCUGCAAAUGUGAUAGCCUUUCCUCAUCUGUUAACUCCUUCAGUGCAAUCUUCACACCUUUCAGUUCAUCCAAUUCUAAAGCUUGAGUUCUCUUUACCAACUUCUUAAUUCCAUGAUCCAAAUCAUCAAUGCUUGUGUUUAGCCUGAGUCUUAAGGUUCUUGAAUAUUGAUAGUUGCCAAACCGCCCCCAUUCCUUUCCUAUGCAAAUCUUGUAUCUUUCCAACUUUUCCAACUUUUGAAAGAAGUCCUCGGGGGCAGCCUUGGCGUCCGGAAUUUGAACUUCUAAAGUGGACAAUUGAGACAGUGUGUUCAGUUCAGCAAGACUAGCAUUGGGUUGUCCCCAUUGAAUAGAAGUGCCACCCAUAUAUAAUUCUUCUAACUUUGACAAACUUGGCAAGACAUCAGCGGAAAUUGUUUUGAGUUUAGUACAACCACUUACAUCUAACAACUUUAGCUUCAACAAUUGUCCAAUUUCCUUGGGUACAAUUUUGAUAUCAGAUUGCAAAAGGCUAAGCACAUUUAAGUUCUUGAGCGCUCCAAUAAUGGUUAGGUUAUCUCCCAAAUUGCAUUGAUCUAGGCACAAUGUACUGAGGCUAGUUAGGAGACCAAUUGAUGAAGGUAAAGAAGAAAAAUGCAUGCGAGUCAAAUCUAAGACUUUAAGAUUUUUUGCUUCCUUGAAGAAGUUAUCCGGCAACGUCAAGGAGAGAUCCUUGCUGAACAAAAAGAAAAGAAAAAGCUGCGGACAAUUCAACUGGUCAGGAAGCCUGUUGAUACUGGGAUGCUGCAAAAUAAUCUUGUUGCACUCUUUCAUUGACUCUCCAUUUGGCCAAUCUGUUACAAUAUCCUCAUCCUCCUCUGUUAAAGUAAGCACUUGAUUGUCCUUUGACGCGAUUGAUUUGGCCACAAUAUAAGUAAGAUCAUGCACAUCAAAGUACUCCUCAUUGGAACUUUUGCUAUCAAGCAACAAACAAGAUUCUUUGAGGGUACUCAGCAUUUUUAACAGCCUAUCUCGUGCUGCUUUCAUGCUGUUGGCUCCUUUAAUUAGACCCAAACCAAGAGCAUAUCUCAACAAGUCUUCAAUCCUAACGACACGACGCAGUAAACUGCAAAGCAGGAAAAUCUGCUUGAGGUCUUCACUCGAUAAAUGAUUGAUACUCAACUCAAUAGCCGAAUGUACCUCAGCAGAUAUCUCAUUGGAGCUUUUUUCCAAGUAAGGCCUCUGUAGUUGUUGUAAAGCAUCCCUCCAAACAAAUAAACUUUUAUUUCGCAACGCCCUCGCAACUGUUGCAAGGGCGAGUGGUAAUCUUGCACAUUUCUUGGCUACCUUAAUUGCUGUAGAUCGCAGCUCCUCAUCACUUUCAAAACUGUCCCUGGCCAUCUUCUUAAAGAACUCCCAAGCUUCUUCGUCAUCUAAAUCAACAAUUGCAAAGGUCUUUGUAGCAUCCAUCCCAUUGCUUAGAACAUUUUGAUUUCUUGAGGUCAACAGUAUUUUGCAUCCUUUGUGUUGACUUCCAAAUGGAAUCCCGACUUCCUCUAGAUCCAGUUUCUUCCAAAGAUCAUCCAAAAUAAUAAGAACAUUUUUCUCCUUCCUUAACCUUCCAUACAAUUUACGGGCUCUUACAUCCGGACUGUUUUCUUCAAGCUUCAAACCCAAUGAGUAUGCUAUUUGGUCUUGGAUUUCCUUAAUGUCAGGAAUUUGAGAUACAGUUGCCCUAACUACUGAAUCGAAUAAUUUAACCUCAACCUCAUGGAGUUGUCUCUCAACUUCUUUGACCAGCCAUGUUUUGCCCACACCAGCCAUUCCGUACACUCCAAUCAUGCUUGUUGUUGCAUCUUUCAGUGACUCCAUGAUAUCAUUGAAAACCUCCUCUCUUGAUUUAAAGGCCUCAAAGUCUGUAUGGAUUAUGGGAUCAGCAACAUCAGGGUAUCCCACGCGCUCAAAUUGGCACUCUUUGAUAAGCUCAUCAAAAGUGGCAGCAUCUUUUUCUGCCUUCCUGCUAAGCUGGUAGCGAGACUUGAUGUUGGGACACAAGCCAAAGAAGCACUUGGUCUUCGCUUUGACUUCAAGAUCCUUCACUUUCUUCUCCUUUUCAGUGACAACCUUCUCCACUCGGUGGCGCCAAUCCAGGACAUCGGCUUUAAUCUUCUCCCCGUUCCUUUCUGCAACAUCAACAUCUUGCUGCACACUUGUUCUUUUUGCAAUCAACGUCCUAUGUUUCUGCUCGAACUUGUCAACAAAUUUCUGGUAGAAGAUUACAUAUCUAAUAUGACGUUUAACUUGGUGGAAGAUACCUUUCGCAGUCUCGGAAGAAACAUUGGCCGCAGCACCAGUACCAAUUGCUUCCAUUUUUUAUUUUUUAUUUUUUAUUUUUUUGCUUUGGGGUUACAGAUAACAGUUAGAGAGAGUAAAAAAGAGGCAAGAAAGAAAAUACUAAAACGAAAGGAUAUGGACUGUUGUCUUCCACUCUGUUAGAAAAGAAAACAGAGAAUGGAUGUGGACGAUUGCGGGUAUUUUCAUUGGCGUUAACUACUGAGGGUGAGUGACGUAGCACAUUAAUUCAAAGGGUUAAUAACCAAUUUAGCCCCUGAACUAUAACUAAAUAUUAAUUUGAUACAUUUAAAAUUUUUCUUAAUAAUUCUACAAAUUUCAAAGGGUAAACUGCUCGUAUAGUCACCCAAGGUUUGAUGUCUUCCUAUUUUGGUCACUGAUUUUUGUUUUGUUAAUUUAGUUACUUCCAUUAGAUUAAUUGUCAUUUUUAAUCACUCCAUUGCCUUGGUUAUUGAACAAAAUGCCAACAUGGUAGUCUUUUUAUUAGUAUAAUAAUAAAUUUAGCCAUUAACACUUUACACAUUCUAUCAAGUUGAUCCUAAUUCUAGAAAAAUUCAACAAUUUUAACACUCAAUGUUUGCAUAUUUUGUCAAUUUAGUCUAAAUUCAAAUAAAUAAAAAAUUUUAGAAUUUUAAGAACUUGAAAUAUAUAUAAUUUAUUAUAAAAAGACAUAAAAAUAUAAAAUAUUUAAAAUAUAUAUAAUUACAAAAAGGCUUAGUUGCUAUUUGGUCCUAAUUCUAAAAAGUCAACAAAUUUAAUCUUUAAUGUUUACACGUUUAGUCAAUUUAAUCCAAAUUCUAAAAAUUUAUAAAUAAAAUAUUCAAAAAUAUAAAACAUUCAAAAAAAAUUAAUCAAUCCUACAACCGAAAUAGGUAAAGUUUUCUUAGUUAUAAUUCAAAAUCAUUUUUAAAAAAAACCCACCAAAUGCUCCUACUUUUUAUAUAUGCAAUUAAAAAAAUUGCAAAAACAAAUGUGCAAUUUUUUUUUUCUUGUUAUUAGAUUUUCUUGGUCAACCAAAGAAAAGAGAUAAACUGUGUAAAACAACAUUGUCCCCUCAUCUUGUAAAACAACAUUGUCCCCUCAUCUCCUUUCCUGUUCAUCUUCAAGCUUCUCAUUGUUCUUAUACUCCUGCCCAAAUCUCACAAUCUCAAAUAUCAUACCAAAUUGAUACCCAACUUUAUUAGACCCAAACUACAUCACCACUUCAUCAUCAAGCACUCACCAUUAAACCCACACCCAAAGUCAAUUUCUUUUUUUUUUUUUUUUUACAGGCAUACCCAAACUCUGUUUUGCAUUUUCUUUCAAUGAGGAAAAAAUCGAUCAAUGAAGUAUCAUUUAGCCUUUAAGUAUUUGAAUCCCUCAAAGCCCUACACUUUGCCACCAAAAUGAAUCCAGAGAUGUUUCUUUAAGUAAAAGUUUUCUAAUUUGAGUCCCUCAACCAACUAUUUGAUCAUAGUACUAAUAGAAUUUGGUAAUGAUUGAUUCAAAAAAUAAAUUAAAAGGACUCGUUUAGCUCGAUGGGGUUUAAAGAAAAAAUAAAUAAAUAUUUAUUCAAAAAAUUCAAGAGAAAUUAAGGGUUAAGUUUUGUUGAAUCCCUAAAAUAUUUUUGUUAGAAUUCAAGAAAAAUUUAUUUGAAUCCCUCAAGCAAAUUCAUAUUUAAGCCUUUAUAUAAUUAUAUAUAUUUUUAGUAAUUUAUAUUUUAUUUCAUUUUAUAAUAAAGUUUAUAUUUUUUCAAUUUUUUAAAACUAUAUUUUUUUUAAUUUUGACUAAAUUGAAAAAAUAUGUAAAUAUUGAAGGUUAAAUUUGUUGAAUUUUUAGAAUUACGAACAAAUAGAUAGCAUGCGUAAAGUGUUAAGGGCUAAAUUUGUUUUUAUACCAACCAAAAGACGGUCACGUUAACAUUUUGUUUAGUGACCAAGGCAUUUUAAUGGUAGAGUAACAAAAAAUGACAAUUAAUCUAACGGGUUGACUAAAUUAACAAAAAAAAAUCAGUAACCAAAAUAGGAACUUGCUAAAACUUGGAUAACUAUCCAAGUAGUUCACCCUUUAAAUUUUUUAAAAUUAUUAUUAAGAAAAAAAUUUAAAAAUAUAUUUUAGUUAUAGUUGCUAAAUUGAUUAUCAACCCUUUAAAUUAAUGUGCUACAUUACCCUCUUAACAGAAGUUAACGGAUAAGCAACAAAAAUGUAACAUUUUGAUAACUUUCAUAGCAAUUAUGUAACUUUUGAAAAUUGAGUGACUGAAAUGUAAUUUUAAUUAAAGGUUAGGGACAAUUGGUGUAGUUUACCCUAUUUUAUACACUUUUGAACCCUAAAUAAUUUCUUCUUAAUAUUAUUUUAGUUUUAAUUAGUGUUGAUUAAUUAAAUAAAAUUAACAAUUAUCCUUAUGAAUUUUUUUUAUUUUCGUACUAUUAAAUAAUUUUAAAUAAAAAAUUUACUAACUCAAUGAUGAAGCACGUGUUUAAUAAUAUUAUAAUAUAAAUUCGUUAUCACUCUAUUUAUAUUUAUUAUUAAAAAAUUUAAAAAAAAUUUGUUUUUAACAUGUAAAUUUAUUUUUCAUCCACACAUUGUGGGUGAUUUAGGAAAAUUUGAGAAGAAGUAUAAUAUUUGUAUUAAGGAUGGUAUAAAUAUGUUUUGAAGUUUUAACCUUAUUUGUUUUCAGCUUCUUCUAUACCUAAUACCUUGUUCAAUAAUUCAGGAGGGUUGGCCACUUGGUCAUUAAUUGAGGAGGUUGGCCGUGUGGUUCUCAUGAAAUAUUACGUGACGGUUAAACAUUUGUAUCAUGAUAAUUUAGAUCAUAUUGUUUCAAUUUACACUGGUACACAAUAGUUUAUGUUUUAUUUGGGUCAAAAUUUUAAUAUGUUUUAUUUUAUUUUGAUUAAUAUUGAUUUGUUUCGAUAUAUUUGAUUUAAAUUAUAGAGUAAAAAUUUGAAAGUUAAAAUAUACUUGAACUCUUUAUACACUUCGUACUUUUAGAAUUUAACCUCCCUACUUUUAUUUUUAGGAAUUCUGUUUAUCUAUUUUUUAAAUUUAAAAAUGUAGAUCUAGUUGCUACCACCAUUAAAAUUCUUCUAUUAAAUUAUACGAUGACAUAUAGAAAUUAAAAGAAUUCACUUGGUAGCCAUGUAACAAUAAAAAUAAUGUCAUAAAUACUGAUUAGGAUUUUUUUUUAAAAACGUGCAUUCAAAUUCAUCAUGUUAAAAUAUUUUUUUCAGCUUGAAUAGUGUUUUUAACAAAAAUUGACAUAAACGUUUCGAUUGACAUAGUUAACAAUAUUAACUAUUCAGACUAAUAACAUGAUAACAUAAAGAGGCCAAAUCAUGUUAAAAACUAAAGUGUAUAUGUGACAGCCAAUAUCUAACCCGAUCGUAGGGCCCAAAUGUAUGGCAUCACAUUCAUUGCCAAAGCAACUUGAAUUAACUUCUCUUUAAAAAAUAACACAAGUAUCAAGCAUUUAUCACAUUAUACAAACCAUUCAUAUUAAUUAAAAACGAGUUCAAGUCAUUUUAAACACUUUAGAAGCAUUUUUAAUUGAGUUCUAGGUGUUCGGGGAUGAUAAGGACCAAGAUCGGGACUCCAACGGUUAAAACAAGUCAAAAUAGGGGAGGGAGCCUAUUUUUCCACACUUGUAUCAAUAGAAGUUUGGACUUAGAAGUCCCUGUUACUAUUCUUUUUUGGCUAUUAACUUACUUUUCCGAUCCAUCUAACCACUUGCACUAGUAGAAGUUUGCUAGGACCUAAAAAUGACCCCAAAACACACUUAGUUGGACUCAAAACAAUACCAUUUCAAUUCGAAGUAUUAUGGAACACCAAAUUCAUGUUUUAAACCUCAUAUUUGCCUAUUUAAACACAUUCAAACACAUGGUUAUUAUCAUGAAUUGAUGCAUCAUGAACUAACUAAAAAUUUGAUUAAGGCAAGUGCAUCUAUCAAUUAAUAGUAUAGCUACGGUGAGCACAGAUAUCAUUCCCACGAAGACUCUAAUCCGGUAGAUUUAUAUCAUCCUAUUUCUAAUAUUGCAUGCAACUCCACUCAGCUACGCAAGAUCUACUCUUAAAUAGAGUCUAUUCCUCUGAUUUAAGCACAUCAAACAUGGAUCAAUAAUCUAGAAAUAUCAAACCAAGAAUUAAACAUACAUAAUUGAGAACUAGAUCUAAGUAUUUAUUGUGUAGAAUAAAAAUCAAAAGACAAAAUUCAUCAUAGGGUUUAUCUCCCCUAAGUAUUUAGAAAAUUAGUUCAUGCUUGAAAAUAAAAACAUCUCAGAGACAGUAUAACCGAAAAAAAAACAAAGAAACUCAUGAUAAUCUCCGAAGAAAUCAAAUGUUAAUCUUCAAUAUUGAUGGAGAUUUGCUUCAGAAUUGGCUUCAACGGUGUUUUUCGAGUUGUUUUCUUGAAUAUUCUAUGACGGCUCUCUCCUAUCCUUUUAUUUUUGUCAUAUAUAUGUCUUAGAAUGCCUAAAAAACCUAAAAAUCGUGUUUUUUCACUGUUCAGAGUGUAAAUUCGCGCAAUCAACAUGGUCUACCACAUGGUCGUGUGGCAACUCCUGUGGGUCACACGACCAUGUAGAAGGGGUCAGUCUGUAUGGCUCAUGUAGCUUGCUCCUAUUUUCCGGUUUUCACUUAUUUUGCUCCCAAGUGCUUUAUUAAAUAUCAAAACAUGAAUUUAAAGGAUUAGGAGUAUAAAAUUCACAAUUAACAUUGAAUAAUCACCUAAAAACGCAUUAAUAAUGAAGAAAAAUAUGUUACUUAUAGCACUUAUCAAUAAUCACAAUAUUUCCAAUUUCAAAUAUCAAUUUCACAUAUAAGGCAUGAAUGCAACCAAUUAAACAUAGCAAAAUCAUUAACUUAAGAUAAUGCAUCUCAACAUAAUCACAUAAUCUUAUCAUCAAAUGCUUAUAUGCCUAUAGAACAUGCUUACAUUACAAAUUUGAAGCAAAGAAGAUACCAAGGCACCACAAUUGACUCCAAAAACAAGUUUAGGUAGUAGGUACAUGCCAUCUUUACCAUAACAUUAAAAGCAAAUAAAUCCGCAUGUUUAGCAAAAAAAAUUCAAUGAUACUAACAUAAUUUGAAAGCAAUGUAUAAACAAUUCAAGUAUAUAAUUUAAUCAUUAAAAACAUUUGUAACAUACUCCUAUCGUUAGUUGUUUGUCUCAUGACCAUUUCAUUUACCGCAUGAUUCCCCAUUCAAUUUAGGUUCUAAAUGCCAACCUAUCAUUUUGCCUUCAAGACUUUAUAUUUUGAUAUUUAAUAUCUAUACUUAAAUUAAAAUUAUAUUAUCAAUGACAAUCCAAUAUCUUUUAUAACCAUAUGACAUUUUUAUAUCACUAUUUAUAUCUCAAUUUCAUGAUACAUAAGGCAUUUCACAUAUGCAUUCUUGUUUCAUUUCUCAAUCGAAUAUGUUGAUUUGUUACAUAACAUCAUUGGUCCUCAAGGCUCAUAAUACUAAAUCCGCAUAAGGUUUCAUCUGCUAUCAUUUAUCACAUAUACAUUUAAAUUCAAUUUAUUGAUUUAAUAUGAAUUAGGUAUUGACUAAUAUCGCUUUAACAUAUACAAUAACACAUUCUACAAAUUAUAACCCCUAUUAACCGAACAUGGACUUCUAGACCGAAUACAUGGAUUGUAUUACCUUUCAUUAUUGGUACAUGAUCGAAGUAAUCUAUAUCAUCAGUACAUAACCUAUUUAGGGUGGCACCAAUUUAGUAAAAAAAAAAACAUAAUAAAUAGUAUAGAUAUAUAUACUAGUUUUUAUCUCGUGCAUUGUGUGUUUAAUUUAAAAUAUAUUUAAUAAAUUUUAAAUUUUCCUAAAUCAAUUUUAAAUUUUUACCUAAAUGAAGUUUUAAAUUAAAUGUUUAUUUAAAUAUAGUACCAUAGAAAAUAUAUUUAAUAUACAUACAUGUUUAAUUAACAAAUUGUAACAUGUUUUUAACAUAUUUUAAGCAGUUUUAAAGUAUUUAUGUAAAUUUUUAUAAAUUUUGAACAAAGAAAUAAAAUUUGUUCGGGAUAAACCUAGUUAAGCAACGAACAAGUAAAAUAACGAAGAAAUUGAAAAUAUCGAACACAAAUAUUUUACAUGGAAAAACCCCUCCAAAGAGGAUAAAAAACCACGGGAAAAGAUAAUUUCACUAAAACGGAAAAACAAAUAAUAUAAAGAUGGAGAUAAAACUAAAACCCAAACUCAAAAUAAGAACCCUCAAAACAUAAAUACAAGAUUCUCUGAAAGCUUGUAAAAGCUAAUACCUUAAUGUGUAAUGAGUUAUUUUUCUAGGGUAGAAAAAGAGUCUAUUUAUAGGAUAAAUUUGUAGUUCAAAUAAUAUUAAAAUAAUCUACAUUAAUCAAAGCUUAAGUGGGAAACUAAAAAAUAGAGUCUAACUGGGAGAAGAGAAGCCGAAAAAUAUGAGGUAUAACUUUACAAAUCUCCACCUUGACUCAUAUUUCCACAACGCCUUCAUUGCCAAAACCCGUCAUGGGCUUAUCUCGAACUAUGCAAGAUAUUAACUGAGUAGAAGUUGUGCUUAGAUGCUGGAAGACUUCUAGUCUUCGACUUGUGCACUGCCAAAUCAAAAUAGACCCGAGUCUGAUUUCAACAAACAUAGUGCCCUAUCUUCUCAAAACAUGCAUCCAAAAGAGAACCUCUUUUAUAUGAAACAGUCAUACAUUUUUCCCUCUAAUGACCAAGUUGUCUCCGCUUCAAAUGAGUCGACUUCGACUCCUUAACAGACGAGGGACAUCUUGUUCCACCAGUCACCGUUGAUCUUUCUAGAACAUAAAGACUAUCAAUCUUUUUACCUUUAAUUAAAACGAUAGCCCCACGAGAUACAUUAAUGUUGUUUGACUCAAUCUUAAUUCUACAACACUUUGAGCCCAAAAUUCCCAAGGAGAUGAGAUUUUUAUUUAAUUAAAACACAUGCCUAACAUUUGACAGUGUCUUAAUUGUCCCGUUGUGCAUCCUGAUCUGAACAGUACCAAUAUCGGUUACCUUACUAGAUGAACCAUUCCCUAUGCACACAACUCCACAUUCAACUAAACUGUAUGCGGAAAACCAAUCAAUGUUGGGACACAUGUGGAAAGAACACCUUAAAUCCAAGAUCCACUCGAACGUAAGCUCGGAGCUUUCACUUGUUGAUACCAACAAGAAAUCAUCACCCUUGUCAUUAGCCAAAUUAGCACCAGCUAAAUUUUCCUUAUUGCUCUCAGUAGCCCUUUUAUUUCGCAUUUUGUAACAAUCUACCUUGAUGUGACCUAACUUCUUACAAUAGUGACAUCUCUUACUCGCUUCCUUGAUGCUACCAAAACCUAGGCUUGCCUAUUUGACUUGCUAUCUAAACCAAAAUCAUUUUCAAGAUUUCCUUUGCUCAACAGAUGACCCUUCACAUCCUUGAAUGAGAGAUUAUCUUUGUUAUAAAUUAGGGUAUCCCUAAAAGACUUCUAUGAUGGGGAUAAAGAGCACAAUAAUAGUGUAGUCUAAUCUUCAUUGUCAAUCUGAACCUCGAAAUUUUUUAAAUCAUUCAAAUGAGUAAUAAAUUAACUAAUGUGACCUCUAAGUUGCUCACUUUCGUCCAUGCGGAAUGUGUAUAGACGUUGUUUCAACACUAAUAUGUUAGUCAAAGAUUUUUUCACAUAGAGGGCUUCUAACCUUUUCCAUAAGGUGAAUGUCAUUUUCUCCAUCAAAACCUCUUGCAACACAUUAUUUGUUAGACAUAAUUGAAUCAUCGAUAGAAUUUUUUUAUCUAACCUAUUUCAUUCUGAUUUAUCUAAGUCUGCAGGCUUUUUCUCUGUAAGGAACUUCUUAAGAUCGCUCUGAGUUAGAAUCAUCGUCAUCCAAACUUGCCACAGAUUAAAAUUUGUGAUGCCAUCGAACUUAUCAAUAUUAAACCUUAUUACUACCAUCUUUAAAUGGGUUGAAUGUAGAAAUUGAACUAACUCUGAUACCAUUUUGUUAGAGAUAAACUCGGUUAAGCAACAAACAAGUAAAAUAACAAAGAAAUUGAAAAGAUCAAACACAAAUAUUUUACAUGGAAAAACCCCUUUGAAGAGGAUAAAAAACCACGGGUAUAGAUAAUUUCACUAAAACGGAAAAAAUAAAUAGUAUAAAAGAUGAAGAUAAAACUAAACCCCCAAAAUCUAAAGUAAGAACCCUCAAAACAUAAACACAAAAAGCUUGUAAAAAUUAAUACCUAAAUGUGUAAUGAGUUAUUUUUCUAGUGUAGAAAAAGAGCAUAUUUAUAGGUUAAAUUUGUAGGUCAAAUAAUAUUAAAAUAACCUACACUGAUCAGAGUUUAAGUGGAAAACUAAAAAACAGAGUUUAACUAGGAAAAGAAAAGCUAAAAAAUACGAGACACAACUCUACAAAAUUGUUUUAAAAUAUGUUUGUUAAACCAUUUUUAAAAAAAUUAUUUUUUAAACAAAUUGUUAUGUUAAUACUUUUUAAUAUAAUUUAACUAAAAUUUUAAACAUAUUGAUUUAAAAAUCUUAUACACGAUAUGAUUAUAUGUCCAGAAUCUGUAAUAUUAGUUAAAAGUAAUGUGUAUCUUUUGAAAACAAACAUCAAAUAAUUUAUAAAUUGACGACAUUAAUUUGGCUGAAAAAGGAUAUAUUCUACCAAAACGAUAGCAAUAUUUUAUUUUUUUUAGUUAAAAAGAUAUUUUAAUUAAACAUUAAAAUUAAUUGUUAUUUAAAAUUACUGUUUUUUUUUUUUGUCAAAAUGGUAUAUUUUACCUUAAUGUUUGUUACUUUUUUCCCAAGUUAAAUAAUACUAUAGAUUUACCAAUAAUUUAUUAUAUCAUUCAUCAUAUAUUACUAUUUUAUAAUUAUUUAUAUUUUAUUUAAAGUUUACUAUAUAUUAUGAAUAUAUUAUAAAUAUGAAAUUAUUCAUCAUUCAACUAUUUGAGAGAUUUUGUAACACCCAAAAUCUUGAUGGCAUAAAUGACAUUAUUAUGAGAAUAUAAAUAGUUAAAUUUUCAAACAAAGGGUAAUAAUUUAAGUAGAGUAAAAUUGGACACUAGAAUGAAGAGUAUAAAUAGAAGUUUUUGAGAAAGGAUUCAAUUGAAUAUUUGCAAAAGUGUGAGGAAUAAAAUGUGAAUAGCUUAUAAAAAAAUGGUAGAAAAGUAAUUAACUAUUUUAUGUGAAAACGAAAUUGAAAAUAUAUUGAUAUUUAGAAUUAAAAACCAAACCUGUCCAUGGACCGAGCCAUUCGAAAUGUGGGAGGGUUUGGGUAAAAACAUAGGCUUAAAAAAUGGGUUUCGGCAAAAAAAUAAUGCCUGUUUAAAAAAUAGGCCGAGCCUUGAAUAAGGUUUUUUUUACCCAAGCUCGGCCCGAAUGUGCAAAAAAACUACUAUUUUUAUUGUUUUAUUGCUAUUUUUUAUUUUUUUUGAUGUUUUCUUGUUGUUGUUUUUCAUUAUUUUGCUAUCAUUGCACAAUUAUGUUGUUACUAUUUGGAUAUUGUAUAACUCUUGUUUUAUUAUUAAUUUUGUUGCUAUGUUAGAGACAUUUGCUUGUUAAGUUACACCUAUUUUAGUGUUAUUUAAGUAUACAUAUUUUUUUAAUUUAUUUUUAAUUUGUUGGGAAAUUUUUAUUUUAAUAUUUUUAGUAUUUUUUAUAUAUUAUAUAUAUUUUAAAAUAAUAUAAAAAUAAUAUAAAAAAUUUAAUACUAAUGGUCACUAAACUAACUAUAAAUACGAAAGGCAAGCGCACCUAUCGAAUAAUAGUAUAGCUAUGAUGAGUAGGGAAUAUCGUAUCCACGAGGACUAAAAGUACUAGUAAUUACCAUCUUCUUGUUAUCUAGCCUACAAAUUGUGGUGAUGUAUUUUAAUCUAAAAUUACUAAACUAAUUUAUCUAAUAACGCAAUAGAGAAUGAAAAAAGAAAAUAGUCAAAGAUAACCAAUGAGAUAGACAAUGCCCAGGAAAGAAUCCACCUAGACUUCACCUAUUAUUAUGAAUUUGAAUUAAACGAUUUAUUCACUUGUGACUUGAUCCGUAGAAAUCCCUAAAUUAUGUCAAUAUUCUUUCGAGAGUAAAAACAACUGACUCUAGGUUGAUUAAUUGAAAUCUCUUUCUAAUUAAAACCCCUAUUGUCGCAUUAACUCGAUCUAUAGAUUCUCUUAUUAGAUUUAACUCUAAUCCGGUAGAUUUAUGUCGUCCUAUUUCUAGGAUUGCAUGCAACUCCACUCAAUUAUGCUAGAUCUACUCUUAAACAGAGACUUUUGCUCCACUGAAAUAAGCACAUUAAACAUGAAUUAAUAUCUCAGAAAUAUUAAAACAAGAAAUAAGCAUACAUAAUUGAGAACAAGAAUCAAGUAUUUAUCGUGUAAAAACAUAUAUUAAAUAAAAGGAUUCAUCAUAGGUUUCAUCCUCCCAAGGUAUUUAGAGAAUUUAGUUCAUAAUCCUGAAUGAAAACAUCUCAAAGUCAGAAUAACCACAAGACAUAAGAAACUCAAUAAAACUUCGAAAGAAAUUAAAAGGAGAUCUUCGACCUUGAUGGAGAUCCGCUUAUGAGUUGAUUUCGAUGGUGUUCUUGGAGUGCUUUCUUCGAUCUUCUUUGAUUGCCCCCUUAUGUCGUCUUCUAAUUGGUAUUUAUAAACUUUAGAAUGCUUAGAAAGCCUAAAAAUUAGGUUUUUUAGCGUAUUUGGGAAGUAGGGUGCAAAAUCGACACAGGCAGGCACAUGGGCGUGUGGCCAGCCCGUGUGGCUCACAUGGGCGUGUGCCCAGGCCGUGUGGAAAUGCCCAGGCCGUGUGGAUCAUGAAAAUAACUCUUCUUGUCUGAUUUUGGCUCGUUUUCGCUCAUUCCGCUCCCAAAUGCUUUCCUAAGUAUAGAAACAUGAAUUUAAAGGAUUAGGAGCAUCAAAUUCACUAAUUUGCAUAAUUAAUUAUCCAAAAACGCAUUAAAAUGAGAUUAAAAUAUGUUACUUUUAUAGCUUAUCAAAUACGAGCGGGUCGAGCUCAGGUUUUAGCAUUUUUAUCCGGGCCAGGCUUGGAUAAAAUUUUAGGCCCAUUUUUCGGGUAAUGCUCGAGCCUAGAAACUGGGCCAAAAAUUUUGGUUGGGCCUAACCUAGCCUAUAGACACCUUUAUUAAAAACUAGACAUGUUCAUGGGUCGGGCCACCCGGCCUGAAGGCCCGCCCAAAAAGUGGGAGGGUUUGGGCAAAAAUAUAGGCCAGAAAAAAUAAAUUUUGGCAAAAAAAUAAGGCCCGUUUAAAAAAUGGGUCGAGCCUUGGGUAAGGCAUUUUUGGCCUGGGCCUGGCCCGAAUCCAGAAAAGGACAAAAAAUAUGCUAUUUUUUUGUUCUAUUAAUGUUCUUUUCUUAUUUUUUUCUCCCUAUUUUGCUACCAUUUUACUGUUAUAUUGUUAUUGUUUGAAUAUUGUAUAACACUUGUUUUAUUGUUAAUUUUGUUAAUUUAUGUAUGAUAUAUAUUUUAAAACUAUAUAAAAAUUUAAUACGGGCGGGCCGGGCCGGGCCGGGCACAGGUUUUAGCAUUUUUAUUUGGGCCAAGCUUGGGUAAAAUUUUAGACCCAUUUUUUGGGUCGAGCCCUAGCCUAGCAAAUGGGCCAAAUAUUUUGGUUGGGCCUGAAUCUAGCUCGACCCAGCCCAUGAACACCUUUAUUAAAAACUUAAGAUAUUAAUUAAAUUUUAAUUGAAAAAAAGUUAAAGGAACUUAAGUAUAAUUUGCCAUUAAGUGGAAAAAUGACUUAACUGUAAUUAGAUUAAAGUUUUAAAAAUUAAAUCAUAACCAUUAAUGAUUUAAUAACUAAGGGUCUGUUUGAUUGCCAGUAAAAUGUUUUCCGUAAAAUGAAUUCUGGAAAAUGUUUUACUUUUCUGUAAAAUGAUUUACUGGAAAAUAUUUUCUGGUGUUUGAUUGAAUCUGUGUAAAAUAUUUUCUACUGUUUGACAGAUUUUCUGAAAAUAUUUUUCGGAAAAGUUGUUUUUACAUAUAUUAAUAUAUAUUAAUAAAUUUUUAUAUUUUAAAUUAUUUUUACAUAUAUUGUAAUGAUUUAUUUAUAAUAAUACUCAAUUAUUAAGCUACAAUAUUAAUCGUUAUAAAUUGAAAAAAACUAAUAUCAAAUAAAUUAUUUGUAAUUGUGUUAAAAAAAACAAGUAUUGAAUAAUUAAAAAAACAAGUUACUGGAAAAUCGAUAAACAGAAGCAGUUUUCUACCGGAAAUGAAGGAAGGAAUGAAGGAGGCGAUAGAGAGGAGAGCACGGAAAAUGUCUUACAGAAAUUGAAAGGGUAAGACAUUUUCCCUAAAAUGUAACCCAUUUUCCCUUGUUUUGGAGUUCAUUUUCCAAAUGGAAAAUGUUUUCCGCCAAUCAAACGCUGGAAAAGUUGGAAAUGAUUUUCCGGAAAAUCAAUUCCGUCAAUCAAACAGACCCUAAGUAAAAAAAAUGGAUAAAUAAAGAAAUACGAAGAAAAGCCGAGAAAAUUGGGAAAUUCAUCAAAAAAAAGGUAACUCCAAAAUGAAUAGAAGUAAUUGAUUAAAAUAUCUUUCUAUUAUUUCAUUAGAAUAUAUUUAAAGAUAUAAGUGAACGACUAAUUAAUUUUUUUUAAGAAUGAUUGAUCAAUUAAUUUUAUCUUAUUAAAAUAUAUUUAAGUAAGGUUAGUUUGUGAUCUGAAAAGAUCAUUGUAAAGUAAAAAUUUACACUUUUUUAGUUUUUAUUUUUGUCAGCGGUGGUGUUAGCCUCCGGGCUAGCUACUGUCUGCCUUUUUUUCUUACCCAUCAACUCCUUUUUUCUUUGUUCUUCUCAUUCACUCCAUGUGUCUUCUCUAUUUUCAAUUUGCAGAUCUAUUUUGUGGGUAUCUUUGUUGUCUUCACAAGUUGUGAUUGACAGAUUAUGUUGCCCAUCAUCGUUGAAACAACACCGACCACCGAAAAUUUCUUUUAGAAAGUAGGUAGCUCUUCGUUGAAUAUUAAUUUGUUUCUGUUUUGAAAGUUUCUGAAUAAUAAAUUAUCUCAUGAGUCAGUUUAGACUUGUGUUGUUUUAAGUUUUAUAUGUUUUUUUGUUUGCUUUUCCAUUGUUUAAUAAGUCUUCACUUUUAGAAGUUUUUGUCUACUCUUGUAGUACAUUUUUUAGUCUUACUUAUGCAUGUAGUCUUGAUUUUGCAAGUAAUUUUAGGGUUGGUUUUGUCGUCAUCCCCUCUAGUUUGGUGGAUGUUCGGUUCUUUUGUCGAUUUAUGCCCGCCAUUUUGGACCAUCCGGGGUUGAUUUCCUUAUUGUAUUAAGUGCUUGCAAUCACUCCUGGUAUGUUGUGCUUGAGUUGAGAUAGAGCCAAUUGUCAAAGUGCCAUAAUGUUCUAUUGAUGCUGAAGCUGAAGCUUUUGUUGUGUUGAUGGAGCUUGUCCUUCAGUGCGUACAACGGGUGUUUGUUAUUUUUUCCCCUAAAUUGCAUGGUCUCAUUCAUUGAAUGAAUUAAUGAAUUUCUCUUUCAAAAAAACAAGUAAAGUUAGUAUGCUAAAGAAAAACAAGUAGUACAACAAGAAUAAGGAAUCAAAUAUUUAAAAAAAUUGAACAAAAAAAAACAUGAAAGAAAACAAUGAUACAAGAAAACAAAAUGGGAUAUUACCUUUCAAUGGAAAGCAUUGGAAAGGGAAUCUAUGAGUUGUUUUUUUCUAUCUUAAGAGAAUAAUGUCAAUGCCACUAGUGAUUAUAAGAUUUGGCCUUUGUCCUCUUAAAUCAUUUUCUCAACCCUUCACAAUAUUUAUUCUCAAUUAAAUACAAGUAUGACUCACUAAUUCAAUUGUAACAAAAGUAGUAAUUGAGGAAAAAAAACUUAUCCAUUCAAAAGUAGUAAUUGAGGAAAAAAAACUUAUCCAUUUGCUCAUGAGAAUAUCAUACAUAUAUACUAGUUAUAAAAGUUUAAUAUAAACUCUAACACUACUCAUCUAAUUAUAUUCACAACAUUAAUAGAAAGGAAUUAUGCUUAUUUCUACUCAGAAGAUUUUUGGAAUCUCACCUUACGACUCUUAACAAGCAGCUUCUGAUGUCAAAGUAGGGAACGUCCUUUCUUCAUUAUCCACUUCAAAGACAAGGGUUCAAAUAUGUAGAGGUGCAUACGAUGGUGGAAAAACAAUAACUGACCUAUAGAAUACCCAAAGAAAACAAAUCUUGAUUACCAUUUUUGAAAAAGAUGAAUCAAAUUUCAUUACGGAACUUCAUCUUCGCAUUAUUUUUGACACCAUUAACAACAAAUACCAACUCAAAAAAGGAAAAAAAGUUAAAUAUUGAUUUAUUUACCUUAAGAAAUUUUUUCUAUUGAUUAUCAUUCACCAACGGAUCUCCCAUCUACAAACACCACAAAUAACUCAAUUAGAAAUAAUUUAAUCUUCCCUAUCAACCACCCCUAACUUCUUUUUCAACUCCCCUUCUUUUCACACUUCCCCUAUGUAGCAGAAAAAACCUUAUAAUUUGAUCUCCAAAUAAUAAAAUUUUUAGUACUUUGGUUUCAUACUUCCUCUAUGUAGCAUUCGAUUUCUCAAAGGGAAUGUUUAAUUCUUUCAUUAUUGAAGAUAAUCAAGUUGUGGUAGGUCUUUGGCUAAUGAGGUUGGAAAUACAUUUUUCAAAUUUCGACAGUCCAAAACAGAUAAUGCAUAGAAAAAUUCCUUUGGGGUCAUUUUUUUCAAAUAUAUUUCAACUUUAGUAAUCCUCCAAUAUGCAAUUCUCUUAGUUGAGCGGUUACAAGUAAAGUGGUUUCUUUUUCUUCAUGCAUGAUUUCAAACACUUGUUGUAAGGAACAACAAGUGUUUAAGGUUAGACGGUGCAGCCUUUGAAAUGUUGUGAGCAUAUUAGAUGAAAAAAUGGUUAACAACUUAUCACAUCCUUCAACUCUCAAUUGUUGUGGUUUGGGAAAUGCAACCUGCACUUAUGCCAAUAUAAUGAAAUUAGAAGCUAGUUGUUUGUUUCAAUUUCAGUAAGCAUCGUCACUUGUCAAAUCCACAAAAAAAGGGGAUCGGGGGUAUAUAUACAGCGAAGAUGGGGAAUUCCAGAUGGUUUUUCUUUCUACUCGAUGUUUUGGUCCUUCUAACCUAAACAUUCUUUUCUUCUUCUUUGUUAAGAUAGAACUAAGAUCUCAUUUAAUCAAUGGAUGAUUCAACCUUUUGGUAAGUCUUAUAGCUCUGUAUGUUACGAUUGUUAAAAAUUAAUGAUGUUAAAAUGUGUAAAAACGUAGGGUGUGAAUGGAAGGCCUCGCAUGGGGGUCACAUGUAGUUGAAAUAUUAGUAAACUAUUUGUAAAUGGGGAUUCUAUUGGAAAUUUUGUGAUCUUUUAAGAAGUUAUUGUUGCUGGAUUGGGAAGGAUAAUUAAAAUAGAAGCUUCAAGUUGAGAUCAAGGUAGAUCUCUGGUGAGCCUUUAGACCCGACUCCUGCGCAUCAUUUUAUGAUGAUUCUUUGUAUGGUUGAUGUCCAUAAAGUUGUGUAUAUCUUCUUGAUGAAUUGUUGUUGUUGUUGUUGUUGUUGUUGUUGUUGUUGUUGUUGUUGUUGUUUUUGUUGUUGUUGUUGUUGUUGUGUGUGUGAAGCAUCUGUAUGUAUGUACUGAAGUUUACAAUGUGCUACAUGAAUAUACUGAUGUGUGGUAAGCAUGCAUGAGAAGUAUGAUUCUGUUACGGGUAUAAGUGAAAUCUAUAUAAAUGUGUUUAUUAUGUUAGUUGAGUGACGCGUGACAAAGUAUGGUUGGUGAUAAGGGGGUUCAGGAGGAGUGUCAGGAAAAAUAUGUGAUGUGAUAAUAGACCCCAUAGUGGUUCUUUGAUGACUCUGCUAGGACAGUAAACACGAGAAAAGGCCAAUAUAGCAGAUAUGUGGAAAGACCAUGGCCAUGACGUAUUCUGGAAAUGACGGAUGAGUCGUAUUUGUCUACUAGGGUUUCUGCGUGUCUCGGGGGUAAUGAUGGGCAAACCUCAAAUGAUAUUGAGUUUAGGAAAAUCCAUAUCGCCAAACACAACAAUUUGUGUGGUGCCUUGGUGGCAAACUAAAUAAAGCCUUAGUGGCAAAUUUUUCUAGGAAGCCUUUAUGGCGAGUUACCUGAAAAUCUGGCAUAUUAUUUGGAAAGCCUUUAUGGCGAGUUACCUGAAAAUCCUAUAUGGCGUAUUAUUUGAAAAUCCUUAGUGGCGAAUUUAUCUGGAAAGCAUUUGUGGCAAGUUACCUGAAAAGCCUAUGUGGUGUAUUAUUUGGGAAGCCUUAGUGGUGAAUUUAUCUAGAAAGCCUUUGUGGCAAGUUACCUAAAAAGCCUAUGUGGUGUAUUAUUUAGGAAGCCUUAAUGGCGAAUUUAUCUGGCAAACCUUUGUGGAGAGUUACCUAAAAAGCCAAUGUGGCGUAUUAUUUGGGAAGCCUUAGUGGCUAAGUUAUCUGGAAAGCUUUGGUAGUAAGUCGUCUGGAAAGCCUGUAUAGUGAAAUUUGUAAUGUUUAAGUGGCGAGUUGUUAGUCUGCCUUUAUGGCGAGUUGUUAGUCCGCUUUUGUAGCGAGAUCUAGGUAUGUUUUUGAGGCAUUUUCUGAAAGAGUUCUCGGUAGUGUACUCGACUGAUAAAUCUGUCAUAUUAACCCGUCAGGACAGAGAGCUUUGCAUAUUUGUAAUUCUGGGUAAUGUAAGUGUCCGCCAAACCUGAGAAUCCUCACGUUAUGUGUCGAAGUCAUCUUGAAUUCUAUUGGAUGAUCUAAAACAUUGUAUUCAUCUGAAUAAGUUUGUUGUCUGGAUCGACUCAAAAAUACGAUGUGACUGGAACUCUGUCAAUCGUCAAAGCUAGUAUUAGAAUCCGCCCAAAGUAGUAUUUGCAUGUAUACCAUUCCAAGAAUUGUAUCUAACUUCUAUCUAAAAAAGUGAUUGUGAAAUAAGAUCUGCAUUAUGGUGUGAAGUUUGUGAUCUGCACAUCAAGCGGAAUGUGUAUAAGGUGGUUAAGUGUAGAAAUGGGCAUAUAUCUGCUAGGAAUCAGAAAAGCAUCCAUCAAAGUCUGAAAGGAAGUCUAGAAUCUUCAAGUAGAGGAAUCCAACAACAACGUUAAAGGUAAUAUUGGUUGAGACUCACUAAGUUUCGUUGGACUUACAAGCGUCUUUUUGUAACGCAAGUUCUUGGAAUUUAACCAGUGUGUCUGGAGGGACCAAGCCAAGAAUGCGCCAGGAUGGUAGUUCGAAGAUCGAUAUUAUGCAUACAGAGGGGCACUCUUGGGAACGUGACAAAUAGUACUCUACGCCAUGAAUAAAUUUGUUUUACCAAUGAUUUAAGUUGUAAUGCCUUAUACUACUUUUAAAAGUUUGUUGUAAUUAAAAAACGUUUCCUCCAAAACUUUUCUAACUUAAAAAAGAAAAUAAAUAAAUAAGAAGUAUGUUCGGUAUGAUUUUCUUUCCAGUUGUAAACUUUUUGUUAAGUAUUUAAGUAUUGUGACAUUCUAUAUCUGGGUCCGACAAAUUGGGCUGGGUAUAGAGUGUUACAAUUCAAUUUAAAUUCUGAAUGCUAACCUAUCAUUUUGCCUUCAAGACUUUAUAUUUUGAUAUUUAAAAUCUAUACUUAAAUUAAAAUAUUAUUAUCAAUAUCAACUCAAUAUCUUUUAUAACCAUAAGACAUUCUCAUAUCACUAUUUAUAUUUCAAUUUCAUGAUACAUAAGGCAUUUCGCAUAUGCAUUCUUGUUUCAUUUCUCAAUCGAAUCUAUUGAUUUGUUACAUAACAUUGGCGGUCCUCAAGGCUCAUAAUACUAAUUCCGCAUGAUCUUUCACAUGCUAUCAUUUAUCACAUAUAAACUUACAUUCAAUUUAUCAAUUUAAUAUGAAUUAUUCAUUGCCUAAUAUCACUUUAACAUAUAAAAUAACAUAUUAUACAAAUUAUAACCCCUAUUAAUCAAAUAUGGACUUCUAGACCGGAUAGACGAUUUGUAUUACCUUUGAUCAUCAAUACAAGACUGAAGUAAUCUAUAUCAUCGGAACAUAACCGGUUGAGGGUGACACCAACUUAGUAAAGCACUUAAUAAAUAGUAUAGAUAUAUAUACUAGUUUUUUUCUUUAUCUCAUGCAUUGUUUGUUUAAUUUAAAAUAUAUUUAAUAAUUCUAAAAUUUUUUAAAUGAAGUUUUAAAAAUUCGUAAAAUAAAUUUCAAAUUUUUACCUAAAUGAAGUUUUAAAUUAAAUGUUUAUUUAAAUAUAGUACAAUAGAAAAUAUAUUUAAUAUAUACAUGUUUAAUUAAUAAAUUGUAACUUGUUUUUAAUCUAUUUUAAGCAGUUUUAAAGUAUUUAUGUAAAGUUUUAUAAAAAUUACAAAAAUAAAAUAAAAUAAAAUUGUUUUAAAAUAUGCUUGUUAAGCCAUUUUAAAAUUUUUAAUUUUUUUAAAAAUAUAUAUUUAAAAAAUUGUUAUGUUAUUACUUUUUAAUAAAAAUUAAUAUUAAAUUUUUAAACAUAUUUAUUUAAAAAUCUUAUAUACGGUAUGAUUAUAUGUCUAGGAUCUGUAAUAUUGAUUAAAAAGUAAUGUAUAUAUUUUGAAAACAAAGAUCAAAUAAUUUAUAAAUUGACGGUAUUAAUUUAGAUGAAAAAGGGCAUAUUCUAUCAAAAUGAUCCCAAUGUUUUACUUUCCUUUUUUUAGUUAAUAUUUUAAUUCAACAUUAUAAUUAAUUGUUAUUUAAAACUACUGUUUUGUUUUUUGUCAAAAUGGUAUAUUUUACCUUUGAUAUAAAAUUAUUUGGCAAAAUGGUAGGAACAUUUUUAUAUUUACAUUUAAUUUAGGAAGGUAUGCUAUUUAAAGUUAUACUAUUAAUUAUUAUAUUAUUAAUCAUCUAUUACUAUAUUUUAUGAGUAUGAAAUUAUUUAUCAUUCAACUAUUCGAGAGGUUUUGUAACACCCAAAAAAUUUUGGUGGUAUAAAUAAUAUUAUUAUGAGAAUAUAAAUAAGUAAAUUUUCAAAAAGAGGGUAAGAAUUAUUACUUGAAUAGUGUAAGUGGAGUAAAAUUGGACACAAGAAUGAAAAGUAUAAAUAGAAAUUUUCGAGAAAGGAUUCAAUUGAAUUCUGGCAAAAAGUGUGAGGAAUAAAAUGUGAAUAGCGUAUAAAAGAAAAUUGGUGGGAAAGUAAUUAACUAUUUUAUGUAAAAAUGAAAUUGAAAAUAUAUAAAUAUUUAGAAUUAAAAACUUAGGGUAUUAAUUAAAUUGUAAUUGAAAAAAAGUUGCAGGACCUCAAGUAUAAUUUGCCAUUAAGUGAAAAAAUGACUUAACUGUAAUUAAACAAUUAAGAAAUAAAAAAAAUAUGAACCAUUAGAUUAAAGUUGUAAAAAUUAAAUCAUAAGCAUUGAUGAUUUAAUAACUAAAAAAAUGGAUAAAUAAAGAAAUACGAAGAAAAGUCGAGAAAUUUGGGAAAUACAUGAAAACAUUUAUAUCUCUAAAUAUAAAGCUAACUCCAAAAUGAAUAGACGUGAUUUUAGUAAUUAAUUUUUUUAAAAGAUAUAAGUGAAUGACUAAUUAUUAUUUUUUAAGAAUGAUUGAUCAAUUAAUUUUAUCUUAUUAAAAUAUAUUUAAGUAAGGUUAGUUUGCUAGACAACAACAAGAAUAGGGAAUCAAAUAUUUAAGAAAAUUGAACCCAAAAAAAAAAAAGACAUGAAAGAAAGCAAUGAUACAAGAAAACAAAAAUGGGAUAUUACCUUUCAAUGGAAAGAGUUGAAAAGGGAAUCUCUGAGUCAUACCACUAGUGAUCAUAAGAUUUGACCUUCGUCCUCUUUAAUCAUUUUCUCAACCCUUCACAAUGUUCAUUCUCAAGUAUGACUCAUUAAUUCAAUUGUGACAAAAGUAAUUUACUCGUAAGAAUAUCAAACAUAUAUACUUAACUAGGGAACACUACUUAUCUAAUUCUAUUCACAACUUCAAUAAAAGCAAAAAUGACUUUGGAAUCUCACCUCAAAAUUGUUGACAAGUGGCUUCCGAUGUCAAAGUGGAGAAUGCCCUUAUCUUCGGACACAAGUCUCAUGAAUAUUUCUUCCAAGGAAGGAAAUAUUACCGAGGUAUAAUCCUCUGAGCAGAGCCUGAAAGACUACCAAGUUCUAAAGACUUGAGUUGGGAGAAAACGAUGCCAUCCAUGACUUCAUCAGUGUAGAAAAGCUAUGAUUUCUUCUAACAUUUGGCAAUCAGUAACACUCAUUCUUGUCAGCUACACCAUGCUUUUAGCUAUUGUGAAUGUUACUAAAUUUCUGAAUCCAUGGCAUUUUGAUACUUUCGAGUAGUCAAAUGUUUGAAUGAUACAAUAUAUGGCCCUAAAUUCUUUAAUUUGCCGCAUCCCAACACUUGUAGAAAACUUCUGCAAGUGAUGGUUUGUUCUUCUAGAGAUGUGUCAACUCAGGAAAAUAAUACAACCUUAAUUCCUUCAAGCAAGCAAGUAUUCCUACAUGUUUGCUUUUAUCUCUUAUUCCUUUACAUGGAAAUAAUUCACUGAAGGUAGCCCUUUGCCAAAAGAAAGGUAUUCAAGAUUUGGUAAUGACUAAAUGAAACAAUCCGCGAUAGUAACUCAUGUUUUGGGACAAUGUAACUUUCUUAGUUUGGGACAAUAUUGUUUCGGAUCUGGUCCAUGUCCAAGCCAUACCUUCAUAUAGCCAUUCCAAACCAAAAACAAUUCUUCUAAAUUGGGGAAUGUUUCCUGAGAAAUUAAGAAACAUAUAUAUGUUAAAUAAAAGCAAAUCUUCUAAAGUGAAUGAUAAAAUAUGCAAAUCUGUUUAGAUUGACCUUUUAUUUAAUUUCUUUUAUGAGAUCUUACCUUAGUGACCCAAAAUAGGGGUUGUUGAACAGAGAUAACGGGUUGGUUCUCUCCUUGUGUUUCUCUAAAGUUGAUAUACUCCCCAGCGAAUGUCUCCACCUUGCUGCAUUCACACACCUCCAAUAGUUUUAACAAUGGCCAAUCUGUAGUAUGCACCUUGGAGUAGAAACCAAUCAAUUUGGGUAGCUUACGAAGUAUCAGCUGUCUUAUUCGAGGAAACACAAACUUGGUGGUUGAUUUGAGCUCAAUCGAUUCAUUUGAGUUGAGUCCAUGAUCGUCAGCAAGUCCAAUUAUUUCUUCAACCGACUCACAUUCCAAUAUUUGCAGAGUUUCAAGUUUUUCAAGUCUUUCCACCAUAUCAAAUGGUAAAACAUUCGAAAGUUUGUCACAGUGUUCCACCACAAGGAAGGUUAAUUCAUGAAAUGAACCCAUAGUGAGUUUAUCAUGCCAUAUCUUUCUACACUUUCCCAUGCCUACAAUUCUCAAAUCAUUCAAGCUAGGAAACGCAACCUGUGGGAAUUAAUUUAAGUUGUUAAUGAGGAAAACAAGUUAAAAUUCUACAUAGAUAUGAAAAGUAAUAUUACUACAAAAAAACAAAAGAAGAAUACCACCUUUUGGUUGAAGAGAGUAUUGGUCUCUGAGUUUUCUUGAUGGCAGAAUGUCCUUAGUUUUGGAAGCCUAAUGAACUCCAGUAUUUGUAGCUUAGUGAAUAAGUAAAUCUGAGGUAUCCCUUCUCCUGCUGCUAAUCCAUCUGUAAAUAUUAUUUCUUCCAUGUUUUUGCAAUCAAAAAGGCUAAGUUGAUGGAGCCGCUCAAAUUUUUUUGCUAAAAGGGAUGGGAAUAGAUAUUCCAAAUUGUGGCAACCCUUCACAAUUAAGAUUUGUAAGUUGAGAACAUUAGAGGAUGUAGCCCUGUCUGGUUUAUCAGGCCAUAAUAUUUUGAUGUUAGUUGAUGACAGUUCCAAGUACUGCAAGUUGGCACACAAAACCUGUAGACACAAUCCUCAUUGCAUGAAUUAUUUGGUAUUUAUCUUGAGAUUGAGCAUCAAAUAUGGGAUAAUCUUGUAAAAGUAAACUAGAUAUUCUCAAGAGUCAGACUUGUAGACUUUCCUUAAGUUGCGAUAAUCAUGAUCUUUAAUUGAGGAUAAAGAAGUGAUUACGGGAUUUAGAUAUUCAUCAAAUUUUGAGAUGAGGCAGUCUAGUCUACACGUCUUUAAAAGAAGUUGGAUCCUUCAGAGUUUAAAACUGACUGUAGUGCUAUUCUAUUUGAUAUCAGGAACCUUUGAGUAGAGUCUGAUUUUUCAAAAUUUUCAAACUCUGGGAGUGUGUUUUCUAGCCUUUGUAGGAAGGAUUGGAGUGGAAGGUGAGUGCAAACAAACUGUAUGACAUUAAGGCUGUAAUUAUCCUAGGUGAGCUUGGGCAGAUUGAGUUGUUACCAAGUGUUGUACUGAGAGUUUGUAUAGUGAUUUAAUUCUUUGAUCAAAGCCGAAGACAUAUGUUGUUUAACUGAACUGCAUAAACAAUCUCUAGUCUCCAUUCCCAUCUAUGCUUUAUUACUGUUUAUUACAUUUUUGCAUUGUCAUACCAUACCCUUACAAUUUCAUUUGAAAAAAAAGAACAUACCCUUACAAUAUUAGUUAUAACAUUCAAUUAGAACAGUCUUUAACAUAAGACAUUUUUAGUUUCUAUCUGUAGAAAUUAUGUACUAUAGUUUCUUAUUCUAUUAAUUAACUUAAUUUUCACCCAAAUAAAUUAAAAAGUUAAAACACUAAACAAAAGAGAAGAGACUAACCUUAUGAUUGAAAAAGGGUAUCUUUUCUCUGCCAACUACCUCUAUAUCCUCUUGCUCCCUUUUAGACGCCAGUGCAUACAUCUUUGGGCAAUCAUCUACUGCAAUUUCAUACAAAGAUGGACAUUGCAGGGUAAUGCUUCCCAUACAAAAACUUGUCAACCUUGAACAUGACUCAAGUCUUAUCUUCUUAAGCAUGGGUAACAAGAGUGUAGCCAUUUCAGUUUCCUCUGCUCCUUUUUUGAUAAUCUGCUCCAUUAUAGGGCAUUGUUUCACUUUUAUGUCUUCUAGUUGCGCAAGAUCUAAAGCCAUGGAAACGCUAAAUAUGUAUGUCAUGCUAUUACACUUAUAAACUUCUAAAACCUUAAGUUUCUUGAAAUCUAAACUUCCAUGAAUGUUCUCCUUCCAUAUUUCAAUUGACUUGGAAAAUUCUGAGAGGACUAAAUACCCGAUAGCUUGGAACCCAGCCUACAAAAUCCAACAACGAAACAAGGAUUAAAGGAAUAUACAAUAACGAACCCAACCCAAACCAUAUGAAACAAAGAAUGAUAUUAUGGAAUAAGCCAGAAUAACCAAAGCUAAACUAAAGGAAUAUACAAUAAUACCUUUAUUGAGUACAUUUGUUGGAUAGUGUUAUUAAGGUCACUAUACCAAUGUCCGUUAUCAUUUCCAUAUUCUACUUUUUGCAAUAAUGGUGGAUUAGUUAAAACUCCCUUACAAAAUAUCUCCAAUUCAGGGCAACCACUCACUAUUAAUUCCUCUAAACAUGGGAAUCCAAAUGUGUGGUUGCCUGAACAAAAGCUCUUAAGUCGUGGUAGAUUCACAAGUUCCAAACUUUUCAACCUGCUGAAAAUAAUGUCACAAGUUGCUUCAUCUCCCUCAGUUGCAACUAUUUCUGUCAUUGAAAUGCAGUCUCUUACCAUCAACUUCUUGAGUUGGACCAUACCUUGGACAGCUAAACAUGUAUCUAAGUAUUUCAUUGCUUCGCAAUUCCACACAUCCAAUGUGGUGAGAUUUUGAAAUGAUGCUGAGGAUGAUCCUAAGCUGAUCAAAUUGUAACAAUUGUGAACUUCAAGAGUCUCAAGUUUGGGUAGAAUGUGGUCCACUUGUACGUCUUGCUUCCAUAAAUAAUCUUUUAGAUUAUUAAGAGCUACCAAUUUUAAGUUUCUAAUUGUUGACAAAGUCCCAGCAUACAUCUCCUCAUUACCGGUAUCUCCUUCAGUACAAAAUAGCUCUUUUAUUUCAUAAUAAGAGAUAGUAAGGUUUUCAAGAGUGUAGAAUCUCUCAAGGAAAGAAAUUCGGAAAUCAAUUGAUUUACCACCGUGGCCAUGCACUUGAAAAGCUUUUAUUCCAUGAAAAAGGCUGCUUGAAAAUUGACUAUCACUUAUCAUUGCAAUGUAAUCACUAUCUAAUGUCAAAUGUUGUAGUUUAGGGAUGACCUGAAAACCAAUCAGAAAACAAUUUUGGAGUCAAUAUGUUCAUCUUCGAAUUAAGAAUUACUAAUGGUCGUGAGAAGAAAAGUGCACACAGGAAGAAUAGCAUCUGUUACAUAAAUGAAACAUCAUAUAUUUUCAAAAAAUUCUUAAUUAAUAUCAUACUCUCUUCAUCAGUAAAUUAACUUUUCUAAAUAAUAUUUCAACCUUAGUUAUCAUAAGUUUCUGUGUUAAUUAAUUAAAUAAAAAAAUAACCGACAAUAAUAGUAAACUAAGAUUAAUGGUUUAGAGUUUAAACUAAGAUUGUAGAUUUUAGAGUUCAUGGUUGGAUUUAUGAUUUAGGGUUUAGGGUUUAGGGUCGGGAUUAAGAAUUUAAGAGGGUUUCUUUUGUUUGUUCAUUAGAGUAAAAAGAAAGUUACUUUUUAAAACAAUUUAAUAUAUAGAGUGGGAGUGAGAGGAUUCAUACCUUUUCAACCAAGAAAAGCGGUGGAUGGAUUGGGGAAUCAAGUUGUGUACCUAAUAUCUUCAUUUUCCCACACUCACUUACUUCCAACUUGUUUAACAUUGGCCACUUAGCAGUAUAUUUACCUGCGUAGAAGCAUUUCAAUUCUGGUAGCCUCCAAAGCAUAAGGGCGUAUGGUUGAUCAAACUUGAAAUUGACGGCUAUUUCCGAAUCUGAUCCUUCCUCUAAUUUGGAAACAAUCUCCUCCACUCCACAAUCAGAUAUUGCAAGAUAACCGAGUUGUGGUAGGUCUUUGGCUACUGAGGCUGGAAAUACAUUCUUCAAACUUCGACAGCCCAAAACAGAUAUUGCACAGAUUUUUUUAAAUGAAAAAAUUCCUUUGGGAUCAUUUUUCCAAAUAUAUUUCAACUUUGGUAAUCCUCCAAUAUGCAAUUCUCUUAGUUGAGCGGUUGCAAGUAAAGCACUUUCUUUUUCUUCAUGCAUGAUUUCAAAUACUUGUUGUAAGGAACCACAAGUAUUUACAGUUAGACGGUGCAGCCUUUGAAAUGUUGUGAGCAUAUUAGAUGGAAAAAUGGUUAACAACUUAUCACAUCCUUCAACUCUCAAUUGUUGUAGUUUGGGAAAUGAAUUUGGUGGAAGUGGGUUUCGCCAUAUCAUCUUCAUCUUUCUCAAGUAGCAAAUUCUCAUUUCCUCCAAACUGGGAAAUGCAACCUGCACUCAUGCCAAUAUAAUGAAAUUAGAAGCUGGCUGUUUGUUUCAUUUAUUGUGCGGGUUUGUGGAAAAUAAAUAAAUGUUGAGCGUGAUUGGUAAAAAAAAUUGAGAGAAAAGAAAAUAAGAGAAAUGCCCAUUUUUCAUUCUAAUGCAUAAAAACAAAUAUUCUAAAUUGAAAUAAGAGAGAUGCUUGUUUGUUAGUCUAAAAAUAUGCAUUUUUCAAAAAUUUCAUUUUCAUUCCUCUCAUUUUCAACUGUACCAAGAAAUGAUUAAAAAGAAAUUUAUUUUUUCUUUUAAUUUUUUUCGUAUUUUUUAUCAACCACACUAUAGGAAAGAAAAAUAAAUGUUUUCUAUCUUUCUAUUUUUUUACUCCUUAAAAAUUUCAAUUUUCUAUCCACUAUACCAUUAAAGCCAAAGCCAACAAGGAGAAAAUGAGUAAACCUAAAAAUUAAGAAUUAACCCACCUUAUUGUCAAACAGAUCACCUUGACUAGAGAUUCUUCGGUUCCCUUCCCUUGUAUAUCUACAAAUGAAACCCUCCAAUUUUGGACAGUUGUAUAUCGUCAUUGACUUCAUGAAUGGAAAUUCAAUAACUUUAUUUUGGGAGUUGGAACAAAAUCCACUCAAAUGCUGAAGAUCCUUUAGCUCUAAGGACUUUAACUGAGGAAAUAAUGAUAAAGUCAUCGUAGCCUGAGUUUCUUCUUCUAUAUCCUCCAAAAGAAUUAUCUCUCUUAAGCAGUUGCACGCAGUUAUCUCAAAGUAUUUGAGAUGAACUAGAUAUUUAGCCAUAGAAAAUGAUAAUAGGUAUUUUAUGUUUCCACAACCCUCGAUUUUUAAUGUGGUUAACUUCUCAUGAGUGCAAAAAGCUACAUUCGACAACUGAUUCUGCCAUACCCUUGUAACAUUAAGCGAUGACAAGUGCAAUUUCUCCAAGGAAGGGAACGAAAUCUACAACCAUGCACAUAGUUAAUUCUACUUUCAAACAAAUAUUGUAAAAAAAUGUGUAUAUAUAUAGUUAAAGGAAUAUUUACCUUAUAAUUCUAUUUUUGCAAUUACCAAAUACAAUAAAAAAUUACAUGUUUGAAAUUUUAAUGUAUGAAUGAUUUUUAAUGGUGAUAUGCUUCCAAUUGCAAAACAUGUCAUAUUUUUUUCUAAAAAACUAAAAUUUUAUUUAUGAGAAUAAAUUUUUUUUAAAAACAUACUUAUUGAAUACACAAUACAGACAAGCUAAUAACUCAAAAAACCAAAAAUAAAGUUUGCCAACCAAUAAAAAGUGUCAUAUAGUAGAAAAAUUCUAGUAAAAAUAAAAUAUGUUGAGAGUAUUAGGGACUGAAGAACCCAUUAUAAGGACAGCAAAAGGAAAAAAACAAACAAUCUCACAUAACUAAACAACUAGAAAGAUAUAGAGUUAUAGAUACCUUUUCUCCGAAAAGUGGCAAUUCAAGUUGAGUCAAUGAGGGAGCAUCGAUUUUGUCUUGAGAGCAAAAGCUAACGAGUUGAGGAAGACCCUGCAAUGUCAAGGACUGCAAUCGAGGAAAUUCAUUUUUAUCAUUAAUGACAGAUUCAAUAUCCAAACCAUUUUGGAUAUGCAGAUUCUGCAAAUGUGAUAGGCUUUCCUCAUCUGUUAACUCCUUCAGUGCAAUCUUCCCACCUUUGAGUUCAUCCAAUUCUAAAUCUUGAGUUCUCUCUACCAACUUCUUAAUUCCAUGAUUCAAAUCAUCAAUGCUUGUGUUGAGCCUGAGUUUUAAGGUUCUUGAAUACUGAUAGUUGCCAAACCGCUCCCAUUCCUUUCCUAUGCAAAUUUUGUAUCUUUCCAACUUUUGCAACUUUUGAAAGAAGCCCUCUGGGGCAGACUUGGCGUCCGGAAUUUGAACUUCUAAAGUGGACAAAUGAGACAGUGUGUUCAGUUCAGCAAGACUAGCAUUGGGUUGUCCCCAUUGAAUAGAAGUGCCACCCAUAUAUAAUUCUUCUAAUUUUGACAAACGUGGCAAGACGUCAGCUGAAAUUUUUUCGAGUUUAGUACAACCACUUACAUCUAACAACUUUAGCUUCAACAAUUGCCCAAUUUCCUUGGGUACAAUUUUGAUAUCAGAUUGCAAAACGCUAAGCACAUUUAAGUUCUUGAGCACUCCAAUAAUGGUUAGGUUAUCUCCCAACUUGCAGUGAUCUAGGCACAAUGUACUGAGGCUAGUUAGGAGACCAAUUGAUGAAGGUAAAGAAGAAAAAUGCACGCCAGUCAAAUCUAAGACUUUAAGAUUUUUUGCUUCCUUGAAGACGUUAUCUGGCAACGUCAAGGAGAGAUCCUUGCUAAACAAAAGGAAAAGAAAAAGCUGCGGACAAUUCAACUGGUCAGGAAGCUUGUUGAUUCUAGGAUGCUGCAAAAGAAUCUUGUUGCACUCUUUCAUUGACUCUCUAUUUAGCCAAUCUGCUACAACAUCCUCAUCCUCAUCCUCAUCAUUAUCCUCCUCUGUUAAAGCAAGCACUUGAUUGUCCUUUGAAGCGAUUGAUUUGGCCACAAUAUAAGUAAGAUCGUGCACAUCAAAGUACUCCUCAUUGGUACUUUUACUAUCAAGCAACAAACAAGAUUCUUUGAGGGUACUCAUCAUUUUUAACAGCCUAUCUCGUGCUGCUUUCAUGGUGUUGACUCCUUUAAUUAGACCCAAACCACAAGCAUAUCUCAACAAGUCUUCAAUCCUAGUGUCACGACGCAGUAAACUGCAAAGCAGGAAAAUCUGCUUGAGGUCUUCACUCGAUAAAUGAUUGAUACUCAACUCAAUAGCCGAAUGUACCUCAGUAGAUAUAUCAUCCGAGCUCUUUUCUAAGUAAGACCUCUGUAAUUGUCGUAAAGCAUCACUCCAAAAAAUUAAAGGUUUAUUUCGCAACGCCCUCGCAACAGUUGCAAGGGCGAGUGGUAAUCUUGCACAUUUCUCGGCUACCUUAAUUGCUGUAGAUCGCAGCUCCUCAUCACUUUCAAAACUGUCCCCGGCCAUCUUCCUAAAGAACUUCCAAGCUUCUUCGUUUUCUAAAUCACCAAUUGCAAAGGUCUUUGUAGCAUCCAUCCCAUUGCUUAGAACAUUUUGAUCUCUUGAGGUCAACAGUAUUUUGCAUCCUUUGUGUCGACUUCCAAAUGGAAUUCCGACUUCCUCUAGAUCCAGUUUC
rnacentral:lncRNA from 1 species